rnacentral:lncRNA from 1 species
ACAGGCCGAAUCCUCUCACCAAGAGCUUGGCGCAGCACAGUUUCAGUCUGCACACAGACACCCUCAAUACAGUCAACAACCACCAAAGCACCAUCAGUGAUACGAAGAGCAGCUGUGACUUCCGAAGAGAAGUCAACGUGGCCAGGUGAAUCAAUAAGGUUGAUCAGGUACUCAUCACCAUCCCUGUCGCCCUUGUACAUCUCGAGUGAUUCAGGAGUCAUCUGAUAGAAAAGAGAGAUGCCCGUGGAUUUGAUUGUAAUACCACGUUCUGCCUCGUCUGCACGCGUAUCAGUCAUGCGAACAUCACCAGCUACUUCCUGGGCAAUAAUCCCAGCAGCUGCCACAAGGGAAUCCGUAAGCGUAGACUUGCCUGUACACAUGUAAAAAAUACAAGGACAAUGCACAAUUUUAGUAUUCUGCCAACAAAAAGGAUCAAGUUUGAACAGUAGAACACAAUUCAUAAGAACUGGGAAUUGAAUAUAUUAAGUUUUUAAGAAUUAAGUAGUACACAACAGCACAGUACAUUGAGACAAUCCAGAAACAAGAGAAUAUGAAAAUAAAACAAACCAGGUACAGUAACAUGGCUAAACACAAUCUACUGGGACAAAGCAAGAAAAACAGCACAUGUAUGAGAUCAUCAAAUCAAAGUUAUUAAGCACAAUGGUGCAAAUUGCUGAGCUUAUAAAUUGUAACAAAUACAGCCAUUAACAUGAUUAUAAACCAAACUGGGUAGAUUUUGAAACCCAGGACCCCAAGUUAACUGAAACUCUACGACACGCGUGGGAGUACAUUUUAAGGUUACUAAUUAUUUUGAGUCCUGGGACAAUGAGUUAACUGAAACUCUACGACACGCGAGAUGGAACUAAUUAAUUAAAACAAAUCUGAACAGCUAAUUAAACCAAUUUAUUGAAAUAAACAGUUUACAGCAUUAAGAACAGACAAUAAAAACGAUGAUCAACGAGUUUCUAGAUUAACCCAGCAGUCAGAAACCACUGUUCACUGUUCAGGCACAUACCAUGGUCGACAUGAGCAAUAACAGACAUGUUACGGAUAUUGUUCUUUUUGUCCAUAAUUCCACGGAGCUCCUCUGCAGUAAACUUCACCAUCGUGACUGCCUUUGAAUAUCACACCGAGAAUUUAAGUUCCUGUCCAGAGAACGGCAAAGUUAUGAGAAAUGAACAAGAAUCAGAUGUGAACUACUAAACGUAAAUGUCCAGCACUGUAAUAUAAUGAUAAUGUUGAAGUAACUGUAACCACAAUUGUCUACUAAAAAUGCUUAAUAUUGAAGAAAAAAACAAUCCAGAACAAACAGGUAAUGCAAAAAAAAAAUCACGGCAAGAAAAGCAAUCAACUAUGAAAAGUGUCCUUGCAAAAGCUGGUCCUCCAGUAUUGAAGGUGCUGCACAACUAUGAGGAACAAACAUGUAUGGAUUUCACAAAUUAAACCAAAAACUUCCAGAUGUGUACAACUAACCAAGAGGUGAAUACUAGUAAAACUUGACAGGAAUUGGUCUAAUCAAGUUAGAAAGGCUUAAUAAGUAUAUAUACUAUUAAGUGAUCUGUACAUGAAUAAGCAAGCAUGUAUCUGCUGACCAUUAAGUGACCAGUAAGUCAUGUAAUUUAAAUUUCAUUAUUACCACAUAACUAUAAUCAGUACGCAAGCACAAAAGCUGGUACAACUCAAAAAGCAUAGCUUGACGCCUGAUUAGACAGGGAACCAAGCAACCAUGUAACAAUUUCUUUUCCAAGCAAUGUAUGAAUUGCAAAGCACUGUAGAAGUAGAGCCCCAAAACAAGACGGAUAAUGGUCAGGUCAGAGAGAAACUAAUACAGGGGUAGCAUUGGGAAAAAACAAAUCAUACAUGAUGAGCACAGAGAAAAAUGCAGAAGAUGCCCACAUAUAAUAGUUCAGAUCAGAGAAAAACUCAUGCAGAACGCCUAUAAUAGUUCAGAUCAGAGAAAAAUUCAUGCAGAACGACUGAACUAAAAUUACAUAAGAGUAGUAGUAAAGCACAGCGACAUAGGCAUCUUCCCUUUUACACAUUAAAUUAAAUUAGAUUAAGCAUGCGAGACAGUGACAUGCAUCUCCCUCCAUUUUCUCCACGCUGAACAUGAUGGCAGAAAAAAAAAUCGACCAGACUACGACAGGCAGCAAAUCGAGCAAGCAGAACUCUGCAGCUCGAACGAGUUCCAACGAAUCCAAUGGCCGAGCAGCCAAGCAAAGCAGCCAAAAGUAGAAGAUAACAGAACACGAACCCGAACAAAAAAAAAACAUAGACCGGCGUCGACCGCACCGCAACGACGGAAACCACGGGCGCCUACCACCUAAGCGACCACAGGUAACUGGCGCACGCACGCAGGGGGAGGAACGAGGGGCAUCGAUCCAACUACGCCGGAACGGAUCGCUUCCGGAGCAACCGAGCGGGGCGAACGGAGCGGCAGAUCUACCGCGGGAAUGAUGCGCGCACGUCCCUGACGACCACGAAUCCGGCGAACCAGAGCCUAGAUAACCCAGUGAAGCCGCUCGACUGGGUGGCAGCUAGCUGGCAGCGGACGCGGCGGCGGGCUCCGGGGAGAAGCAAUCGGAGGAGCGGGGGUCUCACCUUGGGGCUUCGCGUUCCGCGUCCCGAUCCGGCGGGGAGGAUGAGAUGAGGAAGCGGCGGCGGAGAAGAGGGCUUCGGGUUUAGGGGACGGGGACGGGGACAAGGGGUGGAGAGGGAGGAUUGCCGAUAUACUUCAACUGCCGCUGUCCUGGCCCAGAUGCGUGUGGUGCAGAAUGGGCGGCACGCAACCACGGCCCGGGAGUAGCUGGCUGCGUCGACUGAAGGCCCGGGCAAAUGGGACCUCCUAACUGGCACUGCAGGCGCCAGUUUCGCUUGCUGGCGCCCACGCACCUCUGCUAGUGUCCCGGCCCAUAUACGCAGGCGCUCCUAGACCAGUGACUGGUGGCGGGCUCGUUUCAGUCAGUCGUUGACUAAUAGUAUGAAAGAAAAUAAAAAAACUCGUAAUUAAGGGGGAAAAUUGUGAAUUUGAAAAUUUCACGGAUUUUGAAGAAAAGAUCACGAAUUUUUCAAAAAAGUUCAUCAGAUAUGGAAAAGUUCAUCGGAUUUGAAAAAAAAAGUAAAUCAAAUCUGAAAAAAGUUCAUCGGAAUUGAAAACCGAUCAUAGGAUUUGAAAACAAGUUCAUCGGAUAUGAAAACAAUUCAUCAAAUUUGAAAAAAAACUUCAUUGAUUUUGAAAAGAGUUCAUCAAGGCUGAAAAAGUUCAUCGAAUUUGGAAAAAAAAUCAUCAAAUGUGAAAACAAAAAUCAUUGAUCUUGAAAAAAGUUCGUCCAAUCUGAAAAAUGUUCAUCAAAAUUGAAAAUAAAAUUCGUCAUUUUAGAAUAGCUUCUGGUCUUCUCCUUUUUCUAAAAUAAAAAAAAUGAUCUUCUCCUACUGCUGAAAAAAAAAUAUCUUCUCCUGCCCCUAAAAAAACUGAUCUUCUCCUUCAUCAUUUUAGAAUAGCUUCUGGAUGCAAGGUGAUAUAUGCCAUUAAUGACCACCAGGGUGGUCAGCAUGCUAUGGUUAUUCGCAAAAUUAGCAUGAGCCCAUUGGAAUUUCCAUUUGUCUCAUUUGUCCACCAAAAACAUAAAAGCCCCAUACGAAAGCAUGCAACUUAACUAACACAUGCACUGACCGAGAUAAUGAAAUAAACUGCAUGCUCAAUGUGCCCAGUGAGAUAGUGAAUGAGAAAUAUUUGGGAAUACCCUCUAACAUCGAAAAUUCAAAGAAUGGGCCUUCAAAUAUUUGAAGGACCUAUUGUGGAGCAGGAUUCCGGGAUAGAUGGAACAAACUCUCUCUACAUCAGGCAAAGAAGUGUUAGUCAAGUCGGUUGCUUAGGCAGUUCCGGUGUAUUCAAUGUCUUGCUUUAAACUUCCGAGGGGAUUGUGUGAACAUGUGAACAUGCUAAUCAGGAAAUUCUGUUGGGGGGACCAAAAUAGCCAAAGGAAGCCUCAUUGAGUCUCAUGGAAGGAUAUGACGCAAACAAAAACAAUGGGGGCUUGGAUUUCAAGGACAUUGAGUUGUUCAACCUUGCAUUGUUGGCAAGACAAACGUGGUGCAUGCUUCAAAAUCCUCGGUCCUUAAGUGCUUGAAUCCUAAAGAGUGUCUACUACCCACAAUCAUCAAUUCUUCAUGCAACUUUCGUCAAUCAUCCUAGCCUGGAGACCAAUUAUAGAAGGGGCGGGAUACAUUGAGACAAGGUCUCAUUAAACGGAUUGGCAAUGCUGAGACAACGAGAAUAUGGUCAUGGAAUUGGCUUCCGAGAGAUGAGAUGAUGCCACCCUAUAGUUUCUUAGUGCAGAACCCCCGAACGUUCGUCUCUGAACUCUUGUUAUCGAAUUCAGCCACAUAGAAUGUACGUCUAGUUAGAGGGGUUUUCAUGCCUUUUGAUGCGGCGAUCAUAGCCAAGAUUCCCCCGCGCGAGAAAUAUCGAGGAUGUAUGGUUGUGGCACUUCGAAUGGAAUGGCCGGUUUACCGUUAGAUCAGCAGAUAACAUGUUGGUGGCGACCAAGAAACGCCAUGAAGCAUAGCUAAAGGGAUCGGUCGGAUCUCCGAGCGGUACAAGAGAAGAAAAAGGUUGGAAAAGGUUGUGGAAAAUAGAAGUGCCAAGAAAGGUGCGCAUGUUUGUUUGGCGACUUUCAAAACACUCUCUCCCAACUGAGGAUGUGAGGGCUCACCAACACAUGGCCACGUCUCGAGCAUGCGGUCUUUGUGGAGCAGCGGAUUCAUGGCGCCACUCUUUACUUGAGUGCACCAUGGCAUGAUGCACAUGGGCUUUGGUUGACCAAGAUGUGGGUCAGAGCUUGAUAGCUAAUGCAGAACCGAGUGCCAAACAUUUGUUGUUCUUCCAUAAGGAAGCAUUUAUCGCAUGACUUGUUCGUGAAGCUCACUGACACACUUUGGGCCAUUUGGAGAACUAGGAGAAAAGCAUACAUGAAGGCAUAUUCCAAAGUCCUAAAUCUUUGCGCUCGUUUACCACAAGAUUCAUUGCAAAGUUGGAGAUAUUACAAGAAGGCAAACCACAUAACAUUGGAGGAAUACAAACCCCCGCAGGAGCAUCUAUUCGGCAUCAAGCAAAAGCUCCACUUGUGAAUUAUGCCAAGAUUCAUGUAUAUGCGGGAAUGGAGAGGUGGAGCAGCUUCGGUUGUGUGUCGGGUUCACAAUAGCGUUUGUCUCGAAACCUCGACACUAGUCAUAGAUGGUGUUGAUGACCCGAUAAUAGUGGAGGUGAUAGCAUGCAGGGAGGCACUCUGUCUAGCGGAAGACCUACACUUACAACAAUUCAUUAUUGCUUCUAUAGACAUGAGUCAACGUUCGUGAUCGUGCAUGAUGUGUGUAUGGUUAGUAAACGAUUAUAAACGGAGGCGUCACAACAGGUAUGGCAUUGUAGUAUGCGUGUAAGUAAUUUUGUUUUUGAAGGUCGUGCCAGCAACUUUGAGGCGCACAGAUUAGCUAAAUAAGCAGUUAAUCUAUCUCCCAAGCAUCAUCUAUGGUUUGAUCAACCUCACACUACUGCAGAAAAUUCUAGCUAUGAUGUGACAAAAAAUAGCCUUGCUGGCGUGAAUACCCGACGCCAUCAAUAUCCCGCCACAAUUAAAAAAUAGUGGUGGGAUUGAAGACGAUGCCAAUAGUAUAUUACAUGUUACUCGCGUCCACAUAGUCCAACGUUAUGAAUUAAUUUUUUGGAUAAUGAAAAAAAAAAUACUUCAGAGACUAAGAAUUUAAACUUCACAAAAGGUAUUGAUCAAUUAAACAUACUCGUAAACUUUAGAGUUUACAACUUAGUACUGAUCAACUAAACAUACUCAUAAACUUCAGAGUUUAAAAAAUCACAAAAGAUACUGAAAUAAUUAAAACUACUCUUCAUCAAGGAUUAUCCUCAGCUGGUGAAUCUUCUUUCGGUUGCUCUCUCCAUCUUUUUUGAAGUGAGCAACUUAUGUCUGUAGGUCAACCCUCUCUGUCAUGAGUAGUUUUUUCUUCUUCUUCAGAUUAUCCCUCUCCUCAAGCAAUUUAUCCCUCUGCUCCCCCAGUUUGUUUGACUUAACGAGGGCAUUAGCAUCCUCUGUGAGCAGACUAUCCCUUUUAUUCUUCACAUACGCAUUAUUUUCUUCCAAAUUUUUGAUGUACCACUGUGACUGACCUAAGCGCCACAUAUUCCACUUGUCCGCAUCGCAUACAUCGAUUCAUUGUCGCUUGUAGAAUUGUCCAUAUGUCUUGUUUCAAAUUAUGUACACAAGCAAAUUAAAACUUGUAGUAGCAAUUAUACAUCAAGUACUACCUUUUUUUAGUGGACAUCAAGUGCUACCUAAUAUAGACAUUACAAGAUUGAGACAUAUGAUCUCAAAUGCAUCUAAUAUAAAGCACUGAAAACAUAUCUUAGAAUUCAUAUGAACCUCACCAUCUUAAUUAGAAUGAAGAAUUUAAAAAUAACAUGCAUUCCAUAGAUUUGUACUCACAUAUCUUAGAAUUCAUAUAAACCUCACUAAUAACAUGCUCAUAUGUGUACUACUCCCUCUGUUCCUAAAUAUAAGUCUUUUUAGAAUUUUUAUUAAGGGACUACAUACGGAUGUAUAUAGACAUAUUUCAGAGUAUAGACUCAUUUAUUUUGCUCCAUGUGUAGUCUCUUAGUGAAAUCUCUAAAAAGACUUAUAUUUAGAAACGGAGGGAGUACAUAAUACUACAUAGACUUACUAGCAUAUACUUUUAUCAAUUCAAUGACAAUUCAUAGACUACAUAGACUUACUAGGCAUAUGCUUUUAUCACUAAUAACAUGCUCAUAGCGUGCUCUUUUGAAUUGUCAAUUCAGUGUCCAAAAUGCAUAUACUCCCUCCGUUCUUAAAUAUAAGACAUUUUAGAGAUUGCAUUAUAAACUACAUACGGAUGUACAUAGACGUAUUUUAGAGUAUAUAUUCAUUCAUUUUGCUCCGUAUGUAGUUUUAUAGUGAAAUUCCUAAAAGGUCUUAUAUUUUACAACGGAGGGAGUACUAAACAUGGCCACUACACAAUUAAAGGGGAAAUAUCAAUGCAGAUUGUCGAGAUUCAAUAGGUAGGAUGACUAACUUAGGGGCUAAAGCGAAACUAAAUCUAGAACUAACUAAGCAUGGCCACUCCACUCCCACUGUUCUAACGGCAGCUAUAUCAUCGGAGCGCCAACUAAUUUGUCCCAAUGUACGAUCACAAUGUGUAAACUUGGUUAUUAAGAAAUAAAGUGGAGUGUGUUUUUCCCAACUCGCUCAAAAGAUGUUAGAUCACGCUGAGUCGGUCUAAUUUUGCACACAAAAAAACAUCACUUUUCACUUUGAGGAUGAAUCGUGUAUAUCAAUUAGGAAACAUUGACAUUGAUGUGCGAGGGUCACCCCUACACUGUUUCGUAUGACCUGAUGGCUAAACCAUGAAUAAUUUUGUUCACCUCCCUACUAAUAUUGACCAUUAAACCAUGAACAAAUUUGUCCACCUCCCUACUAAUAUUGUUUUCUGCUCGAAAAAUAUAUUGGUCACUUUCAUCCGUCUUCAUGCUAGCGUCUCACGUGUUCAAAGACACUUUUCCAUGCUACAGUAGGUUUCGGUAAAUAAGAAAACAGUCUGAGAAAUUGAUGGCCAGCCUGAGCCCUCAACAAAUGCAAUAGUUUGGCAUCAUGGAGGCUCCCAUGUAGAACAAAUAACCCCACCACUUUGAUUCCAUAACCAUAUAGUUCCAAGCACCUUUGCUACAACAACUCUAGCAGUUUCCCUAAAUCCGCAUAGCCUUUUAAAAAAGGUUUUUACCUGGUCAUUAAAAAAAUUCAUUACAAAGAAGUGAAUGAAAAAUCACACCCUGCCAUUAUUAAGGAUAGUAAAACUGCACCUAUUCCCUGCCCUCUCAGGCCAUCAAAUGUCUGAACCAUUCGUUUUUAAGAUUCCACUGUUUUUUGCCGUUGAAUGCACCUCAAUCUCUCUUUGCUCUGAACAUGGCCACGACCUGGGCUUGCUGUCCAAAGGGCAGCUAUUCCCAUAGCUUUUUUGGACCAUUAUGGUUAAUUGGGCCAGGCAGCCCAUCUAGCGAAGCCGUCGAGACAAAAUAGCGUUGGAAAAAAAUCUGCUCCGAACAAUGCAGUCGUGCUCCUUUCUCCCUAACCCUAACCAUUCCAGGCAGCGGCGGGGAAGUUCCCGUGGACGAAAGAGACGGGAGCGUACAUGACAGAAAGGUCAAGCGAAGCACUCCAGCGCACGACGUUGACCUUGACGAGCAUGUCGACUCGUCGUGUGAUGUCGUUCGCUAGGGUGCGGAGCGAUGGGAUCUCCUUGCAGGCAACGCCAACGGACGGUGAUAGGGGAAUCCAAUCGUCGCUUGUAGAUUCGACUCCAGUCGCCGUCGGUUUAGGGAUAACUCCUGACUCCGACAGCUAUAGUUGGCCCUUUAGUCCUUCGUCUUCUACAUUCUGCGAGUGUUCCCUCCUUUGAAAAAACCCAUAUUUUCCAAUCCUUGUCAUUUUUUUUUAUCUUAUUCAUGAUGUUAUUUGUACUCCCAAUUCCUAAAUUGAUGCAGGUGUCUACGGAUUCAAUUUCGGUUCCGCUAGGUUCUCUUCUCCCUUGUAACAAAUUAUGUGAAUCUCUUAUAUUGCUAACAGACAUGUUAAUAUCCUUGUGUAGUUGUGUUGUUAUGCCUCCAUGAACCAUUUCAUAUAUCUUCCUGUAGAUGCUUUCCAGAAACUUUGCAAGAUUAACAGUGAAGAGAGGUCAAAUUGUUGUGUUGGUGACUAUACGAUCCAAGAGAAAUAGAAAGGGCAUACCAAGAUCGAUAUUAGCAUAGUAUUAUUUGCAUUCUUUUAGGCUGUUUUUUCAUCUAAUUUUUGUGUCUGAUUUUAUGAUUUUAUAUGUCUUAUUCUCAUAUAGUAUGAUGCUUUGUAAUAAAUACGAGUGGUACACUAAUAUCUAGAUUAGCAUAGGACUAUUCACAUUGUUAUAGGUGUAUUUCCCCAUCUACUUUUUUUGACUUUUUUAUGCCGUGAUAUAAUACGAUGGUUUUUAAAUAAACAUGCACGCUAUUUUAUUUACUCUAAUGUAUGAGUCAAAAUCUAGGUGCAUAUCUCAUUUACUUGAUAUGAUCUUUAGAUGGAAUUUCCAUGUGAGAAAUUUGUUUCGACAGUUGCAACGAAGCAUGAUAGACAAUGGUCUGGAAUCGCAAUGUAAACUCUUUCAUUGCGUAACUCUAAAUAAAACAUGCAAAGCAGAUGGGGAGGCAGGGUUAACAACAAACCAAAUGGAAUUCAUAUGUAUUCCAUUGGAAUCAACCAAACUUUGGUUUGUGUUCUUCACAUUGUUUCUUUAUUUACUCCUACAGUCAUGUGUUCCAUCGCAUGAAUAAAUCCUUCUCUCCUCUCAAGCAGCAGGGUACGAGCACAGUAUGGCCGGGAUGAUGCCGAGCCAUUGUUUUGUGUUGCUUGCGUGGAUGUCGUUGUCCACUGCAUGCUCGCGUCAUUGAUCGGCUUAUAUUUUUGUGUGUUAAAUUGGUAACAUCUUUUUAUUUUCUCUCUGGUCUGCAGCUUCUUCCCAAAGUCAGCAAAUUCGAGAACUCAGUGAGGUCCCUCUUAUUGUUCCUUUGAAAAUAGGUACUUUUACUUGUUUUACAUGCCUUUUGUUUUGGUUUUAAGCUGGAUUAAAGAUCACACACAGAAUGCCACUUCAGUCACUUGUCAAUAUGAGCAUAUCAGCUUCAAAAUAACUAUAUGUUCAGUAGAUGUAUCAUGGUAUCUUUGUAAGUUUCUUCCACCUCUUCAACUGUAGUUGAUUGUGCUAAUUUAUACUACAACUUCAAUUUUUACCAUUGAUGAAAGUCUUCACGUCUUCUUAGGACUUGCAUUACUUACGUUGGACUCUAUUUGUGUUGGCGACUCUCAUAUAUUAAAAGAAGCCUAUUAUACUAUCAUGGAACCUCUAGAAGUUUGCUAACACCUCAAAGGUAUGUUGUUCCAUCAACUUUUUUGACAUCCGUUUUCUCUGUAUUGUACAGAGAAUUCUUUUGAGAUGUAGCAGUUGGUGUAUCAUAUAGUUGAGAAAAUACACACCUGGUUUAGUCUCUCUAAAAAUGUGUGGUCACCCAUCCAUUAACCAUUAUACGUAACAGUAGUUGAUUUAGGUCAUUCAUGAUUUGUUACGACAUUGAAUCAUCCCAAGUUCGGUUAGUUCAGUUUUCCAUUUUAGUUCAAUAAAAAUCAUUUUUUGUCUUUCUCUUUUGAGCAUGUUUAAGCCUUUUUGUCACUUCCAUUUUUUUUGUAAAUUGGGAAGGGAAAUUACUCACUUAGAAUCUAAACUUACAAGGUCAUCUGGUCAUGCAUUUAGUAGUUGAUUACAAAAAUGUAGACAAUAGUGAAAAAUAGUUGCUCGAUAACAAAACUAGCAGUUCUGUAUAUGCAGUUACGUAUUACAACUUCAUUUGUUUGUAGCUUUUCAAGUUAGCAUGCUACAUGCAUACAUGUCUAUCUUGCUAUAGUUUACAGAUCUUUAUUAAAAUAUUAAAUGUAGUGAGCAAACUGAGAUUUCAGGACUUUGUAAAAAUGGUUUCAGGACUUUAAGUCUGUUGCGGCAUAUAAUUCUGCUGUGCAUAAAAUUAACUCCAAACUGAGAUUUUGUAAUCAACAAGUUUCAGAUGUAGACUUAAUAGAGAAAACCUUAUGCACUUUCCAUCCCUCGAUGAGGAUAUUGCAACAGCAGUAUCGUCAACAGAAAUACACAAAGUAUUCUGAGCUGAUAUACACACACAUUACUUCAGGCCGAGAAGCAUGAUGAACUUCUCAUGAAGAAUCACAAUGCUCGCCCAACAGGUGCCAUGCCUAUCCCUGAAGCACAUGCUAAUGCUCAUUUUACUAGUAAAUUUGGAAACCGUAAAAGGAACUUCCAGAAAUUCAAAGGGAAAUGGAAAAAGAACAAUGGUCAAAAGACCAACGGUCAAACUAAGGGGAAAGGUCAUUUCAAGAAAAAUGAUCAAAAUGACAACUCUCAAACUUGUCAAAGGUGUGGAUGCAUGAAUCAUCGUACUAACCAAUGUCGAAUUCCUAAGCACCUUGUGGAUCUAUACAUGAAGUAUGGAGGAAAAGGCAAACAAGUUCAUGGAAAUAAAGCUGAAGCUCACUUCAACGCUAUUCAAGAUAACCCUCAAGUUGGUCCUUCUCAAAGCGCUAUUCAAGUAUACAAGCCAAAGGACGAUAUCAUCCUCGAUGAAGACAUGCUUGUGGAUUACACCCGAGAUGUUUUUGGAGACCUUAGUUAAUCUCCAUAAGCAAGUUGAUGUCACUUAGCUAUUUAAUACUACAAGAUGUUAUAUAUUGUAUAACAAUAAGUAGAAUAAAGUCUUUCAGACUAUGUAUAUUAUAUUAUGUGAAUCAGACUUAAUGUUGUAAUAAAUUUAUAUUUAAGAUUGUAAUAUAAAUAUUAUGUAUGUAAUUUAAUGAAUAUGAAUAAACAUAAAUUUAUUCUAAAAUACUCUUUUUCUAUCUAUAGAAUUUUAACGGGAACAAUCCGAUGGAAGAAGAGUUAUGUUUAGUGGAUAGUGCUACCACUAACACAAUUCUAAGGGAAGCAAAAUAUCUCCAAACUCUUACUAAGAGAAAGGAAAAUGUUAUGACCAUAACAGGAAGUAACAAAGCAAUUAUUAAUUCAGGAAGAGCCAUAUUCACACUCCCUAUGGGUACUACUAUCAUAAUUCAGAAUGCACUCUUGUAUCCUGAAUCUACACGUACCCUUAUAAGUUUCAAAGAUAUCCGAUCUAACAAUUUCCAUCUAAAAACAAUAGAGGUGGAUAACAAAGAAUUUUUGCUUUUAACAAAAAGCAACGGAUAUGAGGAACAAACUCUUGAAAAAUUCCCUUUAUUUUCAUCCGGAUUAUACUUUACAUACAUAAAACCCGUACCUUAUGUUGCGUACAAAAUAAUUUUUCAAAAUCUUGAUAAAUUCAAGACUUGGCAUGAUCGCCUUGGUCAUCCCGGAAUAGGUAUGAUGAGAAAAAUUAUAAGUAAUUAUGUUGGUCAUAAUUUACCAAUAAAAGAUUUCCCAAAUCAUCAGCUUUUGUAUGCACCGCGUGUGCUACCGGGAAAUUGAUUAUUAAGCCAUCUUAUCUUAAAGUUAAAAAUGAGUCACUUAAUUUUCUUAAAAGAAUUCAUGGAGAUAUAUGUGGUCCAAUACAACCUCUAUCCGGACCAUUUAGGUACUUCAUGGUGCUAAUCGAUGCAUCUACUAGAUGGUCACAUGUGUGUCUAUUAUCCACACGUAACCAUGCCUUUGCCAAAUUAAAUUGCUCAAAUUAUCAAAUUGAGAGCGAAUCAUCCUGAACACGGGAUAAAAACAAUAAGAAUGGAUAAUGCUGCUGAAUUUAGUUCACGCGCAUUUAAUGAUUAUUGUAUGGCUUUAGGAAUCCAUCUAGAACAUUCAGUACCCUAUGUUCAUACUCAAAAUGGAAUGUCUGAAUCUUUAAUCAAAAGAGUAAAAUUAAUUGCUAGACCACUAUUACAGAAUUGCAAUUUACUAACCUCUUAUUGGGGACAUGCGGUUUUACACGCCGCAGAUCUGAUGCAAGUCAGACCAACUGAAUAUCAUGAAACUUCCCCGUUUCAAAUAGUACGUGGCAAUCAGCCAAGUAUUUCUCACCUGCGAAAAUUCGGUUGCGCUAUAUACGUACCGAUAUCACCACCGCAGCGUACAUCUAUGAGCCCCCAUAGAAAACUAGGAAUCUAUGUGGGAUAUAAUUCUUCGUCAAUUAUAAAAUAUUUAGAACCCCUAACAGGGGACCUGUUCACAGGCCGAUACGCUGACUCAAUUUUUGAUGAGGACCAUUUCUCGGCAUUAGGGGGAGAAACAAACCACAAAGAAUGCCAGGAAAUAGAUUGGAAUGUUACACUCAUUCAGUCCUUAGGUCCACGUACAAAAGAAUCUGAAUCUGAAGUUCAGAAAAUUAUAGAUUUGCAACACUUUGCAAAUAACCUGCCAGACGUAUUUACUGAUCACAAAGGCGUCACUAAAUCUUAUAUCCCCACAGUUAACGCACAAGAACGAGUAGAGGUACCAAAUAAAACUACUCAACUUCCAAUUACAAAUAAAAGGGGGAGAAAUCUGGUCACAGGGGAAAAGGCUUCUCCGCGGAAACAUAGAAAAUCAAAAUCUAUGACAGUAAACGCAAAUCAACUUCAAGUUGAUGCACACCAAAUAGAUGUUCAACAUCUAGAACCCAAUAAAAAUGUGCACACAAAUUAUAAUGUUGGGAUAUCAAAAUAAUCAGACUCCGUUGUUAUGGGAAAUCACACGGUGCCUGAAGAAAUUAAUGAAAUAUCCAUAAAUUAUAUUUAUUCAGGAGAAACAUAUAGUAGAAGCACUACAGUUGUCGACACAGAUUUCUCCUCAAAAAUUGCUGAAACCCUUCAACUGGAUCCAGCAUAUAAUUCUGCUGUGCAUAAAAUUAACUCCAAACUGAGAUUUUGUAAUCAACAAGUUUCAGAUGUAGACUUAAUAGAGAAAACCUUAUGCACUUUCCAUCCCUCGAUGAGGAUAUUGCAACAGCAGUAUCGUCAACAGAAAUACACAAAGUAUUCUGAGCUGAUAUACACACACAUUACUUCAGGCCGAGAAGCAUGAUGAACUUCUCAUGAAGAAUCACAAUGCUCGCCCAACAGGUGCCAUGCCUAUCCCUGAAGCACAUGCUAAUGCUCAUUUUACUAGUAAAUUUGGAAACCGUAAAAGGAACUUCCAGAAAUUCAAAGGGAAAUGGAAAAAGAACAAUGGUCAAAAGACCAACGGUCAAACUAAGGGGAAAGGUCAUUUCAAGAAAAAUGAUCAAAAUGACAACUCUCAAACUUGUCAAAGGUGUGGAUGCAUGAAUCAUCGUACUAACCAAUGUCGAAUUCCUAAGCACCUUGUGGAUCUAUACAUGAAGUAUGGAGGAAAAGGCAAACAAGUUCAUGGAAAUAAAGCUGAAGCUCACUUCAACGCUAUUCAAGAUAACCCUCAAGUUGGUCCUUCUCAAAGCGCUAUUCAAGUAUACAAGCCAAAGGACGAUAUCAUCCUCGAUGAAGACAUGCUUGUGGAUUACACCCGAGAUGUUUUUGGAGACCUUAGUUAAUCUCCAUAAGCAAGUUGAUGUCACUUAGCUAUUUAAUACUACAAGAUGUUAUAUAUUGUAUAACAAUAAGUAGAAUAAAGUCUUUCAGACUAUGUAUAUUAUAUUAUGUGAAUCAGACUUAAUGUUGUAAUAAAUUUAUAUUUAAGAUUGUAAUAUAAAUAUUAUGUAUGUAAUUUAAUGAAUAUGAAUAAACAUAAAUUUAUUCUAAAAUACUCUUUUUCUAUCUAUAGAAUUUUAACGGGAACAAUCCGAUGGAAGAAGAGUUAUGUUUAGUGGAUAGUGCUACCACUAACACAAUUCUAAGGGAAGCAAAAUAUCUCCAAACUCUUACUAAGAGAAAGGAAAAUGUUAUGACCAUAACAGGAAGUAACAAAGCAAUUAUUAAUUCAGGAAGAGCCAUAUUCACACUCCCUAUGGGUACUACUAUCAUAAUUCAGAAUGCACUCUUGUAUCCUGAAUCUACACGUACCCUUAUAAGUUUCAAAGAUAUCCGAUCUAACAAUUUCCAUCUAAAAACAAUAGAGGUGGAUAACAAAGAAUUUUUGCUUUUAACAAAAAGCAACGGAUAUGAGGAACAAACUCUUGAAAAAUUCCCUUUAUUUUCAUCCGGAUUAUACUUUACAUACAUAAAACCCGUACCUUAUGUUGCGUACAAAAUAAUUUUUCAAAAUCUUGAUAAAUUCAAGACUUGGCAUGAUCGCCUUGGUCAUCCCGGAAUAGGUAUGAUGAGAAAAAUUAUAAGUAAUUAUGUUGGUCAUAAUUUACCAAUAAAAGAUUUCCCAAAUCAUCAGCUUUUGUAUGCACCGCGUGUGCUACCGGGAAAUUGAUUAUUAAGCCAUCUUAUCUUAAAGUUAAAAAUGAGUCACUUAAUUUUCUUAAAAGAAUUCAUGGAGAUAUAUGUGGUCCAAUACAACCUCUAUCCGGACCAUUUAGGUACUUCAUGGUGCUAAUCGAUGCAUCUACUAGAUGGUCACAUGUGUGUCUAUUAUCCACACGUAACCAUGCCUUUGCCAAAUUAAAUUGCUCAAAUUAUCAAAUUGAGAGCGAAUCAUCCUGAACACGGGAUAAAAACAAUAAGAAUGGAUAAUGCUGCUGAAUUUAGUUCACGCGCAUUUAAUGAUUAUUGUAUGGCUUUAGGAAUCCAUCUAGAACAUUCAGUACCCUAUGUUCAUACUCAAAAUGGAAUGUCUGAAUCUUUAAUCAAAAGAGUAAAAUUAAUUGCUAGACCACUAUUACAGAAUUGCAAUUUACUAACCUCUUAUUGGGGACAUGCGGUUUUACACGCCGCAGAUCUGAUGCAAGUCAGACCAACUGAAUAUCAUGAAACUUCCCCGUUUCAAAUAGUACGUGGCAAUCAGCCAAGUAUUUCUCACCUGCGAAAAUUCGGUUGCGCUAUAUACGUACCGAUAUCACCACCGCAGCGUACAUCUAUGAGCCCCCAUAGAAAACUAGGAAUCUAUGUGGGAUAUAAUUCUUCGUCAAUUAUAAAAUAUUUAGAACCCCUAACAGGGGACCUGUUCACAGGCCGAUACGCUGACUCAAUUUUUGAUGAGGACCAUUUCUCGGCAUUAGGGGGAGAAACAAACCACAAAGAAUGCCAGGAAAUAGAUUGGAAUGUUACACUCAUUCAGUCCUUAGGUCCACGUACAAAAGAAUCUGAAUCUGAAGUUCAGAAAAUUAUAGAUUUGCAACACUUUGCAAAUAACCUGCCAGACGUAUUUACUGAUCACAAAGGCGUCACUAAAUCUUAUAUCCCCACAGUUAACGCACAAGAACGAGUAGAGGUACCAAAUAAAACUACUCAACUUCCAAUUACAAAUAAAAGGGGGAGAAAUCUGGUCACAGGGGAAAAGGCUUCUCCGCGGAAACAUAGAAAAUCAAAAUCUAUGACAGUAAACGCAAAUCAACUUCAAGUUGAUGCACACCAAAUAGAUGUUCAACAUCUAGAACCCAAUAAAAAUGUGCACACAAAUUAUAAUGUUGGGAUAUCAAAAUAAUCAGACUCCGUUGUUAUGGGAAAUCACACGGUGCCUGAAGAAAUUAAUGAAAUAUCCAUAAAUUAUAUUUAUUCAGGAGAAACAUAUAGUAGAAGCACUACAGUUGUCGACACAGAUUUCUCCUCAAAAAUUGCUGAAACCCUUCAACUGGAUCCAGAGCCAAAAUCUGUGAAAGAGUGCCUCAAGCGCUCGGAUUGGCCUAAAUGGAAGGAAGCAAUUGAGGCAGAAUUACACUCGCUUAACAAAAGAGAGGUAUUUUCUAAAAUAAUGCCUACUCCUCAUAAAGUCUUCCCCGUGGGAGCUAAAUGAGUUUUUGUUCGAAAAAGGAACGAAAACAAUGAGGUGGCGAGAUAUAAAGCGAGACUAGUUGCUCAAGGGUUUACGCAGAGACCCGGUAUCGACUACGACGAUACAUAUUCUCCUGUAAUGAGUGAAAUUACAUUUCGAUACUUAAUAUCUUUGGCAGUACAAAUGAAUCUAUCAAUGUAAUUAAUGGAUGUAGUGACCGCUUAUCUAUAUGGGUCACUUGAUGCAGAAAUUUAUAUGAAAGUCCCUGAUGGACUUAAAAUUCCGAAUCCUAAUAUAAGUCACAACAUGUAUUGUGUAAAAUUACAAAAGUCACUCUAUGGCUUGGAGCAGUCGGAAAAAAUGUGGUAUAACCGACUUAGUGAGUUCCUUCUCAGUAAAGGAUACUCGAAUAACAAUGAUUGCCCAUGCGUAUUCAUAAAGAAAUCCUCAAAUGGAUUUUGCAUCAUCUCAGUAUAUGUUGAUGAUCUCAACAUCAUUGGCAACACAACAGAUAUAUCUAUAGCACGCAAUCAUUUAAUGACGGAGUUUGAGAUGAAAGAUUUGGGGAAAACCAAAUUCUGCUUAGGUUUACAACUUGAGCAUUUUCCCUCAGGAAUACUUGUUUAUCAACCCGCUUAUAUUCAGAAAAUUUUGGAAAAAUUCAACAUGGAUAAAUCAUAUCCGUCCAAAACACCUAUGGUCGUCCGAUCCCUUGAUAUGAAUAAGGAUCCUUUUAGACCUAGGGAUGAUAACGAGGAGGUAUUGGGACCUGAGUUUCCAUACCUCAGUGCCGUAGGGGCAGUAAUGUACCUUGCAAAUUGUACUAGACCAGACAUUGCCUUUGCAGUAAAUUUACUGGCUGGACAUAGUGCAACUCCAACAAAACGUCAUUGGACGGGAGUAAAGAAUAUCUUCAGAUAUUUACAAGGUACUAAAGAUCUUGGUUUAUUCUAUCGGAAAAAUCAAGACAUGACCCUGAUUGGUUAUACUAACGCUGGAUAUCUUUCUGACCCCCAUAAUGCCAGGUCACAAACACGGUUUGUAUUUUUAUAUGGUGGAACUGCUAUCUCAUGGAAGUCAACAAAACAGACAUUGGUAGCAACUUCCACUAAUCAUUCUGAAAUAAUUGCAUUAUUUGAAGCUUCACGAGAAUGUGUAUGGCUCCGCAGAAUGAUAAAUCAUAUUCAGACAUCAUGUGGUAUCGGUUCAUUAGAAUCACCUACUAUUAUCUAUGAAGAUAAUGCUGCAUGUGUUUUCCAAAUGCAUAUGGGAUAUAUUAAAAGUAAUAUCACAAAACACAUCUUCCCAAAACUAUUUUUCCCUCACGAGUUAUAGAAAGAUGGAAAAAUUAAUAUUUUGCAAAUAAAAUCUUGUGACAAUCUUGCAGAUUUGUUCACUAAGUCUUUACCAACAACAACAUUUGAAAAAUGCAUUCAUGGCAUUGGUAUGAGACGACUACGAAGUUUGCAAAAUUCAGGGAGAGAUAUUUUCUAGAAAUAAAUUUAUGAGCUCUCCAACGGAUUUCUCAUGUAGUUUUGAAUGAGAUAAUUAUUUGUCCUAAAAGUAUAUAUCGAAUUCUAUUUGUUUUCUUUAUAUUUUAACAUGAUUUUUUUUGGAAAACAUAGACAAUAUAAGAUCAAGGAUUCUCGAAGUUACAAGAUCAAGACAAUCAAGAAAAUGCAAGAUUUUUCAGCACUCAAGACAAUGAAGAUUAAUAACAUCGUUGUCCAAGGGGGAGUGUUAGGAAUAAAUUAUCUUUAGAUUUAGGCUAAUUAGGCAAUUAGCAUGUUCUUUGAAAUAUUCUAUUUAGCAGUUAGGAUAUUGACUUUGUCCAUACGCUGUGUCUCUCAACCGUCGUCGUGCCUUUCCAAACAACGCAACUAUUGUAACCGGCAUGUAUUCACGACUGUUCAGGACAUAUAAAUACCGGCAGUCACCAUCAAUGAAAUCACUCCAUUCACUUUAACCAUUCUUUUCUCUUCAGUAACAACACACACCGUGAAUACCCAGGCCGCCCGCCUGCCAGUGGGACCCACACACAGCAAGGUUACAUGCAGCGAUACCUCCGAGGAGAAGGCGUCCACGUACCAUUCUCCUCCGUGCGGCCAGCAACACGUCGCUUUUGCCACGCGGCGGCCCUCCAUUCGCCUAGCCCACCCAUCCCCCGCGCGCCAUUGGCUGGUCGCUCGGCCCGCGCGCGCGGCCACCGCCCGGGCCCACGCUGUCAGCGAGACGGCCCCCUCGUGCGGCGACGCCACUCCGCUCCUUUAUUAAAGGCGCGCCUCGCGCUCGCUAUCCAUCAGGAGGUUUUUGGUUGCCAACAAGGUUCGGUGGGCAGGCCCAUCAGAAGGUUCCAGAAGCUUCGGGUGGAGUGGUGGGCACGGUGACGAUGGCGGUCCUCGCGAGGUCGGCCGCCGCCGUGGUCGCGCUCGCGCUCUCGCUGCUCGUGUCGGCCGCCGCCGGCGAGGUCUUCUUCCAGGAGAAGUUCGACGGUGAGCCGCUCCCCGGAUCCAAACCCCCCUUCCUACCCCCUCGCCGCGCGCGCGCUCCAGAUCCAGUCGAUCAACGCGCGCGCCUUACAAUUGUGUAUCCGUAUCACUUGCGGUUGAUCUGUAAAAUUUUCUCUCGGUGUCUGGAUUCUCAACUGUGAGUUGUGUUGGGCAGAUGGAUGGGAGGACCGGUGGGUCAAGUCGGAGUGGAAGAAGGAGGACAACACGGCCGGCGAGUGGAACCACACCUCGGGCAAAUGGAACGGCGACGCCGACGACAAAGGUAAUUAAUCCCCGUCGCCGGAUUCCCGUUUCCCUUUGUGCUGCUCUGACGGCGGCAAAUGGGACUGAGUUGGGGUACGUACUCUGUUACUGCAGGCAUUCAGACGUCGGAGGACUACAGGUUCUACGCCAUCUCGGCGCAGUACCCGAAGUUCAGCAGCAAGGACAAGACCCUGGUGCUGCAGUUCUCCGUCAAGCACGAGCAGGACCUCGACUGCGGCGGCGGCUACGUCAAGCUGCUCCCCGCCGACGUCGACCAGAACAAGUUCGGCGGCGAGACCCCAUACAGGUGCCCCAUCAUCUCCGCUAGAUUUUCCAAUCCAUCUACGAUCUGUUUAUUGCAUGGUUGAUUGAUCAUUCAUGCUCUUGUUCAAUUCGAAAUGCAGCAUCAUGUUCGGGCCGGACAUUUGUGGGUACGCCACCAAGAAGGUGCACGCGAUCCUCACCAAGAACGGCAAGAACAACCUGAUCAAGAAGGAGGUGCCCUGCGAGACGGACCAGCUCACGCACGUCUACACCUUGAUCCUCCGGCCCGACGCCACGUACAGCAUCCUCAUCGACAACGUCGAGAAGCAGUCCGGCAGCGUCUACGACGACUGGGACAUUCUUCCUGCCAAGAAGAAGAGGGAUCCUGAUGCCAAGAAGGUGAAGUUCAGAUAUAAUAAAACAGUCUAGUAGCCAUAAGGUGUUUCCGUGACAGAGGUGAUAAGUCAUUAACAUAACACUGUGUGUGUUUGCUGAUGGUUGCAGCCAGAGGACUGGGAAGACGAGGAGUACCUUCCUGACCCCGAGGACAAGAAGCCAGAGGUAGCUCUCCCUCUGUUGCUGCACAAUUUAUAUAUAAUGAUAAUGUUGUGGCAUGAGUACUGAUUUCUGGCCAAUGCCAUAAACACUGCGCUAAGCUAAAGUGUUCAUUGUAAUCUCAGAAUGCAAGUUUCCAUUAUUACAACCCUAACAGCACAACAUGAGUUUCCACAUUCUUGUGUUAUAAACUGUUAUUUUGUCGUUGAUGCUUUGCCUCUAGUGUUUUCCUGUCUGACUCAAAUUGUUUGCAGGGGUAUGAUGACAUUCCCAAGGAAAUCACUGAUCCUGAUGCAACGAAGGUGCACACUUGCCCAUUCUUAAAGCAAUUUUACUUUGUGUUCUGUUGCCUCUGAUAUGCAAUUUCUUAUAUGGCAGCCUGAGGACUGGGAUGAUGAGGAAGAUGGUGAAUGGACAGCUCCAACCAUCCCAAACCCUGAGUACAAGGGACCAUGGAUCCAGAAGGUAUAACUAUGACAGCAUGACUAGUGACUGAGUUGUUCUAGACAGGUAGCAAUGUACAUUACAAGUUCUGACAUAAGACUUUUAUGUAUUCAGAAAUUCAAGAACCCUAAUUUCAAGGGCAAAUGGAAGGCACCUUUGAUCGACAACCCAGGUCAACUGAGCUUGCCCACUGUUGGGCAUUCAGACUAACUGUCUGUCCAUUAGUCUUUUCUGCUCAACUAAUGUAGUGAAACAUCCAAGCUCAUAUGAUCUUCUUUUUUCUUUGUCUGUGCAGAGUACAAGGAUGACCCUUACAUUUACGCCUUUGACAGCCUCAAGCACAUUGGCAUCGAGCUGUGGCAGGUUAAUCGCAAAUUCUGUAAAGCAUGGUUGGCAAUUUGUGAUUUUCAGUUGGAACUAUGUAUACUUAUUUCUUCUUGGAUUGGUACUAGGUUAAAUCGGGAACUCUAUUCGACAACAUCCUGAUCACUGAUGACCCCGAGUACGCCAAGAAGUUUGCAGAGGAGACCUGGGGCAAGCACAAGGAUGUAUGCCAUCUAAUCACCAAGAUUUUUAGUUUUAUUUUGUUUUAAAUGUCUGAUGUAGACAACUAAGCCAAUGGUUAUUUUUCCUUAAAGGCUGAGAAGGCCGCCUUUGAUGAGGCCGAGAAGAAGAGGCUUGAGGAGGUAUAUAUGCAAACAUCUUCUGUUUGUUACUGCCUUCUACAUUAAAUCCAGUACUAACUAGUCAAUGUUUUCUGCCCGGCAGGAAUCCGCAAACUCUAAUGCCGAAGACAACGAUGACACGGCUGAUGUAAGCUGCAAAUCGAAUUAAUUUUAUCCUCAAAGUUUCUAACUGCUUAUAUGAUGGGUCUCAUCUUAACACAAAACUACAUUCUCUUACCUGCGGCAGGAGGACGAGGAUGUUGAUGGCAAAGCUGCCGGCGCCAGCGAUGAGGGGAAGGGGCAGCAGGUGUCUGCGGAUGAGAAGGUAGAGGAAAUUAGCAAGGAUGCUUCUUCUUCUGACAAGAAGGAUGAGCUUUAGAGUGUGGCAGGCAGGCUCUGUAUCUAAGCUUUUUCCUUGAGGCAGUAGAGCUUCCGAAGAACAUUUUCUCUGAAAGAUGAGAGAAGUAAUGCAAUCUCGGCUCUUGUAGUUUGUUAUGUGUCUUUUGUCGGUCAUAUGAAAUGGAAGGAAUAUAGCAUAGUCAUGGAUCUAUCUCGGUGCCUCGUCGUGUUUUUCUUUUGGAGCAACCGAUUGGAGCACAACCUUCUAAGUAAGUACAGAAGGAAUAAUUUACCUGUCAAAAAAAGUAGAAAAAAAAGUUCAGCUGAAAAACAGAAGAAUUGGCCACUUCUGGAGAGAAACAGGACGCAAAAAAAAAAAAUGAAGCACUUGCAGCGCAAUAGGUCUCAAACAAGCCCUGAAUGUUUUUGCCUCGUUUUGGAAAAUUCUGAUUUUUUUUCAAGAUGAAAUGUUUAUAAAAUGAUUAUUCUCUUUAAUCGGAUAUGAAUGUGCUUGCCCAGAUACUGCCAGUUGCAAAAUCACCAUCUCUCUGUUGAUUACAGAGCCACAAUGUUGUACUCAGUCCGUUAGGUUUUUCUGAUGCAAGACACUGCAGCUCAACAGUUUUCAGCAAAACUAAAAUGUUACCCCUCUCAGUACCAAAAUAUAAGAUGUUUUUGCAGUUCCGACUUCAACUACAAAAAAGUCUUUGUAUUUUGGUACAGAGGAAGUAUGUUCCACAAGGGAUGUACAAACUACAGUCGAACUGUUGAUUUGCAAGAUAACCACUACUUGUCUCGAAUAUCCCGCCUCUCCGAAUAAGCUAUACAUGCUACUGUAUUUUGGUAUGAUGAAACCCAAACAUACAUGUUCCAAACACAAACAGAAAACUGCUAGCAUAGAAGAAACAGAUUCAUACAGAGAGGGGGAAAAAGAGUACUGUCUUCUUGCAACUGAUGAAAUAUGUCGACGACGUUUAUCUCAUUUCUUAAAGAUGAAAUGCUCUUCAAAUGAUAGAAACAUUGUUGUAUAGAACAACAAACAGAUCCUGAAUCAUACAACUAUCAGGUUUAGCAGUUACGAAUAGUUUGCAAGUCUUUAGACCAAGUUGACACGGCAUCUUCAGACCAAGUCUUCAACAUCAUUCACUCUUUCACUUUUUCGGGGUGCCAAUGCCUCCACUUUUGGUGCCACUUCUUGAGAAUCACCUUUCUCCAAAGAUGGAGCGGCAUCCUCAACAUUGCUGCUAGAGGUCUUUGAGUCCUCAGCAUCGUCUUUGCUGGUUGUGCCCUUCACUGAUUCUUCAUUUGGUGCACUGUUGGGAACAUCAUCCAAAGAACCAUUCACUUCUUGAUCUUCAUCCAUAUUUGUCGAACGUUUAAGCACAAGGCCAUGAAAGCUACUGCAAUCUGUGGUAGAGCAGCACAGCUACAAUUAUUCCAUCAACCAUUUUGAUGCAUGACUCUGCCAACUAAGUUCUAUUCUGUUUAUAACAGACUAGUGCUUGCACAGAUUAUGAAGUAGUACAAUUCUAAACUACCAUACAAAUAAACUGCACAUUGAUGAAAUAUUUGUAACUAGCCAGCAUCAGAGGCGUAUAACUCUUCUCGAAUAGGAUAACAACUUAUCCCUCCAACAAACGCACUUCGAUUUAAUUUUCAUCACAGUACACAUAACAUUGUUAGGUUGAUCUCUUCCCGUGUGGGCCCAACGGCCCACCGGACCCUGAUCUACGCGCCCUGAUCGGGGGCGCCCAACCCGUUAUGGUUGGUGGGUCCCUGUGACACGCGCUAUAUAAACAGAGGUGAGGGUCGGGGCACGACUAACGAGGUUCGCCGCCGCCACACACCCCACCUACAAACCCAUCCGAUCUAGGGUUACUCCACCGACGCCACACCCUUCUCUGUCACCACUGCCGUCACCACCGCACCGACGGAGGCCGGCGGAAGUUCAUCAAGUUAUGGACAAGGUAACCUCCACUACUCCUACCGGACUCAUCUAACCUAGAAGAUCCACGGGAUCUAUCAAACAUGACAUAAGAUGCCAGGUCCUUAUUCGCAAGCACUGCCAUCAAAAAACACUAAGGUUAAUUCGACUUGCUGAAGCCCUCAAACUCAGUUGGGCUAGCCGCCAAACAUAAGAUAUAAACACCGCUUGGCAACCACAGUUGGAAUGUAAACUUCCUUGAUAGAUCUCAGAUUACAUGUACAAGGGUAUUUAUAGGAGAGAACUGCACGUCCCAUACAAGUGGUUGUAGUGGCCGACGUGGUCUAUCCUAGAUCCUAUACUUAUGCUAUGCAUAACGUUACAAGAUUGUCUAACAUCCCCCCUCAGCCGAAACAUCGUGGGGAAGGAUGUUCAGGAUGUAACGAAAAUCUGUAAAAACUGGUGAUGGCAGCCCCUUGGUGAAGACAUCAGCAAAUUGAGAGCUCGAAGGCACAUGUAGGACGCAAACUUCGCCAAGAGCCACCCGAUCGCGGAUGAAGUGUAGGUCGAUCUCAAUGUGCUUUGUGCGCUGGUGUUGCACCGGAUUACAGGCAAGGUAGGAGGCACUCAUGUUGUCACAAUACACGAUAGUGGCCCGUGUGGGAGGGAGAUGCAGCUCAUGGAGAAGUUGACGCAACCAACAGGAUUCAGCCACACAGUUGGCCACGCCACGGUACUCUGCUUCGGUACUGGACCGAGAGAUGGUGGGCUGUCUCUUUGAGGACCAGGAGACAAGGUUCGAGCCAAGGAACACACAAAAGCCAGAGGUGGACUUACGGCGGGCAACCAGCCCAAUCUGCAUUGGUGUAAGCAAUAAGAUCCAUGGAGGGGGACUUAUAUAGUUGGAGACCAUAGUGUGAAGUGCCCUGUAGGUACCGUAGAAUGCGUUUGACAAGUUGCAUGUGACUAUCACGUGGAGCAUGCACAUAUAAGCAGCCUUGUUGAACGACAUAGGCUAUAUCAGGUCGUGUGAGAGUUAGGUACUGGAGAGCUCCGGCGAGGCUGCAGUAUUUGGUGGGAUUAGAGAGUAGUUGGCUGUCCUGGGAGGAGGCCUUGGAGCUAGUGUCGAUGGGUGUUGAGACUGGCUUACAGUUUAGCAUCUUGGCGCGCUCUGGAUCUCUAGUGUGUAUUGUUUUGGCAUAGGAAGAGAUCCGAAGUGUUGGUGGUGACGUUGAUGCCCAAGAAAUGGUGGAGAGGGCCAAGAUCUGACAUGGAAAAUUCUGAUUUGAGCGAUGUCAUGACGGAGGCGAGGAUGGCGGGUGAGCUAGCCGUGAGAAUAAUGUCAUCUACGUAGACUAGCAAAUAAGCAAGAAAGUUGCCGCAUUGCAUGAUGAAAAGGGAGGAGUCACUCUUUGAAGCUUUGAAACCCAAAAAUAAGAGAAAGGCUUGGAACCGAAGGAACCAUGUGCGGGGAGCCUGUUUGAGGCCGUAUAAGGACUUGCGAAGAAGACAACCAUGAUCUGGCCGAGAGGAAUCCACAGAGCCCGCCGGUUGGGAGCAAUACACCGUCUCAUUGAGGUCACCAUGCAGGAAUGNNNNNNNNNNNNNNNNNNNNNNNNNNNNNNNNNNNNNNNGAAUGCAUUCUUGACGUCGAGCUGGUGAAUUGGCCAUGACUAAGAAGUGGCAAUGUUGAGCACCACGCGGAUUGUAGCCAAUUUCACUACCGGACUGAACGUUUCACCAUAGUCGACGCCUUCUUUUUGAGUGAAUCCGCGAACAACCCAUCUAGCUUUGUAGCGAGCCAAUGAGCCAUCAGGGUGGAACUUGUGACGAAAGAUCCACUUGCCCGUGACAGUGUUAACACGUGCAGGCUUAGGCACCAAAGACCAAGUAAAGUUAUCCAUUAAAGCAUGAUAUUCUUCUAACAUAGCUUGGUGCCAAUGGGGGUCUUUGAGGGCUGAUUUGUAGGUGGGUGGUAUGGAUGAAAUAGGUUGGGAUGUGGCAGCAGCAACAAACAAAUGUUUGGGCAUGAGAAAACCGGUUUUGGCAUGAGUGGACAUGCUGUGUACGUUUUGGGGUGGCCGAACCGGUAUUGCAUGGAGAGGGAUAGGUGGUGCAGGCGGAGUGGAUGCGUAGAAUGCGGGGAGGAUACGGUGGGGCCACCGGGUCUGUUGACAGGUGGAUCUGGUGAGGAAUGCGAGGAGGAGGCAGGCGAGCCAGUCGUGGCAGGAGAAUCAGGCGACAGAGAGGCAGGUGACGUGCCGCUGGGGCCGGGCGACGAGACCGAGGCGGAGGGGGCAGGAGAAUCGGCCUGGCGAGUUGAGGAGGAGCACACGGCAGCUGCGGAUAUGGGGGUAGGUGGGACACGAGGCGAAUCAGGAGGUGGUGGGCGUGGGGCCCGUACGAGGCUUGUUGGGCUGGAUCCAAGGAAAUCGGCCGGUGCAUGGGAUCUGCAUGGCGAUCCGGUGUGGACGUGGGAGUGGUGUGGUCUGGUGUGUGUGGGCGGUACGGAAAGACCGUUUCGUCGAAAACGACAUGGCGUGAAACGAUAACACGGCGUGUGGAGAGGUUGUAGCACCUGUAUCCUUUGUGCUCCAGUGGAUAUCCAAUGAAUAUGCAAGGGGAGGAUCGGGGGAUAGUUUGUGGUCCAGUGUGGCAUAUAGGUUGGGGAAACAUAAGCACCCGAAGACCCGAAGGUGGGAGUAGCCUGGUUGUACGCCAUGGAGGAGAUAGUAAGGUGUGUAUGGUGUUAUGGCGCGAGAUGGACGUCGAUUAAGGAGGUAUGUGGCGGUGUGUAAAGCUUCCACCCAAAAUGGAGGUGGUAAAGUGGCUUGAAGGAGGAUGGUGCGGACAAUGUACGGACAAUGGAGGUGGUAAUGUAGGUGGAGUCGGCGUCGACGGCGGCGCAGGGGUGGUGAAUAGAGGGACGAACUGAGAUCCGGGAGCGGGGGAAGAACCCUGGAAGAUGAAGGGUGACGAGGGCGCCCUUGGGGAGGCCGAGGCCGUGUGUGGGCGGCGGACGCCAUGGAGGACGCAGAGGCCGGCGUGGAGCCGGAGCUCGGGGCAGCGGAAGAGGAGGAGGCGGAGGCGUCGUGCUCGGCCAUGGGGUCCUGGGAAAACUGAUGCCAAGUUGGAAUGUAAACUUCAUUGAUAGAUCUCAGAUUACAUGUACAAGGUUGUUUAUAGGAGAGAACUGCACGUCCUAUACAAGUGGUUGUAGUGGCCGACGUGGUCUAUCCUAGAUCCUAGAUCCUAUACUUGUGCUAUGCAUAACGUUACAAGAUUGUCUAAUAACCACCUCAUCCUACAACAUCCAAAACUGUUCUGAACUCUCGUCGAUCAACCGAAAUGCAUCAUCUAUUAUCAUCUUCUCCCACUCACCACCUGCCUCCUCACAAGGUGUCGACGCCAGCAGAUUCUGGUCCUCGCGUCGGGGGGCAGGAGUGUAGAAGCUGACAACAGGAAUCAGGUUACAGAAGCCACGAUCAUCCUGCACCUUCGUCACCAACCCUGAUUGUGGAUCGAUUGUGAGGAUGCCGAUAACCGUAUCAACGAAAAUGACAUUUGGUCCCUCGGCAAAGCCCAUCACGAUCACUCUAUUAUCCGCAUCCCAUACCGGGGCAGCACUGGCUCUGGCUGGAAGCAAAUUUUCCAUGCAGAUGGUGCAUCUCACCACCCAUCGUGCAUCAGUGCCGUCAGUCGCCUCCCUUGCCCACAGUUUGAGGCGCAAACCCGACUCUUCACAGACACCCAGCCCACCAUCCUCGGCAAUCAUGAGUUUAAAUCUGCAGUCCCAGCCCAACCCAGCGUCAGGCUUGUAGCCGGGCUGGCAGUCCGGUGGGUCGAGGAUAGCCAGGCCGUGCCUCGCUACAUCGUACUCCAUGAUCAUCCCGGCGUCGGACAUGAAGUAGAGCAGAGAUCUCCCGACGAGCAGGCUGGAGUAUUCUUCAAAGAACAUGAUGAACCGGCUGAGCGUCGAGGUCAGCUCGCCCCACGUGCCGGUCUCCGACGAGUACACGCCGGCCGAAUUGACGUACUCUUCGUAGUCGUCAACGUCUUCGUUGUCGACGGCGAAGGCGAAGACCACGCGGAAAGGGCCCCCAAGGCAGUCGCGGUGGUCGCACCCGUCCACUGCGCAGAGCACCGCCGCGGCUGGCCAGCUGCCGUUGAACGCCGCGGGCACCGGAAUGCGCUGCUGGGCGCCCGUGAGUGGCUCCCACAGGAGCAGCUCCCAGGUACGAGUGUUGAUGCGCUUGGAGAGGAAGAGGGCGCGGCCGUGGCGGCAGUCGACGGCCCGCCAGGAGCGCCAGUCCGGGGCGGCGAGGGAGAAGGGCGACGCGGUGGUGUGCACGAAGUGGGGGAUGUCCUCGUCUGCCGAUCCGUGGAGGAAGCCGAGCACGGGGGGUGCGGGGUAGAGCUCGUGGAGGCGGCGGCGGAAGACGGGGUCGGAGACAAUGCCGCCCCAGGCCUUGCAGACGAGGGAGGCGCGGAGGAGGCAGGCGGGGUCGUUGGGCGGGAGACGGAGGAGGAUAUCUUCGACGAGCUCGUCCGGGACCGCCGGCGGCGAGGUGCGGCGGCGUCGCGUCGGCGGCAGUGCUGAUGCCAUGGCGCCUGGUUGUCGCUGGGUUUGAGUUUGUGAUCUGUGGGGAAGGGAUCAUUACCAAUUUAUUAAUUCCUACGGGGUUCGUUCACGGGCCGGACCGGGAUGGGGACGGGAGGUCCAUUUUGAAUCGGAGCAGGAUCACCAGUUACAGUAUUUUUCUUUUUAAAUUUUUAAGAAAAUCAACGAAAUUUGAAUUCACCCUCCGCAUAAAAAAUAUAAAAACGUUUAGAUCACUGUGAGUUGAUAUAUAAAAGUCAACAAAUCAAGCAUAGAAAGUUUCCAUGGCAUGAAGUUAUAUAACACACUAAAAAAGUAAGAAAUUAUAUAAAGUUCGCUUUAGGGCCACAUAUUGUGAAACUGAUGUUAGAUAAUUAAUUACUACAUUUAUGUCAACUCUAGUAAUUAAUGUGUAUGCAUGCUUAUAAAACUUGAUCAAUUAAAUUAAUGGGUGACGUUACACGUCCAUUCACGGAUAAAACGAAAACAUCGGCUGCCUCUAGGGCCAUCAGAUUGACGAAAAAGAGCCAUCAGAUCUCUCCAAAUGUGUGCGUCAUGAAUUGCAACAACAACUUGAUUGUUGUGAUGUUCACUCUGCAACGGUGCUUUAUUGCAAAACCACCCAAUGUCGAUUUUUUAGCAUGACACACUAUUUUCUUAAGCGUUUUCUUUUUUGCAACGAAAGGCAUGUUACAGAAAAAUAUUUGCAAUAAAGGCCGUGUUAUAUGUUUUUUUUCAUCUUUCAUCCUUUUGCAACAUAAAUGAUAUUGCGGAAGUAUUUUUUUGCAACAAGGAUGAUGUUGUAGAAAUUCUGAUAAAAUUGUACAUAUGCUUUUGCAACAAUAAUGUAUAUCAAUUCAAAAUUUUCAAGUAAAUAUGUAAUCAAGAGCAAAAUAAAAGUCUUACACGGUUGCUCUUGAAGGCUGCGGCCGCGGGCAUCGGGGUGUACUGCUAGGUGCCCGUGAUUUGCUUCCAUAGGAGGAGUUCCUCGGCGUCUUCCUGGCCCUUGGAGAAGAAGAGAGCACGACUGUAAUGACAGUCCGGCGCCCGCCAUAAGCGGCUGUCCGGGGUGGCGAGGAAGAAGGAGGAGGCGGUGGUGGGGAUGAAGCGGGGAAUCUCCUCGUCGUACCCGUUGUGGAGGACGACGAGCACGGGGGGUGUCCGGUGGAACCCGUGUAGGCGGCGACAGAAGGCAGGGUGGCACGCGGCGUCGCCCUAGAUCUUGUAGACAAGGGAGGCGCGGAGGAGGCGGGUUGGUUCGUCGACCGAGAGGUCUAAGAGCAUCUCUCAGACGAGCUCGCCCGGGAGCUCCGGCGGCGAGAUGUGGCGGUUCUGCCAUGGUGGUCGCGGGUUUGGGUGUGGGUGUGGGUGUGGGUAUGGCAGAGGUGGAGCGGUUGACGUUUGGGCUCAACCAGGUUGGCGAAAAAUAGUUUUCUUUUUCUUUUGAUGAAAAGGAAGUGCUUGUCAAAAAUGUUGAUGAUCAACAUUUGGAUGAUGACUCUAGGUUGUUCGACAGGAAGAAUGAACUUAAUUCUGGAGUUGUUUGAUGAUCUAGGCAUGAGUAAUAAAAUGUUGGUCUCUGCUCUUACACCAAGUUCCCAGUUGCUGCUGAGAAAACCUAAUGAGUGUGUGCAGGUAUCUAAUUAUUGGUUUCUUUGCUUUCCUUAUAAACUCUAAUCUUGAACAUGUUGAUGCGGUGUGAGUAGUAACUAUUGUUCCGAGGACAUGGAAGAAGUCUUGUUAUAAGUAAUCGUAUAAAGUUGGUAUUCGUUCGAUAUUUUGAUGAUAUGUAGAUUGUUACUUCUCUUCGUGGUGUCAUGUGAACGUCGACUACAUGACACUUCAGCAUAUUAUGGGCCUAAGAAAGUCAUUGUGAAGUAACAAGUAGAUAAUGGGUUGUGAGAGUGACAAAAGCUUGAACCUCGGUUUAUGCGUUGCUUCAUGAGGGGCUGAUUUGGAUCCACACAUUUAAUUCUAUGGUUAGAUUUAUCAUAAUUCUUUGUUCAUAGUUGUGGAUGCUUGUGAGAGAGGAUAAUCAUAAUUAAGUUGGUUGUUUGUUUAAAUAAGAACAACACCUUAGCACCAGUCCACCCACAUAUUAAAUUAUCAAAUUAGCGAACGCGAAUCAACUCAAUAUGAUGAACAUGACUAGACAGAAAUUUCCAUGUGUCAUUGGGAGCGCUUGGUUUAUAUAAGAGUAAUUUCAAGCCUGUCUUCUGCUACAAAAAUGAUUGGGCUACCUUGCUACACCUUUACUACUAUUGCUACUUGUCACUUGUUACGAAUUAUCUUGCUACAAAACUUUGUAUCACUGUUACUUACAACACUGUUAAUUUUGAUCGGCCCAUUUAACACAUGCAUUAAAUCAAUCAAAUCAGAUCUUUUCUAAAACAACGCUAAUGACCCAUAAUUAUAGGGGAUCAAUCGUAGUCCUUACAGGAGACAUUUUACUCAUUUGCAGUUAAUUUUGGUCGGCCCGUUUGACGCGUGCAUUAACUCAAUCAAAUCAUCUCUUUCCUAAAACAACGUCAUACAUCUCUAUUCAUACUCACUUCUCACUCCAUCGACAAACCCUAUAUUACGCCCGCGAGCAUCUUACAGGCGAUAUUUCGCUGAACUGCAGCCAAUUUUGGCCGACCCAUUUGACACGAGCAUUAACUCAACCAAAUCGCCUCUUUGCUAAAACAUCGCCAUACAUCAACUUCCCCAAAUGAAAUCAUUACUUGCCAAAACAUCAACCUACUAUUAACUCAAUCAAAUUGGUUAUUUUCUAAAACAACGUUAUACGUCUGUACUCCUAAAGUGGUGGUGGUGCCUCACUUACCAACACUCCAUCGACAAACCCUAUAUUAAGCCCGUGAACGUCUUAGAGGCCACAUUUCCCUCAACUGCAUUCUAAUUUGGCCGGUCCAUUUGACACGUGCAUUAACUCAAACAAAUCGACUCUUUCCUAAAACAACACCAUAAGUUAAGUUCUUCAAAUCAAAUCAUUAAUUACCAAAACAUCAACCUACUAUUAACUCAAUCAAAUCAUCUCUUACCUAAAACAAAGUCAUACAUCUAUAUUCCUAAAGCCUCAGUUGGUAGUCUCGUCUCAGUUCCCACCACUCCGUCGACAAACCAUAUAUUACGCCCACGAGCGUCUUACACGUGACAUUUCGCUCAACUACAAUCAAUUUUGGCCGACCCAUUAGACAUGUGAAUUAACUCAAUGAAAUUGGCUCUUUCCUAAAACAACACCAUGCAUCAACUUCUCUAAAUUAGAUCAUUAUUUACCAAAACUUCAACCUACUAUUAACUCAAUCAAAUUGCUAUUUCCAAAAAAAGUCAUACAUCUCUACUCCUGAAGUAUCAGUCGGUAGUCUCGCCUCACUUUCCACAUGUCCAUCGAGAAAUCCUAUAUUACGCAUCCGAGAGUCUUACACGGGACAUUUCACCCAUCUGUUGUUAAUUUUGGUCGGACCAUUUAACAUGUGCAUUAACACAAUCAAAUCGGAUCUUUCAUAAAACAACACUGAUGACCUACAAGUAUAGGGGAUUAAUCGUAGUCCUUUCGAUAAGUAAGAGUGUCAAACCCAACGAGAUGCAGAAGGAGAUGAUAAGCCGAUUUGUUUUAGGAAAGAACCGAUUUGAUUGAGUUAAUGCACGUGUCAAAUGGGCCGACCAAAAUUGACUACAGUUGAGCGAAAUGACACCUGUAAGAUGCCCUCGAGCGUAAUAUAGUGUUUGUCGAUGGAGUGGUGGGAAGUGAGGCAAGACUACCAAAUGAGACUUUAGGAGUAGAGAUGUCUGACAUUGUUUUACCAAAGAGCCGAUUUGACUGAGUUAAUAGUAGGUUGAUGUUUUGGUAAAUAAUGGUUUGAUUUGAAGAAGUUAAUGUAUGGCAUUAUUUUAGAAAUUAGAUGAUUUGAUUGAGUUAAUGCACGUGUCAAAUGGACUUGCCAAAAUUGACUGCAUUGUGCAAAAUGUCAUAUGUAAGAUGCUCACAGGCGUAGUAUAGGGUUGUUCAUGGAGUGGUGUAGAGAUGUAUGACGUUGUUUUAGAAAAGAGCCAAUUUAAUUGAGUUAAUAGUAGGUUGAUGUUUCUGUUAUUAAUGAUUUGAUUUGAAGAAGUUAACAUACGACAUUGUUUUAUGAAAAAGUCGAUUUAAUCGAGUUAAUGCACAUGUCAAAUGAACCAGUCAAAAUUGAAUGCAGUUGAGCGAAAUAUAACCUGCAAGACGCUUGUGGGUGUAAUAUAGGAUUUGUCGAUGGAAUGGUGGUAAGUGAAGCGAGACUAUCAAUUAAGACUUUAGGAGUAGAGACUACUUCGCUGGCGUCCCAUACUUUGGUGCAGGGUGUGAUUUAUUCUACUGUCACAAGAAAAAGAAUGUGAUAGAGAUAACUAACCAGCCUGGUCACAAGGAGGUUCAAAAAAUUUACCCAAUUAAUUAAUGUGCGGUACCAUCAGCUUAUAUACAUGUUUUUAGACCUUCUUUCGGUUUUUCUUUUCCAUCUUUGAUUCUUCAAUUUUCCUAUUUUAUUUUUGAAAUCAAAUAUUUUUUCCAAUCACAAAUAUUCUUCUACAAAUCCAUGAACAUUUUUUAACAACUCAUGGGACUUCUGAGUCCGAUUUACUGAAGAAAAGCUUGGCAUGCUCGUCUAUUCUUUUUGUUCCGCACCAAUUAACCACAUGUAUAUCAGCGUGCGUUGAUGCAUGCUAUGGUCUAAUUAUACAAACACGUUAAAAAGGGCAUGGAGCACAAAAUGUUCAAUUCUGAGAACGAACACAUACACAUACACAUAUAUAUACACGCUCCAUCGGUGAUAUUCAAAACACUCAGUACCUCACUACUUGUUAAAAAAAACUAGUACAAGUUCAAGUAUUAUGAUACACAGGGAGUAAAAAAUACUCCCUCCAUCCCAAAAUUCUUGUAUUAAGUUUGACUAGAAAUGGAUAUAUCUAAAUACUAAAAUGUGAUUAGAUAUAUUCAUACUUAGCCAAAUGUAAGACAAGAAUUUUGGAACGAAGAGAGUAGUAAAGACCACCACUGGUAAAGACGACCUAUAUUGAUUUGAUCCAAAAGCAAACUACCCAAGUCCCAGCCGAAAGGUGGUUGCCAUAUCUCAUCACAACAUGAAAUAAAAGGAAAAGCAAAAGCGACGAGCAACCAUAUUUCUGUCUGUCCAAGUGUACGUCAUUGUUAAGCCUGUACGCUGUAGCUGCAACCAAAUAUUUUCUGAUACACACUACACUAAACUACACUGUAGCUGGCUGUAGUACCAUAUAAAAAGAAAUCCUUCCUUUCAACAAAUUACUAACUACAAGUUGGGUGUUGAUUAUAUGGAUACGGUGUCUCCACUGAAUAUAUAUAAUGACCCUACAACUCAAAAAGAGCUACAAUACAAAUGUAUAGUUAAUAUGAAAUGAAGGAAAUGCCUAAUCUAAUCUUACGCGCUAAAAUUCUUAGGUACACUUUGUCUUUGACUUGCCUAAUCUUAGGUGUGUCUAGGACCAAACACCUACGCACUUAACUUUGAGUUAUGGCUAGGAACCAAACAGCCGGAAACACUUUCAAACGUUUUUCAUUUUUUCAGACAUAGUAGCAAAAAACCAAGCGUUGUUGUUACUCAAAUGAAUGAUCACUCGCUUACCACAAACAGACCCUGAAUCGUUCCGGUCGCACAUCAACUUUUAGGUUUACCCAAUGGCAAAUACGUACCAUUUUACCAGUGCGGCUUUGCAUCAGAAUUCCAGUUGCAACCCUAUCUUGAGACCAUGCCUUCAGCAGCAUUCACUUCUCCAAAGGCCAAAGCCUCUGCUUUUGGCGCCUUGAUUCUUGUCAAAGUUCUGGCCCUGAUAAACUAAGGUACAUAAACUGCCUGCUGAAUCCAUGAGCAGGCCAUGAAAAAAGACAGAUAACUAAUACUCAUGUUCCCCAACUGCAGAGAAGAAAAAGAUUCAACUCAAGGCGCCGAUGACUGACGAAACAUCCAGGAUCAGCAUAGCACUAGCAGCACACAACAGAUUGAAAUGUUAGUUCAUCUGAUAUACAUAUAUAUAUAUAUAUAGAGAGAGAGAGCUAAACUUCUGUAAGAGGCAUGUAAUUCUACCGUAAUGAAUUGAGUGAGACAGAACAUAAUACGUAUGGAUUUUACAUAAAAAGUAAAAUUUCACACAUGCACAAGAACAUGCAAAAUGGUUUAUAUGACCCUCCAAGACCAAUGCAAAUGACAUCCCAUCACAACAAAGAGCAAACAAUAUAGCCUUUACAGAGCAGGGCAAACAUUCCAAUUUGAUAUUGAACAUGGCAAACAUUGACAAAAAAAAAAACUAACAUAUCAAAAUGCAGAAUGACGCCAACUUUUAUCUGGCUACUUGUAUACGGAUCAGUAGAUGAGCAACAUAAAACAGCUAAUGCCGUGUCGGAGGCAUAUCUUCACAAUUGCAGUAACUUUAUAUGUAGCUGAAUCGUAUUUCACAGACAGUGGACAGUCUGUUGCUAGUCUCUUUUCAAGAAGUGUCAGCAGAGACCUGACAUUACCACAUUUGAAGCCUUUGCCUACAACCCCAAGGUUAUUUACAGUACUCAUAUAUCAUGAUGGUAUACGAGUACUGUAAAUCAUUAAGAAAUAGAAACAGUAAGAGAUCCAUACAAAUGAUUAAGUGAUCCAACUUAAUUAUUAUAUCAUGAUGAUGAUAGAUAGAUAGAUAGAUUGGUUCAUUCAAUACCAACUAUUCACAUUAUUGCAUAACUUAUGUAAGACAUGAUUGAAAAGAGGGGCUCUUGUGUAGUAAAGGCUACCUUGUGCGAGUAUACUAUUAAGAUAGAUCCAUAUAUCUUCAAACUGCCAUUGCUAUUCCAAGUGUAUAGAAGAAAGAUAAAACAACACGUAUAUAAAUUUAAAAGGCAAAUGGCGGACAUCUGGCACCAGACACAAGUUCAAGAUAUCGUCAACCCAUGGCACAAGUUUUUUUUAAGAAAUGAAAGCAUUUUCUGCUUUCAGUAGCAUCAUCUACUAUCUAUUAAUAUAUAACUAAAUAAGAAUUAUUAGCAAAACAACAUUGAAAUGGUCUUCUAUGGAACGGCGAUGAGAAUUCAAGAGAUAAGUCCAAAUAUCAAUUAGUUCCUUCCAAGUCCCAAUUCCCAAACAAGACUUACUAGUUUGCAUACGCAGGACUACAUGGCCAUUUUUCCAAGGGAAUAUAUGACUAACUGGGGGCAGUGGCAGUGCUUCGCUAAAACUAUGGGGUAGUUGAUCCCAAAAGUUACUUGUGAAUAUUCCAUAGAAUGAAAUUUCAUGCAAAAACUUAGGGAGAAUGCAAACUUAAGAGAAUAUAAGGUAUUUCACUACACAGUUGUGCAGCCCUGGCACCACUACUGGUCCAAAGAAAGGGGCAAUGAUAUACUAUACCUUCUUCAGAAUCACCUUUGUCCGAAGAUGGGGCAGCAUCCUCACCAUUGCUAGCAGAGGUCUUUGACUCCUCAGCAUCAUAAUCUUCGUUGGAUGUGGCCGUCACCGAUUCUUCACUUGAAGCACUCCUGGGGACAUCAUUCAAAGAAUCAUUCACCUCUUGAUCUUUAUAUGCACAUUCAUAUUUGUGGAACGUUCUAGCACACCCCAAAACGAAGGCAUAAAUUUUCAGUCUAUAAUAGUUUAUAGAUAACACAAGACCAUGAAAGUUACAGCAAUCUGAGGUAGAACGGGACAGCUAAAAUUAUUCCAUCAGACAUUUUGAUGAGAUGAGGUGACAAAUAUGUUCUGUUGGUUGCUGUUCAUAACAACAGACUAGCCAGCACCAGAGGUAUGUAACUCUUCUCAAAUAGAAUAAGACCUAUCCCUCCAAUAAAAUACACUUUGAUUCAAUGUUCAUCACAAUGCACAUAUCAUAGCAAAAGAUGUCAGGUCCUAACUCUCAAGUACUGCCAUCGAAAAACACAAAGGUUAAAUAAACCCACUGAAUCCCCAGAACCACGUCAAAGUCCUAAAGUAAGCAAGGGCACAUGGAAAUCAACAACUGAUCGUAAAGAGUACCACUAGUGGGAAGUAUUUUUUACACAAUCACAUCCGUACAAAUGUUUCAGUGUAGCUUGGAAUAGGGGAGGCGUUUGAGAGUAGAACCCUUACCUGAUAUUGAGGUCAUGGUUGACACAUUCAAAGGUGUUAACAAAGCCCCCCUCCUUGUCAAGCAGCUGCUGUGCCUCAUCUACUGUUUUCUCCUCCUCUUCCCCCUCCUCAUCACCUACCUCCUCACUAGGGAUCGGCGGCAGCAGAUCCUGACAUUCGCCACGGUCCACAGGAGUGUAGAAGCUGACAACUGGAAUCAAAUUACAGAAGCCACGAUCAUCGCACACCUUCUUCACCCACUCCGACUGUAGCUCGAUUGUGAAGAGGCCAGCAACGGAGUUAACGAAAAUGACAUUCACUCCCUCGGCAAAUCCCAACACAGUCACUCUAGUCUCUGCAUCCACGAGAGCAGCAUCAGGGAGCAAAUUUUCCAAGUGGAUGACCCGGCUCAAGACCCAUAAGACCCAUUGUGAAUCAAUGCCGUCACUCUCCUCCCUUGACCAUAAUUUGAGUUGCGAACCAAAAGCUUCGCUGACUCCUAUUCCACCAUCUGCCGACACCAUGAUGUUAAAUGUCUGCUCGGGGCCGUCGUGUGGCGGGUUGAACCCAGUGAGGUCGUGGCUGGCCAAGUCAUACUCUAGGAUCCACCCACUGUCGGACAUGAAGUAGAGCAGAGAGCCCCCAACGAGCACGCUGGAAUGAGAUGUGAAGAUCAAGCAGGACCGGUGGUACAUCUGGGUCGUCAGUUCACCCCAUGCGCGAGUCUCUGACGAAUAGACGCACGCCAGCGUGAGACCGGGACACCGCAACUGGUGGUAGAUGGGAACGGUGAAGACGAAGACGACGCGGAAGGGAUCCCCGCGGCAGUCGCGGUGGUCGCAUCCGUCCGCUGGGCAGAACACGGAGGCGGUCCGGUACCUGUAGCCGUCCUUGAACAGCGGGGGCACCGGCACGCGCCGCUCGAUGCCCGUUCUUAGAUCCCACACGAGGAGCUGCUGAGCACCGGAGACCUUGGAGUUGGAGAGGAAGAGGGCGCGGCCGUGGCGGCAGUCGAGGGCGAGCCAGGAGGUGAGGCCUGGGGCGGGGAGGGAGAAGGACGAGGCGGUGGUGGAGAGGAAGCGGGGGACGCGCUCGUCCUCCCAGUUGUGGAGGAAACCGAGCAAGGGGAGCGCCCGAUGCCGAUGCAGCCCGAUGAAGCGGCGGCGGAAGUGGGGGCUGGAGACGGUGUGGCUCCAGGUCUUGCAGGCGAAGGAGGCGCGGAGGAGGCAGGCUGGGUCGUCGGGUGGGAGGCGGAGGAGGAUUUCUUCGACGAGAUCGUACGGGAGCGCCGCCGGCGAGUCGGGGCGGCUUGGCGGCGGCGGCGCUGCCAUGGUGUCGCUCUCUGGGUGUGGGUGUGGGUUGGGGUUGGGUUGGGAACAGGUUCGGCUCAACCGGUUGGACUCUCGAGCUCUACUGUGCCACUCUUUUUUUUUAAUAAAUACACUAGCGGUAGCGGUAGUCACUGAUUGAGUGUCAAGCAUAUUAUGGUCACUGAACUUUACACGAUACGCUUAAGGGCUUGUUCGGUUAAUCCCAGUCAGGAGGGGAUUGGAGAGGAUUGAAGAAGAUUGAGAUGGAAUUUGACUUAUAAGGGAUUUAAUCCCUCUCAAUCCCCUCCAAACCCCUUCAAUUCUUUAAAAACCGAACAAGGCCUAAUAUUGUCAUUAAAUACGAGUUGCCGUGUUUAUAUGAUCAUUGGAUCAUCGUAGAGCUCCGUAUUUUGUCUCGUUGACUGGUCAAAUAGUCUUCUCGCCCUGCUCCUUCUCUUCCUGUCGCUGUUGUUGCUCGCGCCUGCGGAGGUAAUCGCCGCUGCUCCUCCUCUUCAUGUCGCUGCUGCUGCUCACACCUGUGGAGGUAACUGAUGGAGAACGUCGCAUGGGAAACAAAAAAUUUCCUACGCACACGCAAUACCUAUCAUGGUGAUGUUCAUCUACGAGAGGAGAUUUCCGAUGUACGUACCCUUGUAGAUCGCACAGCAGAAGCGUUAAGAAACGCGGUUGAUGUAGUGGAACGUCCUCACGUCCCUCGAUCCGCCCAGCGAACCGUCCCGCGAUCCGUCCCACGAUCCGUCCCACGAACCAUCUCGCGAUCCGUUGCACGAACCGUCUUGCGAUCCAUCUCACGAUCCAUUCCGAUCUAAUGCCGAACAAACGGCACCUCCGCGUUCAGCACACGUACAGCUCGAGGAUGAUCUCGGUCUUCUUGAUCCAGCAAGAGAGACGGAGAGGUAGAUGAGUUCUCCGGCAGCGUGACGGCGCUCCGGAGGUUGGUGAUGAUCUAUCUCAGCAGGGCUCCGCCCGAGCUGCGCAGAAAUACAAUCUAGAGGAAAAACCGUGGAGGUAUGUGAUCGGGCUGCCGUGGCAAAGUUGUCUCAAAUCAGCCCUAAUACCUUAGUAUAUAUAGGAGGAGGGGAGGGACCUUGCCUUGAGGCUCAAGGAGCCCCAAGGGGUCGGCCGAAGGGGGGGGGGGGGGGAGGAUUUCUCCUCCAAUCCUAGUCCAACUAGGAUUGGAAGGUGGAGUCCUUCUCUAUUUUCCCACUUCCCCUUUUUUUCUCUUUGAUUUUCUUUCUCUCCUGCGCAGGGGCCUUCUUGGGCUUGCCCACCAGCCCACUAAGGGCUGGUGCAGCACCCCUAAGGCCAAUGGGCUUCCCCGGGGUGGGCUGCCCCCCCGGUAAACAUCCGGAACCCAUUCGUCACUCCCGGUACAUUCCCGGUAAUGCAGGAAACUUUUCGGUAAUCAAAUGAGGUCAUCCUAUAUAUCAAUCUUCGUCUCCGGACCAUUCCGGAAACCCUCGUGACGUCCGUGAUCUCAUCCGGGACUCCGAACAACAUUCGGUAACCAACCAUAUAACCCAAAUACGCAUAAAACAACGCCGAACCUUAAGUGUGCGGACGCUGCGGGUUCGAGAACUAUGUAGACAUGACCCGAGGGACUCCUCGGCAAUAUCCAAUAGCGGUACCUGGACGCCCAUAUUGGAUCCUACAUAUUCUACGAAGAUCUUAUAAUUUGAACCUUAGUGCUAAGGAUUCAUAUAAUCCCGUAUGUCAUUCCCUUUGUCCUUCGAUAUGUUACUUGCCCAAGAUUCGAUCGUCAGUAUCUGCAUACCUAUUUCAAUCUCGUUUACCGGCAAGUCUCUUUACUCGUUCCGUAAUAUAAGAUCCCGUGACUUACAUUAAGUCACAGUGCUUGUAAGGCUUGUGUGUGAUGUUGUAUUAACGAGUGGGCCCCGAGAUACCUCUCCGUCACACGGAGUGACAAAUCCCAGUCUUGAUCCAUACUAACUCAAUGGACACCUUCGGAGAUACCUGUAUAACAUCUUUAUACUCACCCAGUUACGUUGUGAUGUUUGAUAUACACAAGGCAUUCCUCCGGUGUCAGUGAGUUAUAUGAUCUCAUGGUCAUAGGAAUAAAUACUUGACACGCAGAAAAACAGUAGCAACAAAAUGACACGAUCAACAUGCUACGUUCAUUAGUUUGGGUCUAGUCCAUCACAUGAUUCUCCUAAUGAUGUGAUCCCGUUAUCAAGUGACAACACUUGCCUAUGGUCAGGAAACCUUGACCAUCUUUGAUCAACGAGCUAGUCAACUAGAGGCUUACCAGGGACAGUGUUUUGUCUAUGUAUCCACACAAGUAUUGUUCUUCCAAUCAAUACAAUUAUAGCAUGGAUAAUAAACAAUUAUCAUGAACAAAGAAGUAUAAUAAUAACUAAUUUAUUAUUGCCUCUAGGACAUAUUUCCAACAGUAACCGCCGUCCCCGUGUUGUUCUGCUGGCCGCGGGCGCCCCCGGGGCAGCUCAGGCGGGUGUAAGGGGGCCCGACCGGCUCCUUGACGUCGCUGACCGCGUUCAGGCGCGGGCUGUAGGCCGCCACGACGGAGGGAGGAGGUGGAGGAGGGGGAGGCGGUGGCGGCGACGCGCCCGCCGUGAGCUGGAUCUUAGGAGGCAACUGGUGCUGCGACGUGCUAACGGGAGGCGGCGGGGUCGGUGAUGGAGAUGGAGCCGUCGAUGGAGCUGGCGCGGGCGGCAUGUCGGGGUCGUUGGGGUCGCGGAGGAGCGGGAGGCUGAGGGACAGCUCCUGCUCCGGCGGCUUCGGCCCGCGGUGGAGGAGGCGGGGAGCGGUGGUCUUCGUCGAUGAAGAGGAAGAACAAGACGACGACGCGUGCUGCUUCCGCAUCCGGAGCAGGUCCCCCCACCUCCUGGCCGGAACCUUGGGCUCCUCCACCGCCUGCUCCGCCUCCGCCCUCGGCAUCUCCUCCGACCUCGGUGUCUCGGGCUACUGCGUUGUCGGCGCCGGGGCGAGCGGAGGCUACGUGGCCGCCGCCGCCACCUCCGAGGAAAGCCGCUCGAAGACGGGAGGCGGAGCGACACGAGCUUGCCCCCGGAGAAGAGCUCGUUGGGGGGCAGCAUGGUGGAGACGGUCGAGCAGCCGGCGAGGAGGAACUCGAAUUCGGUGCUGGCCUUCUCCGCUCUCCACCUCCUCCAGCGUCCUUGCCACCGCCGCACCCGUCGGCGUCCUCGAGGCUGAAGGAGACGCGCGGGGCGAGCCACUACAUCGGGGCCGAGGGCGACAACGACGGGGCCAGGGGCGCGACAUCGUAGUGGAGGCCAUUGAUCGGAUCUAGGCGACACAGGGUUCGCUGUUGCGCGUGCGUCGGAAUGGGAGCCCGAGCGAGUUCUCUUUUCUUCUUCCUCGCUGUACAUCCGGCGAGUACUCCGAGAAGGUGCUGGACUGCAUUGAUCCGCCAUCGUUCGCAGGGGCGGCCACCUUGAACGGCGCCAGCAGCCUACGCGUCCUCGCGGAGAUGAUGGCCACCGGCUCCACCACGAGCUCUGGCCGCGCUAGGGCUGGCCCGUCCCGUGUCGGCCCGGCCUGUUUGGCAUAUGGUUGUAGAUGCUCUUAUGCAAGAAAAAAAAAUCUCAUUUCACGCGUCCAUCGACACGAGGCUGAGCCCAACCACUCCACACCGCCGCCGCCUCUUGCCGCCGGCGCUCCCGGACGAGCUCGUCGAAGAAAUCCUCCUCCGCCUCCCGCCCGACGACCCGGCCUGCCUCCUCCGUGCCUCGCUCGUCUGCAAGACCUGGAGCGGCAUCGUGUCCCACCCCGCCUUCCGCCGCCGCCUCCACGAGCUCCACGGCGCACCCCCUGUCCUCGGCUUGCUCCACAACUUCGAGAACCAGCGCAUCCCGCACUUCUUCCCCACCACCGCCUCAUCCUUCUCCCUCGCCGCUCCGGACCGCCGGUUCUGGCGGGCCAUGGACUGCCGCCACGGCCGCGCCCUCUUCCUCUCCAAGGGCCAGCGGGACACGAUGGAACUCAUCGUGUGGGAGCCAAUCACGGGCGCCCUGCAGCGCGUACCGGUGCCCGCUGCCGCGGCCUUCAAGAGCGACCAUCCGACGGCGGCCGUGUUCUGCGCAUCGGACGGAUGCGACCACCGCGACUGCCUCGGGGGCCCUUUCCGCGUGGUAUUCGUCUUUGGCUUGUGUUUCUGUGACGACGAUGACAAUGACCAAUGUGUCACGUCAGCGUGCGUAUACUCGUCGGAGUCUGGCACUUGGGGCGAGCUGACCUCGAUGGACGAACAGUUCGGCAACUUUGGAGAUCAUUCCAGCGUUCUUGUUGGGAGGUCUCUGCUUUACUUCAUGUCAUAUGGGGGGUUGAUUCUGGAGUAUGACUUGAGCAGGGACAGCAUGACUUGGUUGGACACACCAUGUGAGCACUACCCGAAUCCGGAGCAAAUGAACCUCAUGUUGAUGGAGGAAGGUGGACUCGGAGUUACCGAAGUCUUGGAAUCCCAUCUCAAAUUGUGGUCAAGGGAGGUGAGUGACGACCCUCAUGGACGAUGGGUACUCAGCCGGGAUAUCUACUUGGAAAAUUUACUCCCAAAUGGUGCUCUCGAGGGUUAUGUGUAUUUGUUGGGUUUUGCCGAGGGAGCGAAUGUUAUUUUCAUGAUCACGGUUGCUGGCCUCUUCGCAGUCGAACUACAACCAGAGCGGGCGAGGAAGGUGUGCGAUGGUCAUGGCUUCUUUAAUCUGAUUCCAGUUGUCAGCUUCUACACUCCACAUUGUAGGCUCCAAGCACUUGGGGGCAUAGACCACGAUCCACCACCACGCCCGAACCCUACUCAGGGCGUGGGUGGGUGGCAGGGGGGAGGGGACGAGAAAUCACUAGAGCAGGCACAACAGCUGUUCGAUAAGGGGUGGAAGGCUCUCAAGGAGACGGACUUUGCCAAUGCCAUUAACUGCUUCAGCCACACCCUCAAGAUCAGGUUAGGGUUCUACUUCCAAACUCCAUUAAUUCUCCCAGACAGGCUGUAGCGUAUGUAUGGUGGAUUGUGUGGAAGAAUAACUUACAUUUAGUUCAGUGUUUUUUUUUCACGUGUCCGUAGUCACAUUAAACCUUUGACAUUUGUAGUUAGUUUAGUAAGAUUUAAGAUGUUAGGUAAUUACAAAGGGUGGUGUUUUGGUCUGCCGUGUUGACUAGCGUUGACGGUGUGUGUUGGUAUUUGAGGGAUUAGUGAGUACAGUUAGACAGCGUGACCUGAUGCUCCUGUGCCUCACAUCUCUGUUAUGAUAUAUGUACUACAGUGAGCAUCAUAUUAGAGUCUGAAUGCUUGAUGGAUAUGUACUAUCGUAUUUGACAAGAGUUAUAUUCCUCUCCAGUACUGGCUAGAUGCAAAAUUUCAUCGAUGUGCAGUUUAUAUAUAUAUAUACAGUACUUCAGAAUUGUAUUUCAUAAUCUGAGCAAGCACUAAGUUGUUAUAAAUGACAGUCAACAUAGCACAGCUAGCACCUUGUUUUGGUGGAAUAAGGCUGGUUGUGUUGUUCUACCUUAGAUUAUAUUAAUGUUCAUGGCCUUAUUGUUAACUGUGUGUAGUUCAUAUAUAUGUACGGUACUUCAGAAUUGUACUUCAUAAUCUGUGCAGUUCUACCUUAGAUUACAAGGUGCUAACUAUGUGCAGUUUAUAUAUACGUACAGUUCUUUGGAAUUGUACUUCAUAAUCUAUGCAAGCAGUAUUUAGUUAUUAUGGAAGACAGUCAACAUAACACAGUCAGCACCUUGUGUAUUGAAAAUGGUUGAUGGAAUAAUGGUGGUCAUGUUGUUCUACCUUAGAUUACAUUAACGGUCAUGGCCUUAUUAUUAUUAUGUUAUAAGCUAGCUUAAAAACAAGACAUUGAUAAAUUUAUGUCAUGAUGUCAUGUAGGGUAGUACAUUAUGGUGUACUUGCUCCUGAGUGUGCUAGCACGUUUUAUGGAUAUGGACGUGCCUUGCUAAGUAAAGCUCUCAAAGAGUCCAAUCCUUCGGGUAUUGUUUCAAAGAAUGCAUCAAAUAAAGAAUCAGCCGAAAGUACAGCCACAACCAGCAAAAAUGCUGCUGCAAGGAGCUCGAAGACCUGUAGCAAUACUGAGCAUGUUCCACCUCUGGAGAAAGGAGAUUCUGAAGGUAUGCUGUGUAUCACUUGUACCACUGUUGGGUGAAAUAUAUCACUGCAUUUUGCAUCGUUCUCUAGGUUUUGUAUGGAGAUUCUCUUGUAUGGAAUGUUUUCUUAGUAAACUGGGUGAUUAGUUGACCCCACAACGUGGCCACUGCUACUGCCCCAGACAGCCAUAUACUCCCUCCGUCCCAAAAUUAUUGUCUUAGGUUUGUCUAGAAAUGAAUGUAUCAAAAUACUAAAACAUGAUUAGAUACAUUUAUAUCUAAACAGAUUUAAGACAAGAAUUUUGAGACGGAGGGAGUACAUUGAAAGCCAUUAUUAUGCUUUUUAUUUAUAUAGUUGAUAACAUCCUACUGAUGACAGUUAUUUCUCAUCGUUUGUUCAUGCCUACUGAAGAGUAUACCUUAAAAACUGCCAAUCAGUACUGUACUCAUGCUAAUGCAAACUAAUAGUCUUGUUGGGGACUUGAACUGUUUGCUGUUUGAAGUAGUAUCAAAUCCUCAUCAUCAUUCCACAUGCGACCAUUUAAUCAAUUGUGUUUUUCUAAUUGUUUUUAAGGUGGGAUCUUUAUACCAGAUGAUGUUGAAGAAAACAGAAAAAAUGCUUUUACUGCUUACAGCAAAGCUUUGUAGGGCAUCCUGGCCCGAUUGGUUAGAUUCGCGUGCGCUGCCCUUAAUUACCAGGCACGCCAACUGUCAGGGUUUCGUCUAGACAGUGUCGUCGAUGUAUGGCGGUUUGUUCGGUAAGGAUGAAUGCUCGGGCUCGGCGGUUCGGAAUGGUAAAGCGUAUACACCGUGAGUUUACCUAGGUUUGGGUCCUUCGGGGAGGGGGUAAGACCUGCUCCUGCCUCGUAAUCUUUAUUAUCACGGUGGUCGCUGGGGAUAUGGAGGAUCAUUGCUGAGAUCUAUCCUAGUGGUUACAACCCUACACCCUGUGGUGGUGGGGUUGCUUGAAGAUAGAUCCGUCCUAGGGUUUUCUCUCUCUCCCCACUUGGGUUUUAUCUAGCUGUCCGGGUCCGGGUUACAAAGUCUGGUUCUUGAAUCCCCGGGAGGGAGGUCCCAGAGGAACGCCGGGGUCUCCCGGGACGUGGUCACGCGUCCUUGGAGGAUGAAGGUCUUGAUCUUCGGGUCCCUCGUCGCCGCCGGUUGGAGAGCAUGACUGAAAAACGCAGACUGACACCAUGCGUAUAACUUGCUUAAAUGCUUGAACAACAACGUUGCGCUGCUUGUAAUUAGUGAGAAAAACAGCACAUUAUAGGGCCGUUAAUAGCACGCUAUAGCGUUCUGAGCAAUGCCUUGCUAAAUAAAUCAUCAUACAAUGUCUCCCUAAUCUAAUAGCACGCUAUAGCAUGUUAUAGCAUGCUAAUUGCAUAUUUUCAGGGCCAUGCUAUUUUGUCUUAGCAUGUUUUUUUCGUUGCUUGUAACCCCUUCUCUCUACUUCUCUUGGUCUUCUCUGUAAUCACCUGCAACUUUGGCCUUUUUGAAAUGAUAAUUCAGGAAUUCCCCCGCGGUGACCUGUAAAAAAAAAACCUUGUUGGAUCGCGGCUGCAUCUCGUUGCUUUUGUCACUACUCCAAUAGCAUUGUUUGUCACGUUCAUUGUGCUUUUCAUCUUGGGCUCUGUGCAUCCUUGAUGGACAGGCCGGGAAUAAUAAAACCAUCUUUCAUGUUCUGAUAUUUUUCUUUUCUUCUCUCUGGUAAAUGCUGAUGUGAUCGCUGGUUAGGGAAAUACUUGAAUGAGAGAGGACAGGGGGAUGAGAACAUGACAAGCAAUGAAGAUUCUGAUUUGGAUCUGGCAUGGAAAAUGAUGAAUAUGGCAAGAGCGACAGUUGCCAAGAUCCCAGACAAGACAAUGGAGAAAGCUAAUUAUUUUAUGCUCUAGCUGAAGUCUCCAUGAAAAGAAGUAAUCUCAGUUACCUUAGUCACCACUGUGUUAGCCUGGUGAGCAUUCAUUCAUGGCCUCACAUUUGAUUUCACUUUUGCAGAUGACAGAGAGAACUCACUCAGUUACUAUAUCAAAGCUUUAACCAUCUUCGAAUAUUUGGUUAGGCCGGACCAUCUUGGAAUCGUCCACCUGUAUCCUCGUGGUGAUAAGAGUGGCAAUAACUGCCAUAUAGCAGUACUAGUAGCAAUAGUACAAAUUAGCAUGUUAGUGUAUUAUACUAUGUUUUCAAAUAAUUUGAGCUGAUCCAAAUCUUGCACGGGGGUGCCUUCACCUGCUUAAAUACACGUGUUAGUGUACAUUUGGGGACAAACUGUGAUCACAAGAGAAAAAUGUACGUAGAUAAUGCUGGUGUAUUCUAAUACUUUGGUUUUUGAGUUUGAUUCUUCCUUUGCUUGAUUACCUUAAUUCCGUUCUAGAAACUUCCGCAUAUGUUUGGCCUUUGAGUUAGCAUCCAAGGUUGGGGAUGCAAUCCCAUAUUGUGCAAAGGUUAUUUUAGUAUGCAAGUCACGUAUACAGAAUCUGAAAAAUGCCAUGGAAGAAGGACGCGCAGGAAGUUUCACUCCAGAAGAUGAGAUAUCUUCCCUUGCUAGAUUAUUGGCCCGACUACAGAAUAAGGUGAACAGACUCGAUUUUAUUCAUAUUAACAAUUUGGUUUUGCUCUUGAAUCUAGUGCUCUAUGGAGGAAGAAGACGUUUCCCUUGCUUGUAAGAAACAAUAACAUCUCUCUUAAUUUUUUUGGUUCAGCUUGAAGAACUGGAGCAAGCAACGUCAACCCAAGCGCCGGCAUAGAUAAUAUUGUUAAGAGGGUGGUCUCGCAGGCAAGUGAUGGACAGAAUGUUAGCUAUGCUGUGGCAAGAGCUGCAGCUUCGACGUGACAGGUGGCUGGAUCAAACAACAGCUUCCAUUCAGCAACUAUGUCUACGGCAGCGGCAACAUGAAGCACUAGAAGUAGCGUAACUGAGUUAGUGAGUUUGUGAUUGUUGGCAUAGACAUGAAACGAGCUAAUGACAAGUCAAUCUCCGACAAACCAUCUCCAAAGAGACUUGCAGAAGAUGAUUAACCAUCUGUGAAUGAAAUGUGAUAGCAGCUAGAUGGAAAAUCUGAAAUUUCCUGAUAUGCAUGGAGCAUCUUAACAAGAUGUUACUUCGCCCUGUUCAUGUACCCUCAAUGGUGAAUACCUAUCUGUUGAAUUGUAUACAAGUAGGAAGAUAGAAGAUGCCGUCAUUCAGUAUUUGAUCUUGUCACUAGGUAUUUGAAUGGAUCAAUGACAUCCAUCCAUCACCUUGUAUAUCCAAUCACAUUGUUUCCCAUGCUCUGCAAAACCUUGUGAUGUUUGCUGUUUGCUCUUUGCUCUGACGACAUAAUCGUAUUUGAGAAACCAUUUUGGAUGUUCUUUACUGUGUCAAAUGUCUUUCUUAAGAACUCAUAUUAAUUAAUUUAUGUCUUGCCUUUCUUAAUUGAUCAGCUACAGAAGUUGGCCUUGUGUACAUAUCAGCUGUACAAAUAUCUCAGUUUGCUGCUAAUGUGCACCAGAAAGCGACUAAAACUCGAUUGCUUCGCCAACAGAAAGCGACCAGGUUGCUAUCGCUUCUUCAUCUGUAAAUGCUGCUAUAGUUUGCAAUUUUCGUGCAUUCGAUCCAAGUCAUUUAUUAUCUGCAUGUUGCAAGGAAACAAAAAAAAAAUGCGGAUUGCUUUGUCACCUCAAACGAACAUCUGAGAGACGUUUAUGCUUGAGAAAGAGGGUACUCUACAUGUUGCAUCCCUUGAAAGGAAACAAUUGACAGUUCAAUUUCCUGUUUUUCCUUGGUUUCCAAGACUCGAUUUCUCAGUUCUUGCGGUUUGAAAGAUGCAUAGCGACGUUCUCAAUUGAAAGAAAAAAUAAAUUUGAAAGAUGUUUUGAAUGUCGACAUUUGCUUUCAUUCGUAACAUAUUUUUUUUCAUGUCUACCAUCACUUGCUCAAAAGAAUGAUCCCUUAUAGAUUACACAUGCUGCCAUGUUGCAAACAAGCUCAGAUAUCUGGCGUUGCUAAACUGAGCAAAAAUGCAUAGCAUAACCAUAUUGGCCACGGAAUCUACUACAGGCUCAACAUCAUAUUGGCCAAGGAUGUACAAGUACAUUGCUGCAAACAAACCGAGAUCUCUACAAUCAAUUGGCAGAGUGAGCAAACAAAAGAAAUGCAAGGGUGUUCCGCCAGAAGACCUUGCCACCGACCAUCCUGCUUGCCUCAGUUCUUGAGGAAGCCAAGCUGUGGCUUUCCGAGGGUGCGAAACAUUUAGGGAAAAUUUUCUCAAGCAAGUAAUUGUUUAUGUGUUGUAAAAGCCUUAACUCUAUUUUUCCCUUAUUUAAUUGAUGAGGCAGAUCUUAUGCCUCCGUUUCAAAAAACAAAAAAUAAUCACUUGCUCAAAACAAUGAUCGCUUAUAGAUUACACAUGCUGCCAUGUUGCAAACAAGCUCAGAUAUCUGGCGUUGCUAAACUGAGCAAAAAUGUAUAGCAAAACCAUAUUGGCCAUGGAAUCUACUACAGGCUCGACAUCAUAUUGGCCAAGGAUGUACAAGUACAUUGCUGCAAACAAACCCAGAUCUCUACAAUCAAUUGGCAGAGUGAGCAAACAAAGGCACAUCAGAACGUAACUACAAUGAAUUAAACCGAUGGUAUGUACUACCGGCCCUAUAAGAUGGCGGCCAUGGAUGUAGGUGACGGCGGCCACGGCAUCAUGCUGCACAUCCGGAUCAUCUCAGGUGAGAAGGCUGGACCGCUGGACAAGGCAACCCAUAGAUGGCCUCGUCGGCCGCCGGCUCCUCAGGCUUCUCCAUCUGGUGGUGUUGGUCUUUUCUGUCUGCGGUGAUGAUGCUCUGCACGAGCCCGGCGGCUUCCUCCUCCGGCUGAGCUGCUGGCAGCGCGACCACGUCGUCUCCAGCUGGCCCAACCGUGACGUCGUUGUUGUGAUAUAAGCUAGAGAAUUCUUGUUCCACGCUGUGGAAGAAGUUGCUAGGCAGCGGCGUCUCUUGCACCUCCGGCUGAGCUGCCGGCGCCAUGGCCAGAUGGCCUCCUGGCCCAACCAUGACGACGCUGUUCUGGUGGUAGAAGCCAUCCACAGUGUCGAAGAAGUUGCUAGGCUCCAUCUCUUGCACCUGAGCAACUGCCGUGUGUGGCACUGUGUCACCUGAUCCGUAGCAGUUGUAUACGGCUUGCUCGGAUGCCAUGUGGUGCCAGAGGUUGUCCAACAACUCCGUUGCGUCGAACAGAGUUUCAUCUGCACUAGUGUGGCGAUGACGAUGGUACUCGUCGGCGUCCUCGGUCGUCGUGGGGGAAGCGGAACGCAGGCUCUCCGCCGGCAGUGGCUGUUGGUGUUGGUCUUGGUCAAGCGUUUGCCGAGGCCGCGCCCUCGCCGUAGUAUCCUCAGGGACAGGGUCGUUCCUCUUCCUCUUCUUGGAGCUGAUUGUUGUUGACACCGCAGCCGUCGUCUCUUGCCCGUCGCCGCCGGUGCGAACUGACGGGAGGAUCUUGCAGAGCACGAGAUCGCCGCCUCCGUGCUCCUCGGAGAUGCCGUACUCGUACAUGAUCCACCCGAGCCUGACGUUAUUCUUUUUGCCCGACUCGCUGCGCUUGACCAUGCAGUAGGAGAAGUCCUGCAUGUAGCCACCGACGGCGCUUCCUCCCUCCACCGGCUUGGCGCGAUGCUCCGAGUGCCAGUGCUUCCCGACCACGCCUUCGAUCGUGCGCGGCUUCCUGGUUGCGCCGCCGCGGGCGUUCUUCUUGCGGCUGCCGGGGUGGCGGUGGCGCACGCGAGAGAAGAAGUACCACACCGGCUGCUUGUCGCCGUUUCCGGUGCCAGGAGCCUUUUGGAACGCGCUGACCAGCUUCUCCGGCUCGGCGGAGUAGACGUCUACUUCGUGGAUGAAGCGGCCGGUGGCGCCGGGGAGGGGCUCGCCGUCGAUCUGGCGGCGCAGGUACAGGUCGGUGAGUUCUUUGUGCUGCGGGCAGAAGGUGAAGCCUGGUGCAACCUCAACAUCACGGCGAGAAGUAGUCAUCCCGGCGAGCGAGCGAGCAGAGUUCUCUUCUGGCUGGGAUGUAGACCUAGCUAAUUAAGCCCGAUCGAUCGCUAAGCAAGAUUUGCACCUAGUAGUAUGGACUGGAAGCCCCCUCCUUUUAUGACACGGCAAUACGUUGGCACACCGUCAAGCUCUCGGUUUGACACCAUGAGCGUACGUACAUGCAUCAUUGACCAAAUCGUGACUACGUACAUGCAUUGCAUGCAUGAUUGCACGCGGUUACAAAUCCGAACAUCUCCGGUUUGACAUCUAGACUAGAUAGUCAUUUUGGAUACUAACUGCUAAGCAAGACAUACGUAUACCCACAUUGUAUUCCAUACAUACGAUGGUCUGUAGUGUACACUAUGAGAUGGAUAUACGUUCUUAUUUGUACGUUUUGUGGAAGGGGUGUAUCGAAGCACACCUCAUAUAAAUAAAGUCUAUUCAUCACCUAGGAUGUAAAAUAAGUGAUUCUUCACCCAGUUAAUUUUACGGCUGUUUAAUAAAUAAAUUACAUUUGGAAUACCAACAGUUACAUUUAUAUUGAUAUAUUACGUAAAAUUUGAUGUAAAAAAUAAAAAAUAUAAGUCAUAAGACCAGUUAAAACGCAUUUCAUGUAUAUUUUACACUACGUUUUUAUGUUUGUAAUUUUACGUGACAUAAAUAUUUUUUAUAGUGAGUAUAUAUUUUCUUACGGUCUCUUUUUACGUAUGAAAUAAGAAAAGAAAUUAUGAAACAUAAAAUUACGGUGCAUUGAUGCGAAAUUAAAGGGGGUGAAGAAUAAUUAUUCUUCAUCCAGACACACACACACACAAACACACACAUUAGCAAAUAUGCACGUGCGUUGCAACGGGUAGUUAAGAUUUCUUACCUGAAACAUUAUCAUUUUAACCCAAUUUUCAUUCUGAUUCGUCAUUUUAAUGGUGUGCACCUACGACCACACUCAGGCAUCAUCGCCGUGGUGUCGUUCGGCAAUAAGGAGGCCGCGUUUAUAAAUUAAGUAUAUUCAAAAUGCGUAUAUGUAUAGCCAUCACAUGCAAUAGAUGAAACAUAAAUUAAGACUGUACUUAUCAAUUAAACUAUGACCUGAAAAAAUUCAACUAUUAACAUUCAUUAAUGUCAUAUGAAUAGUACUUCUGAUAUUAUUAAAAUAAACUUUCAUGUACUUCUGAUGUUCAUCAAUUUUUUAAGUGCAUGUACAUCCUAUAAAAAUUGUUUGGGUAUUCACUACAAAAAAAGUGCAGUUCAUUGAUAAGAACACUCGUAGAUUCUGCCAAAAAAAGACACGUACGUAAGGUAUUAGGUUGUGAAAUAUGUGCAAAGAGAGAACGUAGUGCAAGUACAUCAUGUCCAAGCAUUAUAACAUUACCCAAACAUUGACGUUUAAAUUUACAUGUUAUAAUACAGAUCGUCCGUACGAAAUAAAGAUAAAUAUUAAUUAACAUUGUAUCUUAUAUAGUAUUUUCAAAAUAUUUAACAUGUAAAAUAACAACAUAUUCGAACUCUACACAUUUUUCUAAUCAAAUUUCAUAUAUAACAUGUUUAAAUUGGAUUUAUGAUUUAAAAGAUAUUGUUAUUUGAAAAUACAUAUUUAUUCUGAAUAGACUCCGUGAUUAUUAAUGCAUAUACCCGGGGUGUUUAUGCGAAAGUAAAAAAAAUGAUUUGUUUUGCCUAAAAGAUGGACUUCUUGUUAUUUAUUGUAAAAGUAAGGGCUUUUGUGUAAAAUAUAAAAAACGGUUCAGUCUCACUUAAAGAUGGACUGUGGGUUGAUUCCACAAAAAUAGAAGGGGCGUUAUGCAAAAAUACAAUUUUUUUUAUUCAUGUCACUAAUGUCCGGACUGCGGGUUUAUAUGGGAAAAUAUAGGGGGGUUUCUGUAAAAUGAUCGAUGACGUACCACGAGAAGCAAUAUUUGAUUUAUUAUUAUUAGGUAGAGAUAGACUCUUUUUUCGAACCGAGCAAUAUCAUGCAUCUAUUAUAGCUUAUCAAAACCACUAAAAAAUAGUUACACCACACAAGCGCCCCUCAUAAAUCAUACAUUGCUCUUUUUCCAUCUAUAAGAGCAUCUAUAACCGGACCCCUCAAACCCUCCAACGCCCGGGCAGGCUGCCAGUCACGAAAAAUCGGCUCCGACGGGCCUCUUAAACAUGCCUCAAACGCGUGGGCUGAACAGAACCCCCAUUUCCAGCCCAAAUAUGGGGCAAAUAUGAGGACGCCCGGGCGCGCCCGGGCACGUCCGCCACGUUAGACCCGGCAACCCGAGCCUAUCGCAAAUUACACUAAAUCCACCCCGCAGAACUGCCGGAUCCAGUUCCUAUUUUCCUCUCUUCUUCCUCCAUGCGCCGUUCGUCUCGUAGCUCCGUCGUUGUGCGCGCUCCGUCUCCUAGUAGCCUCUCCCACCCCAGCCACUCAGUGAAAGGGAUCAUCUCUCCCGACCUCUCCGUGCAUGACGUCGUCGCCGGCCCGAAAGACACCGUGGUACGUCCGGCAACUCUCUGGCUGUGCCUUGCGCUAGAUGUGUUCGACAAUGUCUGACCGGAUUUGUUGCUCAAAUUUUUAGGGGAAACUAUGGAUUCCGAUGCUUCGUCCAGCGAGGAGGAAUACUUCCGCAUCCCACAAGUUGGAGAUAGGUUGAUCUGUGCUCUUCAAUACGGAGAAGUCGGAGUUCGCCUUUAUUUUGCUUUUUUUUACCUAGGAGAGAGAGUAAUAGUUAGUGUUUCAACCUUGUGAGAACUUGGUCAUUUCCUACUAUGAUACCAACCAGAAUGAUGAGGAGUUCAUCUUUUUAUGCUAUUUUACCUAGAAUGAUGAAGAACUUUUUAACUAGUAUGUACAAUAACGAGGAGUAAUAAAACAUGUCGUGUAAUGCUUUAUGUACGUACUAGCUAGCAUCUAGUUGACAUCGACCGAAAACACAAACAAGCAUAAGGAACCAAAGAUGAUGGACACAAAAAAAAAGGGAGAAACACAAUAUGAAACCCCUAAACCCUUCAAAAACCUCUAAACCCCUCUUUAAAAUGAAAAACAGCGCCUCGCAGCUGCUGACGCGUGGCUGCCCUUUAGUCUUGGUUGGUGCAACCAACCGGGACUACAGGUCCCCGCUCCUUGGCGCCCCAAAGCGGCCAUGUGGAAUCCCGUUAGGCCCGGUUCAUAACACAACCGGGACUAAACAUUUCGAUCUUUUGUCCUGAUUGUUUAGUCUCGGCUGGAAAACCGAGACUGAAGACCCUGUGAAACGGGGACUAAAGGCCCGUUUUCCACUAGUUUAUGUGUCUAAUGUGGGAACAUUAUAAUAAACUAUACAAUAAAUAUGUCCACUGCCUUAGUCAUUUGACGUGAAUGCCAUCAAUGUACAAACAUGAUAGCUCAUUUUGUGAAGGAGUAUUUUCAAAUUUGCCAUAUUCAAAGUUUGGUAUUUUUCAUAGUAACUAGUACACACACUAGUAGGAGAAAACAUACUAGUAGCGCUGGUUUUACCCCUACCAAUAAAGCUCGUGGCAGCGCUACUGCUAACGCGCUACAGCUAAGUAUAUAGUAGUAGCGCUUUUCCACGCAGCACUACUCGUAAGUACAGUUAGUAGUAGCGCUUUGCGAGCCAGCGCUACUACUAACUAUCUAUAGCGCUGCUGAUAACCAGCGAUGCUACUAAUCCCCAACCAGCGCUACUACUAAGGUUUCCUCAUUUCACAUUUUUAUUCCUCAUCUACGUAUUUGUGCAUUCUCUAUACACUAGUUACAUCAUAUCAUAGUAAACAUACAUUAUUCUCAUCAUAUCAUACACAUACAAUAGUCUCGUCAUACCAUCAUCAUAAUCAUCAUCAUUAUCCAACACAAAUAUCAUCACAUGUCGAAAAUAGCGAUACACAAUUUAUGGCACACCCACAAGUUUCAUCAUCCCUAUCUAAAUCAUGAUGUAUAAGAGAAGAGUGAUCAACAUAAGCAAGAGCGCGACUAUGUAGUACUUCUUGAGGCACCGGUUUUGCUCCCUCUCUUAUAGUAGCAUCCACCUCAAGUAACUAUUUUCCGCUUGGGCUCUGCUGUCGAACCCUCUGUGGCUAGCCCCCGGGUACCUGUCCACCCGGGCCUGAGCGUCUGGCUAGUGGUCGUACACUCCUGGAACCCUCCCAAUGAAUACGACGUAGCAGUCUUUCGCCAUUUCCGAUCUGUGUACCUGCAUUGUAAGUUGAUGAAUUGAAUGAUAAUAUGCAACAUAAUUUACUUGAGAAACACAAAGAGGCAUAGUUAGCAAAAUACAAGCAACCUAUAGUAAACAUAAAUAACAAAGUUCCUCAUACACAAGCUAAUUAACUCGAGCGAUGUAUACCCUAUUUCAUAGAAACCCGGUAGUACUAAUUAGAAACACACAUUGUCAUCAUCAAUCACUCCUCUAUGUCUGCGCCCCAAUCUUCAUAGUCAGGGAUGAAUGACCUGAGCUUGUUGAAAGGAUUUAGGUCCGUACGAUGAGCGCAUAGCAGUUCUCAGACAUUCUCCUACCUAAUUGGCCCAUGGAAGAACAUCUCUGUUUGUUGGACGACAUACUUCAUGAUCACUUGGGAAAGUUCACACCGUAUGUGAUAAAACUCGGCUCGGAUUCGAUGAUCCAGUGUCCUUCCUAUGCUUGUGGCCAGUUGAUAGUCUCGGCAUCUCCGGAAGAAGCUGACAUGUGAAGGCGUUGUAUAUCCCUUCUGUACUCGAUCAUGUGAUGCGUGAGGUAGAAUCCAUCAGCCUUACUACCAUUCGGUUGCUGGAUGCAGGAGAAGUCGGUCAUAUGGCCGAAAGCCGAUGCUUGAUUCUUAUACUUUUUCACCUGGAUAUAUCCACCAGUAAGGUUGAUGGUUAAAAUGGCACUAUCAAGAACACUCUUUAUAUGUGUGUAAUCCUUUUUCUUGAUGUUCUUAAAUGAGUCCAUGUACAUAGCAUGGGAGUAUUGUUGGUAUAGACAGAUGAGGACGCCCCCCCCCCCGCCGUUGCGAAAAAUAGGUACACCUAAAAUUACCCUCAAUGCUUGCGAAGGAAUGAUCAAAACUUACGAAAGGAUAUCCUCGGAUGACUUAUGUGGGAUGAUAAGGCAGGAGAAUCAUUUCCUUUUCCUUAUUAGCGAUCAUGAAAUCGCAGAUGUACUUUUUCGCCUAGUCACGGCGCUCUUUGCAGACUACCAAGAAGCUCUCGUGUAUAUAGUACGGGUCCGCGACACAGAUAUAUUCUAUGUUCUCGUGGGUGAUGAUGUAGUUGAGAUACAACGCAUACAGGCGGAUGAACUAAAAAUCCAGCUUGGUCAUGUGGAACAUAUCAUUGAUGUAGUCAAAUCGUAGGAUGAACUUAUCCGCGGUCCAUCUGUCGACGUAUGACGUCGCACCCAGAACCUGAGCCACAUAAAGCGAGUAUCCUGGUUUUUCCAUGCUGAGAAGUACUCUUCUCUCUAUGGCCAGCACAUCAUCAUGAAGUCUCCUUAAUUAGAUCAUUGUUCAGUAUGUUCUCUAGCGCUUUCUGGGGUAGGAUCGGGUUGCCGGCGACAUGGAAACGAUCCGUACCCACGAUUCAAAAAUUAGCUUGUUUUUGUUCAUACAAUAUACGGAAUAGGGCCACCAACAAUUCAAAAAAAUUUAGAUUUUCUUCUUCUUCUUUUCAACAUCAACAUGGCUCAUUUUUUUAGCUUUAGUUUCCUUUUUGACACUUCAACUACUCCAUUAUCCGCGCGUUCGAAAACUUGACCCUACUCUAAAUGGGCGAAAACUUGCUGGUUACAUUGAGGAAUGCAGAAGGGCUCGUGUACGGCACUGAUGACCCACAAGUAUAGGGGAUCUAUCAUAGUCCUUUCGAUAAGUAAGAGUGUCGAACCCAACGAGGAGCAGAAGGAUCUAAGAAGUGGUUUUCAGCAAGGUAAUAUCUGCAAGCACUGAAAUUAUCGUUAACAAGUAGUUGUAUGGUGAGAUGAUUCGUAGGAAGUAGCAAGUAACGACAGUAGCAACGGUGCAGCAAAGUGGCCCAAUCCCUUUUGUAACAAGGGAGAAGCCUGGACAGAGUCUUAUAGGAGGUAAAACGCUCCCGAGGACACAUGGGAAUUUCUGUCAAGCUAGUUUUCAUCAUGUUCAUAUGAUUCGUGUUCGCUACUUUGAUAGUUUGAUAUGUGGGUGGACCAGUGCUUGGGUACUGCCCUUACUUGGACAAGCAUCCCACUUAUAAUUAACCCCUCUCGCAAGCAUCCGCAACUAUGAAAGAAGAAUUAAGACAAAGUCUAACCAUAACAUUAAACUAGUGUGGAUCCAAAUCAGCCCCUUACGAAGCAACGCAUAAACUAGGGUUUAAGCUUCUGUCACUCUAGCAACCUAUCAUCUACUUAGUACUUCCCAAUGCCUUCCUCUAGGCCCAAAUAAUGGUGAAGUGUUAUUAGUCGACGUUCACAUAACACCACUAGAGGAAAAACAACAUACAACACAUCAAAAUAUUGAACGAAUACCAAAUUCACAUAACUACUUAUAGCAAGACUUAUCCCAUGUCCUCAGGAAAAAAAGUAACUACUCACAAAGCAUAAUCAUAUUCAUGACCAGAGAGGUAAUGAGUAGCAUCAAAGAUCUGAACAUAAACUCUUCCACCAAGUAAUCCAACUAGCAUCAACUACAAAGAGUAAUUAACACUACUAGCAACCUUACAAGUACCAAUCGGAGUCGCGAGACGGAGAUUGGUUACAAGAGAUGAACUAGGGUUUGGAGAUGAGAUGGUGCUGAUGAAGAUGUUGAUGGUGACGAGUCCCCUCCGAUGAGAGGAGUGUUGGUGAUGAUGAUGGCGACGAUUUCCCCCUCCGGGAGGGAAGUUUCCCUGGCAGGAUCGUCCUGCUGGAGCUCUAGAUUGGUUUUGCUCAAGUUCCGCCUCGUGGCAGGGGUGAAUCCUCUAAAAAGCCUCCUCUUGAAUUUUUCCAGACCGAAACCCUUCUUGUAGCAAAAGGGAGGAGCCAGUGGGCUAGCAGGGAGCUCACAAGCCCCCUAGGCGCGGCCAGGGGGGCCGCGCNNNNNNNNNNNNNNNNNNNNNNNNNNNNNNNNNNNNNNNNNNNNNNNNNNNNNNNNNNNNNNNNNNNNNNNNNNNNNNNNNNNNNNNNNNNNNNNNNNGACGCCAUUUUUUCGUCGCUACAUCGUCACAGUUUUCAAUUUACGACGAUCUCACGACGAAAUACCAAGCGUCGAAAACUGAGCGUCAGAAAUGAACAGCAGCGAUGUUUUGAUAAAAAUCGUCGUAACUUUUACGACGAUUCCUGGGUUGUCGUAACCUUUACGACAAUCCUAAAUCGUCGUUGGUAAUCAAACUCAGUCCUACGUGGCAAAAUUACGACGAAAUCAACGUCAGGGUUGAAAUCAACCCAACCCAUUUCAAUUGAUCACAUGGGCUGGUUUUAUUUUUUUGGCCUUUUCUUAUUGGGCUUCUUUUUGGGCCUUGGCCUAUUUACAACCAUUUUAGUAUUUUUUUUUCGAAUUUUUUUUAUCAUUCUAAUUUGGGCCCUGACCUUUUCAUGCCCAAAUACAUUUGAUCCAGUUUCAGUUUUGACCUUUUUUCAUUUUUAAAUUCAGCAACUUUUUGUUUCAAAACUUGGUUUCAUUUCUAUUUGUUGGGUCUUUUCAACCAAAUUAUUAUUCCAAUAUUAAAUCCAACACUAUUUCAUAUUCAAAUCAAGAAAACUCCAAGUUGAAUUAAAAUCAUCCAUCAUAUAACAUCACAUAAUACAUCUCCCAGGUUUGCACAAUCAAAAUACACACUUUUUACACUAACACCAGCAUGGCUGAUAAACUAGUAAACUAACACUACUACAAACAAAGUUUCACUUGCUUCCAGCAUAAGGCUGGAAGCAAAUCAAAAGGAGCACUUGCUUCUAUGGUUCGGUUGGUUGUAGUCGCGUCCAGACAUGGAAGGAUGUUGCUGAUAGCAGUCUUUGUGAUGGUCUGCUCAUUCGUCCAUUGCGUGGCAUGUAUCCUUUGAAGCACUGCAACAACAACAAAAAGCUUUUGGACUUACAGAAGCAACUUGGUUAAGUUUUUUGCGGACAUUCUACAGCAGAUCGGACGGGGUACCUUCCCACUUGUUGAAUUCCAGCUCUUUUUUGUUCAGAAUCUUGUCAGCAAUCUGAAAUAAAUAGAGAACACGAUUACAAUAUUUAUCAAUGGAGGAGCAGGUAACUCUCGCUCACACCACAAGCAUAUAUUAUAGUCUCCGAUGAUGCCAGCCUGAUUUGCUUUGGAUAAGCAAAGAUAAGGAUUCAUGCUCCACAACGAAAUGGCCAGCAAUAGAAUGAAUGUACAAGUAUUUGAAUGGCAGAAGAACGAGAUGAAACAGACUGCAUACAGUAAGUCAGUAAUAACAUACGGAUCUGACUACAGGUGGGCUGAUCCGGCUACUGAAGCAAUUUCAGCGCUGGGUGGACUAUUAGAUUGCACAUCUUCAAAGAAGAUUCCAUCUACCUUUAAGGAGUUAAUUAAAUUCGCACCAAGCAAGCCUACACGCGAGACUUUGCAGGACAAGAGGAAGCCAACAAUGUUGCUCAGCAGGCUGGGAUAUUCAUCUCUGGCCAGAAAAGCAACACACACACACACACACCAUGAAGGGGACGGGGGCAGGUGAGACAGAAGGACAUGUCAAUUAAAUAAACGUGUCAGCAUCACUCCUUACUCAGGUGCACACAUACAUGUCAGUCAAAUAAAUUUGCAUCUUAAUAGCAUUGAGUGAUGACGAUACACACACUAAAAGAACUACAGUAAGCGAGUAAGGGAAAAAGACUUGGUAUUUUUCUUUCGAAUCUCAUGGCAAGCUAUACUAGACGCUAAUGAUCACUCGACUCCAAGAAAUCCAACAUCGGACUAAUUGAUCCACAGACAAGGGAGUCCGGUCCAAUUUAUUCUAAAAUUAGUAGUUCAUUUAUAACGUUCCGAUGAGACUGAGAGCUGUAAUCAUCGCUAAAUAAAAAGGUAAAGUUCAACUAAGCUUAGUGAUGUCAUAUUUGCGAGAUGAAACUGCUCUGUGUACUAGCAUUAGAUGGAAAUCUACAGUAUGCAUACCAUUGUUGUUUGCGAAAAAGGUAACAAAGAAAGAAGCAGGCUAGCUCUCCACCCCUAAAUGCAUUACAAGAGCUGUGGGAUAUAAAAACCUGCUAGUAGUCAUUCAUUCACACCAGCAAGAUUAUUAUUACAUUUAAACAUGAAUGACAGAUCAUGGAGCUGGCUGGGAAAUUCAUCACCUAAUAAUCCUGAAAAUCAGAAAAGAUAAAUCAAAUCUGGUCCAUUGUUUUUGUUUCAAGAGUUAUGUGUUGGUUUUAUAAUUUGGAAGUGCCAAAACCCACAUCCUCUCCAAAGACAUAAGAGCUGUCAAAAUGGAACUCAUCUUCAGUUCACUUGAUUGUGCGCAUAACUAAGUCAAAUGGAUUGGUGAGCUGGGAAUGUUCAGAUAAGCAUAUAUAUAAGUCAUUGCUUUCUCAUACACUAGCUUACAAAAUGAUAAGCAUAUAUAACUGAACGCAUAUAUUUAUUUUUUCUCUAAUUUUAAGAGCGUGUAUUCUACUAGGAACACUAGCAUACUGACAUGGUGUACAUCGAAAAUUAAUGUUGAUAGCCGAACAUAUUAUUUACAGUGAAAAGAAGUGUCAAACAUAUACCUGCACCUAUGAAAGAGAAACACAGUACAUAAGAAAAGCUCAGAGAUUUAGUGCAUAAAUAACAUGGACUUGGAAAAAGUUCAGAGAUUCAUAAAUUGUAAGGACAACAAGCAAGCAAAUCUGAGGACAGAACUUGGCUGCCGAUGGGGGUGUACGCAUAGUUCAUGCUAUAUUCAGAAAUUCAGUGUAUGCAAGAGCACACAUUUGAGAUCAGAAAUACAUCCAUUUGUGCUACAAUGAAAGAAGAGUAGAAAAAAGGAGAAAUGUGAGGACAUAACUUCCCUGUCGAUGGGGUCUGCUGACUCAUUGUAGGCUAGCGCGAUGGAGGAGGGGCGAAAGAAGAGGGCGACGCCGCUGCCGACGAGCACGACGAGGGAGGUGGCGGCGGUUCUGGAGAAAUUCGAAGUGACCACCACCCAGCGGAUCUGCUCCAUGGUCGUGCACUUGAGCAUCAACCUGCACCACCACAUAUGCUGGUUCUGCUCCAUGGCCGUGCACUUGAGCAUCAACCUGCACCACCCAGCGGCACCACGGCCACCAACGCCGGCGGCUUCGAUCUGGAGCAGCGGAUGCACUUAAUUAAAAUUAGGAAGAUCAUAUAGAUUAAAUUAGCACAUCUCAGAUUUCUUCAACAAGCAUAAUCACUCAAAUGUUUUUAUUAUUAUUCUUACACCUCAAAUAGUACAUGAAUACAAGUGGGUUAAGAUUCUUGGGUAAAAGCAAAUAUAGGGAGACCAAACUAUGCUAUGCUAUACAACCAUGCCACACCAAACUUAGACCAACACAAUAAUAUCUAUUGGUCAACGAGGACAACAUGACAUAUUUGAGACACACAUUUGACCACCACAUUCACGUGCACUAUCUAUAUUAAUAGUCAACUGACACACGGUUAGUCUAUGUAUGGGCUGCAACUACUGACCAAUAGAAAGACUCCACAAAGGGCUACACGGUACAACAGGGAUGGGCAGCCAUACCAGCCAAGCAAGAUGGAUAUCAGAUAUUAGAAGGAGAGGAAGAAGAGUAAGCACUGUCCAGGUUUCAUCGUCUCCUCCUUGCUCCCAAAUAGUCAGACCAGCAUCUUGUCUUCCUCCGAGUGUCUUCAUCUCUCUAUCUGCAAUCAACAAAGAUCCAAAAGAAAUAAGUGAAUCUGGUACCUGAGCAACCAUCACUAGAUCGAAAGGGGACAGACUGGAGCAAGAAAAUUAGCCUACUCGAGGGAGUGAAAUCUGAACGUAGGAGCAGCAAGAGUAGGACCAGCAAAGAGUACAAAAGAAGAAAGGAGAGUUCUUCUUCCUCUACCAUUUCUUUAGCAAUCACACAAAGAAGUCAACCGAGAUGCACAUACAAAAGCUAGUCAUUCAUAGGUGCUUACAAAUCACCGUAGGAACAUCUAACUCUGUUCUUGGAAGCAACAGUAUAAAAAAGACAGGAUAUACAUCCUUCAAUAAGGAAAUAAAAUAAAACGAAUCAGGUUAUUUAUACAGCAACAAUACACCAAGAUUAUGCACAGGGGUGAACGUUUUCAGUACACACACAUGCACAUGAGACUAAAUUAAUUUACUAAAUCAGAAACUUGAGCGUCAGAAAAUUUGGGAAAGGUAGGGAGACACCACUAAUCUGCACAUAUGCUGGAUCUACUCAUGGCCGCGCACUUGAUCUGGAGCAGCAGAUGCACAGCCCCACCUAGGGUUUGACCUGCAAGCCAAAAGAACACACACAAAGGGGUUAGAGAGUUUGGGACUGAAAUCCAUGGAGGAAAAUGUCGAUUGAAUCUUAAACCUGAACUAGUGAAUGUCAUAAAAGAAAAAGGAAGUUCAGAACAGAGCCACCACGACUGGAUCUUGCGGGCGCACUUGCCUUGUUGCCGAGGCUGAGCACGUCGCCGAGCGCGUAGAGCCGGAACUGGAUGCGGUGGCCAUGGGAGUCCGGGACGGGGCCGCGCCAGCCGGGCUGCUUCCAGUCGUUGACCCCCUCCUGGAGGCCGCCUUCGCCGCCGGUGUUGGCGUUGCCGCCGGCGCCCGAGAACCCCUCGGGCAGCCCCUUCUCCUCAGGCGAUUUGUUGGCCACCACCCAGUGCAUCCACGGAACCCGCUCGUCCGUGUCGAUGUCCUGCACCACCAGCGCCAGCGACCGCGUGCCGCCGGGCACCCCGUACCACUCCAGCGGUGGCGAGAUGUCCUUCUUGGCGCCUUGCCCCUCCAACAUGUACUGCCGCGGCAGCCUCCCGUCGUGCGCCGACACCGGCACGCACACCAUCCUCAGGGUCUCCUGUGCCAUCUCGGUCUGCCUGCCUCUCUCCCUCUGCUUGCCGCUGCUGAUUGUUGCUCGUGCGAUGAGUUUGCUGGAUUGUUCAAGGGAAGUGGGGAUGGGGAGGAGGUGGUGGUGGCGAGGAGAUGGGGACGAGGGAGGACUAGAUCGGGAGGGGGGCGGGGACGGGGUGGAGGUGGCGGCGGCGGCGAGGAGAUGGGGACAAGGGAGGAAGGGUGCGAUGGGGGGAGGGAUGUGAGCUAGGAUUUGGGUUACGGGUGGGGUUAUCUUUUUUUAUUUUCUAUAGAUACAUGGAUGGAUGGAUGUGAGAUGGUGAGGUAGAUGGAUGGAUGGAUGGGUGCCAUGUCAUCAAUCCAUGCGAAGAGUUCUGAUUGGUUCGAAAUAUCAGUGAUUUAAAAUAGUUUUUAAGUACUAAAAAUAAAGGAAUUUUUUGAAGCAUCUAUCAAAAAUAUUUUGGAAAAGGGCAUCACACAAAUUUUCACUAGAGUUAGACCAUAUUUUAUGGAUGAGGACCAAUUUGUAUGCAUUUCUCAUCUUUCUAGCUAUUUUUAACCAUUUUUCGAGUGGAAAAAAAGUUUUUUUUUUGAAGAACCUACCAAAUAUUUGUUGCAAAAUUGGACUCCAUCAAUUUUCUAAAAUACUAGUACAUAUUUAAUAUACAAUUGACCAAAUGGUUGGAUGUCAAAAACUUUUAUCCACCUCUCGUGAAAAAAACAAUUCUCCUCAUUCAAGUGGAUGCGGGUUAAAUUUGAACUACAGCUGCCUCAUAGUUUGCUAUUUUUUUUUUCAAAAAACAUUUCUAGAUAUUAAAAUAUCUAUUUCUUCCUAGAUACUUCAAAAUAUUUGCAAAAAUCAAGCCCUAGCUACGAACGGUCAUACCCGCCGUGUUGACCGCAUUUUGAAAUGGCCAUGAAAAACUCAAAACAAAAUCAAAAAAUAUAAAAACUUUGCAUUGUGUCAUUAUAUGUGACAAAUUAUCAGGAAAAAUAAUAAACUUGUAAUACGACAAUUAUUUUUAAAAAGUAUUCUUAGAAAUGGGUUAUCAUGUGUGAAGAGUAAUGGCUUUCAAGCCAAAUGAUCAAUCUUAUGGCCACAUUCAUGACAUAGUUUGUUGAAAUGAUAUAAUAUUAUGCACAAGGGUGCAUAUUGGAAUGUCAAACAAUGUUGAUUAAAGAAGUUUUCAUUUUCCUUGUAUGUAAAAAUCAUUUUCCAUUUUUCAAGUGUCCAAAAUGAGUUUAUUUGUGAAGGACCUACCAUAUAUUUGUUUCAAAAUUGGACCAAAUCAUUUUUCUAAAAUACUAGGCCAUAUUUAAUGUACAAUUUACAAAAUGGUUGGGUGUUAAAAGCUUUUAUGCACCUCUCGUGAAAAAGGCAAAUUUAUGUCGAUUGAGCUGAAAGCGGGUUAAAUUUGAAUUGCAGCUGCAUUAUAGUUUGCUCUUUAUUUUCCCAAAAAUCAUUUAUAGGUAAAUAAGUAUCUAUUUAAUCAUAAAUACAUGGUGUGGUGGCUUGACGUCGAGGUUUGGAUGGUGUGGUGGCUUGACGUCGAGGUAAAUAAGUAUCUAUUUUCAUCAACUAUAAAGCAAUAUAUAAUGUAGUUGCUUCAUAAAGUGAAAAUAUUACCAAAAGCAAAGAUUGGAUUAUGAGCUCACAUGGAAUGUUAGAUGGGGCUAAAAUUUUGUGGAGAGAUAUGUUUUUGGCACAUAGAAUAUGUGGAAAAAAUUCAACUCAUCAGGAUAUACCUAUCUAGUACUUCCUUCACAAAGCUGUUAGCUGAACACAAACUUUGGAAAUUUGCUGAGAAAUAUUUACUAGGAAAAUGGUUCCGAAAGUUUUCAUGACGCAAUGAUUUGGAUAGGAAAGAGGGCUACAAAAAUAUGAGGGUAAUCAAAGAAAUAGAAAUAACACUUCCUUCACAAAGUGCUAUUCUGAACAGAAUAGGAAAAUGAAUAUUGCUGAAUUAUUUUUGAACUAUGGAUGGAAGGGUUUUCACAUAUUUGACGAAUAUAUGAUCCAAAGUAUUUAUGAGAAUUUUUAAAGAAUUUUUGGAAUGGCAGAAUAGUAGGUUGCUUCACAAACUAGGCGGGUUUGACGCGUGACAUAGAAUGGACCCACAAGUGACAUGUCAACAUAGUUAGAACAUGUUAUGACAUUUUUAUAAUCGUCGUAAAAGUUAUGACGAUCUCAUCUUAUGCGGUUACGACGUUUUUGACUCACAUCGUCCUAAUUUAUAUGUAGAUUUGAUCCCCUCAAACGGUUUACGACAAUCUCGGAUGAAAUCGUCAUAGAUUUAUGACGAAUUCCUCAACGACGUCUUAAAAAACGUCAUGUAUGAGCAUAUUUCUUGUAGUGGCUGGCGCCCUUCCGGCACUUCUUCGGCCCAGUAUUUUUUAUAAAUCCCAAAAAAAAUCCACAUUGAUUUUCACGGCUUUUGGAGUUGCGCAAAAUAGGCAUCUCAAACUUGCUCCUUUUUUAGGCCAGAAUUCCGCUACUGCGACAACAAACCUUCCCUGGUACGGCGCCAGGAAUCCUGCUGCUACGGCUACGCCUUUAGGGACUUCCAUGGCAAAUAUGCAAAGGAUUUCCCCGCGGCCUCGGAGCCUUGCGUUGGUGUUCCCUUGAAGAGGAAAGGGUGAUGUAGCACAGUGGCGGUAAGUAUUUCCCUCAGUUUUGAUAACCACGGUAUAGAACCAGUGGAAGAUCUCGUCAAGACACAAGUACCUGCACAAACACAUAGAGCUUGCACCCAACGCUAUGAAGGGGUUGUCAAUCCCUUAUUGAUUGUUUGCAAAGUGAGAACUGAAAGCAACAAAGUAAACAAGCAAAGUAAAAGUGAAAGUGAAAAUGAUAGUUGUGAAUAGACCCGGGGACCGUAGUGUUCACUAGUGGCUUCUCUCAUGAAAGCAAGUAGACAGUGGGUAAACGAAUUACUAUCGAGCAAUUGAUAGAACCGCGCAAAGUCGUGACGUUAUCUAAGGCAAUGAUUAUAUCUAUAGGCAUCACGUCCAAAACAAGUAGACCGAUACUUUCUACAUCUACUACUAUUACUCCACACGUCGACCGCUAUCCAGCAUGCAUCUAGUGUAUUAAGCUGAGAAGAACAGAGUAACGCCUUAAGCAAGAUGACAUGAUGUAGAUGGAAAAUCUCAUAUCUACGACAAAAGCCCAUAUUUUUACCCUUGAUGGCAACAACACGAUGCGUGCCUUGCUGCCCCUUCUUUCACUGAGAAAGGUCACCACACGGUAUGAACCCAAAACCAAGCACUUCUCGCAUUGCAAGAAUCAUAGAUCUAGUUGGCCAAACAAAACCCAAGACUCGGAGAGACUUACAAGGAUAUCAAAUCAUGCAUAUAAGAAAUCAGCAAAGACUCAAAUAUAAUUCAUAGAUAAUCUGAUCACAAAUCCACAAUUCAUCGGAUCUCGACAAACACACCUCCAAAGAGGAUUACAUCAGAUAGAUCUCCAUGAAGAUCAUGGAGAACUCUGUAUUGAAGAUCCAAGAGAGAGAAAAAGCCAUCUAGCUACUAACUACGGACCCGUAGGUCUGAAGUGGACUACUCACGAGUCAUUGGAGAAGCGAUGAUGUUGAUGUAGAAACCCUCCAACUCCAAAGUCCCCUCCGGCAGGGCACCGGGAAGGGUCUCCAGAUGAGAUCUCGCGGAAACGGAAGCUUCCGGCGGCGAAAAAGUGUUUUCGUGGAUGCCCCGAUUUUUUCUGGAUUUUUAGGGAAUUUAUAGGCCAAAGAGCUAGGGCAGGGGAGCGCCAGGGAGGCCACAAGCCUGCUUGCCGCGGCCCCCCUGGCCGCGGGAAUAGGGCUUGUGGGCUCCCUGUGAGCCCACUGCCUUGGCCCUCAAGCCUCCCGAUCUUCUUCCGUUCUGGAAAAAAUUAUUUCGGGGAUUUUAUUCCGUUUGGACUGCGUUCCAAAAUCAGAUCUGAAAAGAGUCAAAAACACAGAAAAAACAGGAACUCACGCUUGGCACUGAAUUAAUAAGUUAGUCCCAAAAAAGAUAAAGAAAGGUAAACAAAACAUCCAAAGAUGACAAGAUAACAGCGUGAAACCAUAAAAAAUUAUUGAUACGUUUGAGACGUAUCAAAUUCCAGCUGUCGGCAUUCUCCCUCUUCAUGUAAACCUUCCAAAAUAAGAGAGAAAAGGCAUAAGUAUUGUACCGUGAAGUGAAAUAACAGCCCAAAAAACAAUAAAUAUCAACAUGAAAGCAUGAUGCAAAAUAGACGUAUCAGGCACCAUAUCCAUCUAGCGAUUUAUCUCACGUCAAAUAAGAUAGAAAUAGCAAGCAAAAACAGUGAUAACCAACGACAUAUCAAAUAGGGAUAGAAAUAUAUAGCAAGCACAACCAAGUUCACGGUACAACCAACGACAUAAUUAAGUUAAAAAUAUAUAUAUUAUAAAAAUCCGUAACACCCUAGGGCAAGACCGGGACCGAGACUUCACCACCAUCUUCACUACGCCUUCUCUUCAAUGCUCCCUCUCCAUGCCGUCAUGGCCGAUGUAGUAGGGGAGGUUGUGCAUACCAUCGCGGGUGGGGAAGAUGCAAUCGAAGUUUGUGUAGAUGUUGUGGAUUGUGAAUGCGAUGAAUUCGCAUCCACACCAAAACACCUUGCCGAGGAGGUAAGACGCAUCAAAACUGUUGGUGAAGGUGACGGUGAGCCCUAUUAGCGGAGUCGUGGAGUUUGGAUCCACAUCAUCCGGUUGAAACAUCACCGGCGAGCCCGCCGGGAGGUGGGCGAAGCCCGCACGGAGGAACCACUCGGCAAACCCCCUUGAACCCCUCCAGCGUGAGAAUGACCACACGCGAAGCAUCCUCUCCACGACGACGCAGGGCGAGCACAGUCUCUCCGGCACGGUCGGUGGGAGCUCCAAGGUGGGGCCGUUGUACUGCAUCCUCCCCUCGCUUUGAGAGUGCUCUGGGUUUGGGGGUGGCGCAAAUGGAUGUGUGGAGAAUAGGUGGAGAGGUGGUGGAGGGAAAGGGGAAGGGAAGGGGAGUGGCACCAGCCGCGCUUUGGAUUUGCUACGUUCAAAUGAGCCGCGUCGAUCGAUACGCCACUUUAAUUGCCAACAGGUUUUAAUUGUCACGUUGAACAGAUGCGAGUGGAUCGAAAAGUGUGAAACAAUGCUCUACAUCGAGGAGACACGCGUGGGAGAUGAUACGAACCAGCGGGAGCAACCGUCCCUGCGUCUGUGGCGGCUCGCGUGAAAAGAGGCCGGUCAGCGUCCGUGGCAACUCGCGUGAAAAAGAGGCAGGUCAGCGUCCGUGGCAGCUCGCGUGGAAAAGAGGCUGGUCAGCGCGUGGCGACGAGUGGCGGCGCAUGAAGGUAGGCUAGCUACGUGCAUGCAUGCAGGCUAGCUGGACAUGUCGCGCAUGCACAACAGGCUUCUAUCGGUGCGGCGCGCGCAUGACCCAAUUCUAACCAUGGCCCAACGGGCUAACCGCGACACCAUCCGCCGCGACCCCACUCAUCAGGUCCAACGGGCGACAUAGUCAACCCGGCCCCACUCGUCAGAGUUAAUGGUCAAAGCACUGACCCGACGGCAUCCACCGUUUGUGACCAGUUCUGAGGGUUUCCCUAUAAACAAAAUGCAUGCAUGCAUGCAUCAAAGUCGAUCAUAUAAAAAUUUGGCAUGAACUUGCCUAAAAAUAGGACAUAUCGAGUUUGCUCGAAAUUCGCCGAAACGGAAAUAAAUCAACAUUUCGGCAAAACAUAAGCAACUCACAGGGCAUGUCACUCACACAAAUCCCUUCGCAUGGCAAACACACAUAUUCCCAUUAUUGAAAUGCACAACUUUUUACUCACCUAUAUCCCGAGAGAGAUUGUGCACGGCUAAACAAAUAGCUAGCUAGAUCUAGUUGCUGUGAGGAGAGAUGACUGUAGCUAACUAGUGGAGAGGGAGAGAGAUGAUCUAGCUAGAUCUAUAUGUAUGAAAGGAGGGAAACCAAAUAAAUGUGGAACAUAUCUAGAGUUAGAAGAGGUCAUUUAUGGAGGAGAAUUAGGAUGGAGGGGGUAUUAAUGGGGAGAGAAGAUAGGUAAAAGGAAGAAAUAAGAAGGGCAACAAUGGUGGAGAAGAAACUAAGAGAGAGAAGAGGAGAAAGGAGGGGAGACGACAAAGGGGGAGGAAGGGGGAGAGAGGGGGGGUGUGUGGGUUAAAAUCUGCCACCAGCCACGCGUAGUAGUAGCACUGCUUUCCACCAAGCGCUAUUGUUAUUGGUCUUAGUAGUAUCGCUUUUCUGGGGCGGCGCUACUGCUAAGUGCGCUACUGCUAUUAUGCUUAGCCGUAGCGCUGAAUCCCGCCAAGCGCUACUGCUAUUACCCUUAGCAGUAGCGCUUUUUACAAACGCGCACUGCUACUACUGCUACCGUCGGUGGGCUCGUCGGGUCCCGUUUAGCAGUAGUGUGUUUUACAAUUCCAGCGCUACUACUAAGUGUUUCGCAGUAGGGCUUGGCUGAGCCAGCCCUACUGCUAAGUAGCAGCAGCGAGUGUUUAAAUCCAACACUACUAAUAGGGUCCUACCUAUAAGGUUUUUUCCAACUAGUGACAUAAAAGAAGCCCAUGCGAAAGUAUUGGAUUUUUUGAACUUUUAUUCAUUUUCUUUCGUUUUUUAAAAAACUGGGUCAAAAUGAUCAGCAUGACUAUUCAUAGCAAGGUGUUGAAUCUUUCAAAACUAUAAGUGGGUCUUCCAUAUAAGGACUACUUGUGUACCUAAAACAUGUUUUGUUAUUUUCAAGGAUAGAGCUAUCACACACUUGGAGUUCAAAUUUGAAUUACUUUUGGGAAAUCGACAUAAAGUCAUUUAAAUAUGCGAAAUAGGCUACAAAAAUGGAAAAUCCAUGAAACUUCGGAACCGUGAAUAAAAUAUGGUCUACUUACUCUGAUAAUUGGAGUGGCGCCAUUUUGCACCCUUUUUUGUACUUUCUUCACAAAAAAUACUCAUUUUUCACAAUUAGAAAAUGGAAAAAUAUUUUUUUGUAAAAAAAGAUGAAAACUUUAUUUGACGACAUUUUUUGAAAUGGCAAGAUGCGCCUAACUUUCUAAUUUGGGCACAUUAUAAUAAAGUAUGCAAUGAAUGUGAUCAUUAGCUUAGUCAUUUGACUUGAACGUCAUCAAGUUCAAACAUGAUAGCUCAUUUUGUGAAGAUUUUUUUUAUUAAAUUUGCCAUAUUCAAAGUUUGGUAUUUUUCAUAGUAAUAACUAGUACACAUAAAAGGACUUCAUGUGAAAGGAUUGCAUUUUUGAACUUUUAUUCAUUUUCUUUCAUUUUUUCCUAAACUAGAUCAAAAUGGCCGGCAUGACUAUUCAUAGUAAGGGGUUGAAUCUUUCAAAACUAUAAGUGUUCUUGCAUAUAGUGACUACUUGUGUACCUAAAAACAUACUCCCGCCGUACCAUAUUUUUUUGUCUUAGGUUUGUCUAGAAAUGAAUGUAUCUAAAUACUAAAUGUGAGUAGAUACAUUCAUAUAUAUCUAGACAAAUUUAAGACAAUUUUUUUGGAGCGUGUAUUUUGUUAUUUUUACGAUAGAGCUAUCACACAAUUGCAGUUCAAAUUUGAAUUACUUUUGGGAAAUCAACGUAAAUUUAUUUAAAUAUGCGAAAUUGGUUACAAAAGUAGAAAAUCCAUGAAACUUGGUAAUUGUGAAUGAAAUAUGGUGUACUUACUCUGAUAAUUGGAGUGCUGCCAUUUUGCACCCUGUUUUUUGUACUUGCUUUACAAAAAAUACUCAUUUUUGACACUUAGAAAACGAAAAAAUAAUUUUUUGUACAAAAAGAUGAAAACUUUAUUUGACAACAUAGUUUAAAAUGGCAAGAUGCACCUAUGUUUCUAAUUUGAACACAUUAUAAUAAAGUAUGCAAUGAAUGUGAUCAUCCCCUUAGUCAUUUGACUUGAAUGCCAUCAAGUUCAAACAUGAUAGCUCAUUUGCCGAGUUUUGUUGUUUUACCGAGCGUUUUCACCAUGACAUGCAAAGUACCUGUUUAUCGAGUUUUGCUUUUUCGUCAAGUGUUACUCUCGGCGUAUAUGAAUUUGCCAAAUAUGCGCGAUUUGGCUCUCGGCAACGAGCCUGGCACUCUGCGUAUAGUGAAAUUUGUUUUUUUGAGGGGAAAUAGCACCGCACUUUAUUUAAUUCGCGCAAGGAAUGUCAUCGGAAAGUACACUUAAAAGAAAUUCUGUUGGAACACCCACCCAAACCUGUGACCUAUUGUCACCUACAACAACUUUUGUAAGCUUGUGCGUAGCACCAUUCCCGGAUCGACGGACCCAUGUCACCUUGGCUUCCUACCUUGACCUUAACAACUCCUUGAUCUCCUCUACCCAGUGACCCAGCGGAGAUAAAUUAUUGGAGGAUUGAUUAAUCUGCCGUACCACCUCCUUGCUAUCAAGCUCAACGUGAACACGCUCAUUGAUGGGGUUAUAGUCCUAGGGUAGGGUCAUAAGCCUACCUUAUAGGUCCUACCCAAGGACCACCCUUCAUAAGGGACAAGGCCCUUUGUCAGCUCCGACUGAACUAAGGAAUUCCCAUCAUCCAGUCGGUAACAGACAUCCGACCAUCCAGUCGAAGGCGAGCAUUCGGAGCGUAUCGAUCGGACCGACUGGAUUUCACUCUGUACAUCGUAACCCCCCAGGAGGGAAACGGUCGUACGUUUCCUCACACUUUUAUUAGCAUUUAGGCCGUACGUUACCUGUAACGUAGGUAUUUAUUCGCCAUUAUUCCACUCCUGCGCACCGACCGUUGUGAAGGGCAGCGCACUCUAUAUAAGCCACCCUUCCCCAGUGGUGCAAGGGUUAGCAACUCAUUGCAUUCCAUAUUUCCACUCGACAACAAGCUCCCUGAGCACUGAGACGUAGGACUAUUACCUCCACCGCAUGGGGGCCUGAACUCAUACAACCUCGCCGUAGCUAAGGCUCUGCCCAUCCUUUUCGUACCCUACACAUCUACUGUCAGGCUUAUACCCACGACAGUUGGCGCCCACCGUGGGGCAGGCGUCUAAGCGACUUCCGGCGAGUUAGUGACUACUUCCUUUUGUCAUGUCGUCCGGUGGAGGUUCGAGCAUGGGUCACCAGAUCUUCUUCGGCGCUCUCUCCUUCAUCAUCAACGAUUCGGCGUGGCUUCGGGAUGCUCCUCUCGACCUCGAGGCGCUUCCCCAUCGUGGGGCUACACACUUCCGUGCCGGCGCCCGUGGCAUUCUUCUUCUCCAACAGUCGGCUUCGGUGUUGACCUGCACCGCCGUCACGCACCGCAGCAAGCGGUCUCGCCGUCCGCGGCUCCAGCGUUGGGUGCAUCACGCCCAGGCGCGCCAGAACGCGUAUUCACAAGUGGCGGUUCUAGAGUCCGUUGUGGUUGCCCCGCUGUCCCAGCACUCGGACUCGGUUCCGACUGAGUUUCCUUCCGAGUAUGCGGGUCGCGGGCCCGCAGCAGAAGUACACAUGGCCAACUCCCAUGAAGAUCCUCGUCAAGCUGGCCGGAGCGGGCGCGAGGUCGGCGAAACGUCCGGCGCGCGCCGUCCACCUCGCCGUUCUGCCAGUCGGCACACUCGGCGGAGCAACGUGGAGUUGUUCCGCACACCCCUCCUCAACUUGGCUGCGGCUGUCAAGAUAGCCGAUUCCCUCCAGCCGACUGAUUCAGAGGCUGGUAGAGGGAUCGAGCAGAUCCGAGCCCUGUUGCACAUGGCGCAGCAGCAGAAUUCGGCGGUCUCCCAGUCACACAACAGGAUCCAUAAUAGUUCUGUUCAUGCGAAUACGCAUCGGUCGGUUCACAGCCGUGGUUCCCAUCAGCGGCACAGGGGAGGCAGCCGUUCCAUGAAUCACGAAGAUCGCCGCCGUUCACGCACCCCUCCGCGGGGUGGGCCCUAUGGGUCCCGACAUCAUGAUGAUCGGCGUUCAGUCGGCGACACUUACGACCCAAGGCCCGACGCAAGAGGGCGUAUCGCCCAACGAAGGGUUGACAGGGGCCGAGCCCACCGCAAUGGUCACGAUAUGGACCGUCCAAGUGGAAGCAGGACCAUCGUGUCUGGUCCCGAGUGUUUUAGUCGAGCCAUCCGCUCGGCUGACAUCCCGCCCAACUUCCGAUUGGCGACGGGAAUCAGCAAGUUUACACGAGAGUCCAAGCCGGAAACAUGGCUAGAUGACUACCGAGUGGCGGUCCAGAUCGGAGGAGGGCACGACCAUGUCGCCAUGAAGCACCUCCCUCUAAUGCUCGACGGCUCGGCGCGAGCGUGGCUGAAUCAGUUGGCCCCCUCAAGCAUCUACAGUUGGGCAGAUCUGGCCCGAGUGUUCGUCAAGACCUUCGAAGGGACGUGCAAGAGCCCUGCAGGCAUCGUGGAGCUCCAGCAUUGCGCCCAGAAGCAGAAUGAGCCCCUGCGUGACUUCAUUCAGCGUUGGACAACUCUCUACCACACGGUGGAGAAUGUCACCGAGCAUCAAGCAGUCUGCGCCUUCAAGGCAGGUGAGCGGUACACGGAUCUGUACCUAAAGUUCGACGGAACAGGUGACAUCUCCAUGAGCAAGAUGAUGGAGAUAGCAGCUCGCUACGCAAAUGGCGAAGAAGAGGACCGCAUCCGAAGCGGCAAGCACAAGACAGUCGGCGACGGAGAUGGAAGCAACACUCGGAAGCAAAAGCAAAAAGUUCAAUCCACUCCGCAGGCAGAAGCUGCAGUCGUGACCAAUGCCAAGUUCAAGGGCAAAGGGAAGGCACAGUUUACCCCCAAGAAGAAGUAGUUCAAUAAUCCCAUCCUGGACCAGCCAUGCCCGGUUCAUACGAAGAUGGACGAAGAGGGCAACCCCAUAUAUCCAAAGCAUACCACUCGACAGUGUCGCCUCCUGAUCCAGGGGUUCGGCGAAGGGCAACCGAGUGAGAAGGUCAAUGAACAAGAUGAGGAGGAUAAGGAGGAUCCGUUCCCCCAAGUCCAUGCGACACUCAUGAUUUUUGCUGACGUCGAGAGCAAGCGUCGACUAAAGAUGGUGAACAGGGAGGUGAACAUGGCCACCCCUGCCAGCCCCAAGUUCCUCAAAUGGUCUCAGACUGCGAUCACCUUUGACCAGUCGGAUCAUCCAGCACAUGUACCCACCCUAGGAAGACAAGCUCUGGUCGUCGACCCGGUGGUAGAAGGAGUCCGACUGCGCAAAGUCCUCAUGGACGGCGGUAGCGGUUUGAACAUCAUGUACGCCGACACUCUCAAGGGGAUGGGCAUUCCGAUGUCCAAACUCAGCGAGAGCAGCAUGCAGUUCCAUGGAGUCGUCCCUGGACGGAAGGCCAAGUCACUCGGCCAGAUCGCGUUGGACGUCGUGUUCGGCUCCGACAAGAACUUUCGCAAGGAAAAGCUCACGUUUGAGGUGGUGGAUUUCCAGAGCGCUUACCACGCAAUUCUGGGCCGCCCAGCGUAUGUGAGUUUCAUGGCCCGUCCAUGUUAUGUAUACUUGAAGCUGAAGAUGCCAGGCCCGAAAGGCGUGAUCACCAUCACGGGCAAUCGACAGCGUGGCGAAGAGUGCCUGCAGCAGGGAUCAAGAAUCGCCGACCAGCAGAUGGCCGUCCUCGAGCUCGACGAGUACAAGAAAACAGUCGACCCCGCCGACCUGAUGCGCUCAAAGAAGCCAUCUUCUGAAUCCGCAUUCCACUCGGCGAGAGAGACGAAGAAGGUCAGCAUUCACCCGACGGACGACACUGUUGCCCCGACGAACAUCUCCACCACCCUCGAUCCUAAAUAGGAAGCCGAGCUCACCCAAUUCCUCCGUGAGAACUGGGACAUCUUCGCAUGGAAACCCUCUGACAUGCCAGGUGUACCCAGGGAGUUGGCUGAGCACCGACUGCAUGUGGACCCCGUCGCUCGGCCCGUCCGAGAGCGCUUGCGCCGGUCUGCCGCGCACAAGAGGAAAGCAAUCGGGGAGGAGGUGGCCAACUUCAUUCGCGAGGUUCACCACUCCGAGUGGCUCGCCAAUGUUUUCAUGGUGCCCAAGAAGGACAAGUCGCUCCGAAUGUGCAUCGACUUCAAGCAUCUCAAUAAGGUCUGCCCGAAGGACCAUUUUCCGCUCCCCCGCAUAGAUCAAAUUGUCGAUUCGACUGCGGGGUGCGAGCGUUUGUCUUUUCUUGAUGCCUACUCGGGCUAUCAUCAGAUCCGUCUGUAUGGCCCCGAUGAAUUAAAGACAGCCUUUAUCACCCCAUUCGGGUGCUUCUGCUACAUCACUAUGCCAUUUGGUUUGAAGAAUGCAGGAGCUACCUUUAUGCGCUUGAUCCAAAAAUGCCUUCUCGACCGGAUCGGUCGGAAUGAGGAGGCAUAUAUGGAUGAUAUUGUAGUCAAGUCACGCAAAGGUUCCGACCUGCUGACUGACUUGGCAGAAACAUUCGCCAACCUUCGUAGGUACGAUAUCAAGCUCAACCCCGCCAAAUGUUCAUUCGGCGUUCCCAGCGGAAAGUUACUCGGUUUCUUCGUUUCCGAACGAGGGAUCGAUGUCAACCCCGAAAAGAUCGGGACCAUCGUUCGAAUGGAGAGGCCGGUCAGAAUACACGAUGUUCAACGGCUCACAGGUUGCCUAGCGGCUUUGAGCAGGUUCAUCAGUCGACUCGGCGAGAAAGCACUUCCUCUGUACCGACUCAUGAAGAAAUCAGAUACUUUCGAGUGGACAGACGAAGCCCAAGUCGCAUUCGACGACCUCAAAGUCCUACUUUCCAUCCAGCCGGUUCUUACUGCUCCGCUCAGUAAAGAGCCCCUUCUUCUGUAUAUCGCGGCUACAAAUCAAGUUGUCAGUACUGUUCUUACAGUCGAACAAGAAGAAGAAGGCAAAGCAUACAAAGUUCAGCGGCCAGUGUACUACGUCUCCGAGGUCCUGACUCCUUCCUGUUGGGGAACGUCGCAUGGGAAACAAAAAUUUUCCUACGCGCACGAAGACCUAUCAUGGUGAUGUCCAUCUACGAGAGGGGAUGAGUGAUCUACGUACCCUUGUAGAUCGUACAUCAGAAGCGUUAGUGAACACGGUUGAUGUAGUGGAACGUCCUCACGUCCCUCGAUCCGCCCCGCGAACAAUCCCGUGAUCAGUCCCACGAUCUAGUACCGAACGGACGGCACCUCCGCGUUCAGCACACGUACAGCUCGACGAUGAUCUCAGCCUUCUUGAUCCAGCAAGAGAGACGGAGAGGUAGAAGAGUUCUCCGGCAGCGUGACGGCGCUCCGGAGGUUGGUGAUGACCUUGUCUCAGCAGGGCUCCGCCCGAGCUCCGCAGAAACGCGAUCUAGAGGGAAAACCGUGGAGGUAUGUGGUCGGGCUGCCGUGGAAAAGUCGUCUCAAAUCAGCCCUAAAACCUCCGUAUAUAUAGGUGGGAGGGAGGGGACCGUGCCUUGGGGCUCAAGGAGCCCCAAGGGGGUCGGCCGAGUCCAAGGGGGAAGGCUCCCCCCCAAACCGAGUUGGACUUGGUUUGGUGGGUGGGAGUCCUUCCUUCCCUUCCCACCUCCUCUUUUUUUUCUCUUUGAUUUUCUUUCCUAGGCGCAUAGGGCCCUUUUGGGCUGUCCCACCAGCCCACUAAGGGCUGGUGUGCCACCCUCAAGGCCUAUGGGCUUCCCCGGGGUGGGUUGCCCCCCUCGGUGAACUCCCGGAACCCAUUCGUCAUUCCCGGUACAUUCCCGGUAACUCCGAAAACCUUCCGGUAAUCAAAUGAGGUCAUCCUAUAUAUCAAUCUUCGUUUCCGGACCAUUCCGGAAACCCUCGUGACGUCCAUGAUCUCAUCCGGGACUCCGAACAACAUUCGGUAACCAACCAUAUAACUCAAAUACGCAUAAAACAACGUCGAACCUUAAGUGUGCAGACCCCGCGGGUUCGAGAACUAUGUAGACAUGACCCGAGAGACUCCUCGGUCAAUAUCCAAUAGCGGGACCUGGAUGCCCAUAUUGGAUCCUACAUAUUCUACGAAGAUCUUAUCGUCUGAACCUCAGUGCCAAGGAUUCAUAUAAUCCCGUAUGUCAUUCCCUUUGUCCUUCGGUAUGUUACUUGCCCGAGAUUCGAUCGUCAGUAUCCGCAUACCUAUUUCAAUCUCGUUUACCGGCAAGUCUCUUUACUCAUUCUGUAAUACAAGAUCCCACAACUUACAAUAAGUUGCAUUGCUUGCAAGGCUUGUGUGUGAUGUUGUACUACCGAGUGGGCCCCGAGAUACCUCUCCGUCACACGGAGUGACAAAUCCCAGUCUUGAUCCAUACUAACUCAACUAACACCUUCGGAGAUACCUGUAGAGCAUCUUUAUGGUCACCCAGUUACGUUGCGACGUUUGAUACACACAAAGCAUUCCUCCGGUGUCAGUGAGUUAUAUGAUCUAAUGGUCAUAGGAAUAAAUACUUAACACGCAGAAAACAGUAGCAACAAAAUGACACGAUCAACAUGGUACGUCUAUUAGUUUGGGUCUAGUCCAUCACGUGAUUCUCCUAAUGACGUGAUCCAGUUAUCAAGCAACAACACCUUGUUCAUAAUCAGAAGACACUGACUAUCUUUGAUCAACUGGCUAGCCAACUAGAGGCUUGCUGGGGAUGGUGUUUUGUCUAUGUAUCCACACAUGUAAAUGAGUCUUCAUUCAAUACAAUUAUAGCAUGAAUAAUAAAUGAGUAUCUUGAUACAGGAAUUAUAAUAAUAACUAUAUUUAUUAUUGCCUCUAGGGCAUAAUUCCAACAGUCUCCCACUUGCACUAGAGUCAAUAAUCUAGCCCUCACAUCAUCAUGCGAAUUACAUUGUAAUAAAUCUAACACCCAUACAGUUCUGGUGUUGAUCAUGCUUUGGACGUGGAAGAGGUUUAGUCAGCGGGUCUGCUACAUUCAGAUCCGUGUGCACUUUGCAUAUAUUUACGUCCUCUCCCUCGACGUAGUCGCGGAUGAGGUUGACGCGUCGUUUGAUGUGUGUGGUCUUCUUGUGAAACCGUGGUUCCUUUGCUAAGGCAAUGGCACCCGUGAGAACAAGGUUAUUGGAUUCAGUGCGCUUGGCACCACUCCAAGAUCCGUCAUGAACUGCUUCAUCCAGACACCCUCCUUAGCCGCCUCCGAGGCAGCCAUGUAUUCCGCUUCACAUGUAGAAUCUGCUAUGACGCUUUGCUUGGAACUGCACCAGCUUACCGCACCCCCAUUAAGAAUAAAUACGUAUCCGGUUUGCGACUUAGAGUCGUCCGGAUCUGUGUCAAAGCUUGCAUCAACGUAACCUUUUACGGCGAGCUCUUCGUCACCUCCAUACACGAGAAACAUCUCCUUAGUCCUUUUCAGGUACUUCAGGAUAUUCUUGACCGCUGUCCAGUGAUCCACUCCUGGAUUACUCUGGAACCUACCCGCCAUACUUAUGGCCAGGCUAACAUCCGGUCUAGUGCACAACAUUGCAUACAUGAUAGAACCUAUGGCUGAAGCAUAGGGGACGGAGCGCAUAUGCUCUCUAUCUUCAUCAGUUGCUGGGCACUGAGUCUUACUCAAUUUCGUACCUUGUAAAACUGGCAAGAACCCGUUCUUGGACUGUUCCAUUUUGAACCUCUUCAAAACUUUAUCAAGGUAUGUGCUUUGUGAAAGUCCUAUCAGGCGUUUUGAUCUAUCCCUAUAGAUCUUAAUGCCUAGAAUGUAAGCAGCUUCUCCUAGGUCCUUCAUAGAGAAACUCUUAUUCAAGUAAUCCUUUAUGCUCUCUAAAAACUCCACGUUGUUUCCAAUCAGCAAUAUGUCAUCCACAUAUAAUAUUAGAAACGCCACAGAGCUCCCACUCACUUUCUUGUAAAUACAAGAUUCUCCAACCACUUGUAUAAACCCAAAUGCUUUGAUCACCUCUUCAAAGCGUUUGUUCCAACUCCGAGAUGCUUGCACUAGUCCAUAAAUGGAUCGCUGGAGCUUGCACACCUUGUUAGCAUUCUUAGGAUCGACAAAACCUUCGGGUUGUAUCAUAUACAACUCUUCCUUAAGGAAACCAUCAAGGAACGCCGUUUUGACAUCCAUCUGCCAGAUUUCAUAAUUGAAAAAUGCAGCUAUUGCUAACAUGAUUCUGACGGACUUAAGCAUCGCUACGGGUGAGAAUGUCUCAUCGUAGUCAACUCCUUGAACUUGUGAAAAACCCUUUGCCACAAGUAGAGCUUUAUAAACGGUCACAUUGCCGUCAGCGUCCAUCUUCCUCUUAAAGAUCCAUUUGUUCUGAAUAGCCUUGCGGCCCUCAGGUAGUACCUCCAAAGUCCACACUUUGUUCUCAUACAUGGAUCCUAUCUCGGACUUCAUGGCUUCUAGCCAUUUGUUGGAAUCUGGGCCCACCAUUGCUUCUUCAUAAUUUGCAGGUUCAUUGUUGUCUAACAACAUGAUUGAUAAGACGGGAUUACCGUACCACUCUGGAGCAGCACGCGGUCUCGUCGACCUGCGUGGUUCGACAGAAACUUGAACUGGAGUUUCAUGAUCAUCAUCAUCAACUUCCUCCUCAACCGGCGUCGCAACGACAGAGGUUUCCCCUUGCCCUGCACCACCAUCCAGAGGGAUGAGAGGUUCGACAACCUCGUCAAGUUCUAUCUUCCUCCCACUCAAUUCUCUCGAGAGAAACUCCUUCUCGAGAAAAGCUCCGUUUUUAGCAACAAACACUUUGCCCUCGGAUUUGAGAUAGAAGGUGUACCCAACUGUCUCUUUUGGGUAACCUAUGAAGACACACUUUUCCUCUUUGGGUUCCAGCUUUUCAGGCUGAAGCUUUUUGACAUAAGCAUCACAUCCCCAAUCUUUAAGAAACGACAACUUUGGCCUUUUGCCAUACCACAGUUCAUAUGGUGUCGUCUCAACGAAUUUUGAUGGUGCCCUAUUUAAAGUGAAUGCAGCUGUUUCUAAUGCAUAACCCCAAAACGAUAACGUCAAAUCAGUAAGAGAUAUCAUAGAUCGCACCAUCUCUAAUAGAGUACGAUUACGACGUUCGGACACACCAUUACGCUGUGGUGUUCCAGGCGGUGUUAACUGUGAAACAAUUCCACAUUGUCUUAAGUGAGUACCAAACUCGAAACUCAGAUAUUCACCCCCACGAUCAGACCGUAGGAACUUGAUCUUCUUGUUACGAUGAUUUUCCACUUCACUCUGAAAUUGCUUGAACUUUUCAAAUGUUUCAGACUUGUGUUUCAUCAAGUAGACAUAACCAUAUCUACUCAAAUCGUCAGUGAAUGUGAGAAAAUAACGAUAUCCGCCACGUGCCUCCACGCUCAUCGGACCACACACCUCGGUGUGUAUGAUUUCCAAUAAGUCACUUGCACGCUCCAUUGUUCCAGAGAACGGAGUCUUAGUCAUCUUGCCCAUGAGGCAUGGUUCGCACGUGUCAAGUGAAUCAAAGUCAAGUGACUCCAAAAGUCCAUCAGCAUGGAGUUUCUUCAUGCGUUUUACACCAAUAUGACCUAAGCGGCAGUGCCACAAAAAUAUGGCGCUAUCAUUGUUAACUCUAACUCUUUUGGUCUCAAUGUUAUGUAUAUGCGUACCGCUAUCAAGUUCAAUAUGAACAAUCCUCUCACAUUAGGUGCAUGACCAUAAAAGAUGUUACUCAUAGAAAUAGAACAACCAUUAUUCUCUGACUUAAAAGAGUAACCGUCUCGCAAUAAACAAGAUCCAGAUAUAAUGUUCAUGCUUAACGCAGGCACUAAAUAACAAUGAUUUAAGUUCAUCACUAAUCCUGAUGGUAACUGAAGUGAAACUGUGCCGACGGCGAUUGCAUCAACCUUGGAACCAUUUCCUACGCGCAUCGUCACUUCAUCUUUCGCCAGCCUUCGUCUAUUCCGCAGUUCCUAUUUCGAGUUGCAAAUAUGAGCAACAGAACCGGUAUCGAAUACCCAGGCACUACUACGAGAGCCGGUUAAGUACACAUCAAUAACAUGUAUAUCAAAUAUACCUGAUUUUUCUUUGGUCGCCUUCUUAUCUGCCAGAUACUUGGGGCAAUUGCGCUUCCAGUGACCCAUACCCUUGCAAUAGUAACACUCCGUUUCAGGCUUAGGUCCAGCUUUGGGUUUCUUCGUCGGAUUGGCAACAGGCUUGCCGCUCUUCUUCGAAUUACCCUUAUUGCCUUUGCCGUUUCUCUUGAAACUAGUGGUCUUAUUCACCAUCAACACUUGAUGCUCUUUACGGAGUUCAGACUCUGCGACUUUCAGCAUCGCAAACAACUCGCCGGGAGACUUGUUCAUCCCUUGCAUGUUGUAGUUCAACACAAAGCCUUUAUAGCUUGGCGGCAGUGAUUGAAGGAUUCUGUCAGUGAUAGCCUCUUGCGGGAGUUCAAUCCCCAGCUCAGCUAGACGGUUUGAGUACCCAGACAUUUUGAGCACAUGUUCAUUGACAUACGAGUUUUCCUCCAUCUUGCAAGCAUAGAAUUUAUCGGAGGUCUCAUACCUCUCGAUCCGGGCGUUCUUCUGAAAGAUAAACUUCAACUCUUGGAACAUCUCAAAUGCUCCAUGAUGCUCAAAGCGACGUUGAAGUCCCGGUUCUAAGCCAUACAAGACUGCACAUUGAACUAUUGAGUAGUCCUUCUUAUGUGCUAACCAAGCGUUCUUAACAUCCUGAUCAGCCGUAGCGGGUGGUUCAUCUCCUAGCGCAGCAUUAAGGACAUAAUCCUUCUUCCCAGCUUGUAAGGUUAGCUUAAGAUUACGAGCCGAGUCUACAAAGUUGCUUCCAUCAUCUUUCAACUUAGCUUUCUCUAGGAACGUAUUAAAAUUCAGGAUGACACUCACGUGAGCCAUGAUCUACAACACAAAUAUAUUCAACGUGGACUUAGACUAUGUUCAAGAUAAUUAGAGUUUACCUUAAUCAAAUUAUUUGCUAAACUCCCACUCAAAAAGUACAUCUCUCUAGUCAUUUGAGUGGUUCACGAUCCACUUACACUAGCUCAAGUCCGAUCAUCACGUGAGUUGAGUAUAGUUUCAGUGGUAAGCAUCAGUAUGCUAAUCAUAUCAUCUAUAUGAUUCAUGAUCGACCUUUCGGUCUCAUGUGUUCCGAGGCCAUGUCUGCACAUUCUAGGCUCGUCAAGCUUAACCCGAGUGUUCCGCGUGCGCAACUGUUUUGCACCCGUUGUAUGUGAACGUUGAGUCUAUCACACCCGAUCAUCACGUGGUGUCUCGAAACGACGAACUGUAGCAACGGUGCACAGUCGGGGAGAACACAAUUUCGUCUUGAAAUUUUAGUGAGAGAUCACCUCAUAAUGCUACCGUCAUUAUAAGCAAAAUAAGGUGCAUAAAAGGAUUAACAUCACAUGCAAUUCAUAAGUGACAUGAUAUGGCCAUCAUCACGUGCUUCUUGAUCUCCAUCACCAAAGCACCGGCACGAUCUUCUUGUCACCGGCGCCACACCAUGAUCUCCAUCAACGUGUUGCCAUCGGGGUUGUCGUGCUACUCAUGCUAUUACUACUAAAGCUACAUCCUAGCAAAAUAGUAAACGCAUCUGCAAGCACAAACGUUAGUAUAAAGACAACCCUAUGGCUGCUGCCGGUUGCCGUACCAUCGACGUGCAAGUCGAUAUUUUCUAUUACAACAUGAUCAUCUCAUACAUCCAAUAUAUCACAUCACAUCGUUGGCCAUAUCACAUCACAAGCAUACCCUGCAAAAACAAGUUAGACGUCCUCUAAUUUUGUUGUUGCAUGUUUUACGUGGUGACCAUGGGUAUCUAGUAGGAUCGCAUCUUACUUACGCAAACACCACAACGGAGAUAUAUGAGUUGCUAUUUAACCUCAUCCAAGGACCUCCUCGGUCAAAUCCGAUUCAACUAAAGUUGGAGAAACCGACACUUGCCAGUCAUCUUUGAGCAACGGGGUUACUCGUAGCGAUGAAACCAGUCUCUCGUAAGCGUACGAGUAAUGUCGGUCCAAGCCGCUUCAAUCCAACAAUACCGCGGAAUCAAGAAAAGACUAAGGAGGGCAGCUAAACGAACAUCACUGCCCACAAAAACUUUUGUGUUCUACUCGAGAAGACAUCUACGCAUGAACCUAGCUCAUGAUGCCACUGUUGGGGAACGUCGCAUGGGAAACAAAAAUUUUCCUACGCGCACGAAGACCUAUCAUGGUGAUGUCCAUCUACGACAGGGGAUGAGUGAUCUAUGUACCCUUGUAGAUCGUACAGCAGAAGCGUUAGUGAACACGGUUGAUGUAGUGGAACGUCCUCACGUAACUCGAUCGCCCAGCGAACAAUCCCGUGAUCAGUCCCACGAUCUAGUACCGAACGGACGGNNNNNNNNNNNNNNNNNNNNNNNNNNNNNNNNNNNNNNNNNNNNNNNNNNNNNNNNNNNNNNNNNNNNNNNNNNNNNNNNNNNNNNNNNNNNNNNNNNNNGAGAAAACCUUAUGCACUUUCCAUCCCUCGAUGAGGAUAUUGCAACAACUCCUAUUCCCCUUUCCCCUUAAACUCCCAUUUCCUGUAAUCAAUCAGUGAACUAUUAAUCUCUGCACCCCUCAACUCCCAUUCUUCAUCUCUAAUUCCCACGAACCAAAUAUGCUUAGGAUAAUAGUUGUGAUGGAAUUAAACUCUGUAUGCGCUAUAUAUAUGGACACCCUAUGAGGUUAGUACAGUUGCCUUGCACAAAUCCUUAUUCUACACUACUCAUCAACACAAACAUAAUAAGAGUCGUUAAAUUCGUUGGAUCAAUGAUGUAUAGCAGCACGAACGCAUCCAAUUAGGUGCUCGCACGGCACACACCUUCUCUCCGCUCCGUAUGUACGCAUCGAUCACUGCCGUACGUUCGCAAGAUCCACGAGUCAUACGGAGGACCAAUCAGUUCAUGUUGCGCGCGCAGUGCGUGAUGGCGGAGCAGCCGCGCGUGUAAGGGUUCAUCUGCUGCAUGGACCCGCAGUUGGUGUAGUAGGACGCCCCGCGCUUGUUGCAGACGAUCUGGUCGGCGCGCAGCGCCGCGUAGCUGAUGUACCUGGCCGUCGGCUUCCGCUCCAGCGACCUGCGCAGCGCCUCGCCGGCGCCCGUCCCCGUCCCCAUCUCCUCGUCCUCGUCCACGCCGCACUCCCCGAUGAUUCCGUCGCAGGCCGCAGCGCGCGACAGCAGCAUGGAGGCCAGCUCGCCGGCGGAGGCCGGGGCCGGCAGGCAGGUGACCGCGGCCGCGGCCGCCAGGAGCGCGAGCGAGGCCACACUGAGCCUUGCCAUGUCAGUCUUCUAUCCGGUGGCUGGUUUCUUGCGGGUUUGAGUCGGUCGGCUUGUCGGUCUGCAGCUAGGAUGGAUCCCUCCCUGCCUUCUUCUCUCUUUGAAGGGAUUGGGAGGAGGAGGGGAUGAAGAUAGGAGAGGCGGGAGAAGGGGAUUUGGAGAGGGGGAGGCUGGACGGGCGAGGAAGCAGGGCGGCCGCACGUCGGCUUGGCCUCGGCCUCAUGUGCUAAUUUUAGGUGCAAGAAGACCCUUGUUUUACGGUGUCCAGUGGUACGUGCCAUGCCUACCCUUUUUUGCUAAUUUUAGGUGCAAGAAGACCCUUUUUUUGCUUUGAGUUGCAUGUGCAGUCCUUUUUUUUUUGAGGGUGCAUGUGCAUACCUUCUGAGGUGCCCGUUUCGAGUGUCCUCUCCCAAAAAAAAAACUACGCCACCACGAGGCCAUCUCCGAGCCUGGCCGCGCCGCUCACCCCGCUAUCGCGGCUCCGCUUCCUUCUGGCCGCCUCCAGCCGACCACCGUGGUGCCACUUCCCUCCACCGAAUCCAUCAGACCGGCCGCGCUGCUCCCCUCCGCCGUCCUCCACCAGAAAGGAGAAGCUUUCCCAGAAAGGGGCAAAUAAAGACUCACCCCCACCCCGUAAAAAGAGAGGCAACUAAAGACCAACGAAAAAAAUAGUGCGUUAUAAAAUAUAACAAGCCCUUCUAGUUAUAGCACGCUAAUAGCAUGCUAUAUUUUAAAAUAGUGUUUAAAAAAUGUCAUAUCUAAAAAUAAAGUAUUUUAUCAACUAUAUUUUUCUCAGGAAUCAUACAUGCACAAGGGCCAAAUCGAAACCAUUAACAAAAGGGAAAUGCUUACAGCCGGAGCACCGGCCGAACCGUUCGGCCGGUCGCUCGCGGCUCAAGCGCCUGGCAGCAGCCAUGCAACAUUAUUUUAGUGCAGAUUUGUUGCAAUCAUGUACAAAUUUGAUACAUUGGCCCACACAUGUAACAUUUUUAGUGUAGAUUUGCUACAAGCAUUUUCUAUUUUGUUGCAACUUGUUCAAUAAAAAAGUUGCAUCCACGUUUGGUUGCAACUCGAGUUCGUUUAAUUUUUUUGCCACAACUGGGUUUGAUUUUUGCUACAACCGUGUAAAUUUUUGCUACAACCAACAUCAUUUUUUGCUGCAACCGUUCACUAAAAAAGUUGCAUACACGUUCGUCAGAGUUUCCAACCCGAGUUCACCGGAUUGUUUUGCUACAACCUUUUUUUUGUUUUGCUACCACGCAUCAUCAGCUUUGUUUUUUUUGCUACGAUCAUGUAGGGACACCCUUAGGCUUGUUCGGUUAAUCCCAUCGAGGAGGGGAUUGAAGGGGAUUGGGAUGGAAUUUGACUUGUAGGGGAUUUAAUCCCUUUCAAUCCCCUCCAAACCCCUUCAAUUUUAAAGGAACCGAACAAGGCCUUAGGUGUGGAAUGAUGGCCUCUGCAGUGAAGUCAAGAAGGAUAGAAGGGAUGGAGACAUGGAGGGAAAGGAGGUGCAAGAAGAGGCGAUGCAAAGUGGGGCGGCGGCGGCGGCCCAAUCACAAGGUCUCACAGUGAUGGAUCCCCUUCCCCUUCCGUUCUCUCUCGCGGGUUGAUUUAGGUCAUUCAUGAUUUGUUACGACAUUGAAUCAUCCCAANNNNNNNNNNNNNNNNNNNNNNNNNNNNNNNNNNNNNNNNNNNNNNNNNNNNNNNNNNNNNNNNNNNNNNNNNNNNNNNNNNNNNNNNNNNNNNNNNNNNGUUUUGUCUAUGUAUCCACACAUGUAAAUGAGUCUUCAUUCAAUACAUUAUAGCAUGGAUAAUAAACGAUUAUCUUGAUACAGGAAUUAUAAUAAUUACUAUAUUUAUUAUUGCCUCUAGGGCAUAAUUCCAACACCUUCUGCGCAGCAACGAGGACAAUCCUCGGUUUUACAGACUCAGUCCGCAAAGUUGCUACUAUCAAUUUUCAACUAAAUUUUCUCUAGGAACAUAUAAAACAGUAGAACUAUAGCUCAAGCUACAUCAUAAUUCGCAAAGACCAUUAGACUAUGUCCAUGACAAUUAGUUCAAUUAAUCAUAUUACUUAAGAACUCCCACUUAAAAAGUACAUCUCUCUAGUCAUUUGAGUGGUACAUGAUCCAAAUCCACUAUCUCAAGUCCGAUCAUCACGUGAGUCGAGAAUAGUUUCAGUGGUAAGCAUCUCUAUGCUAAUCAUAUCAACUAUACGAUUCAUGCUUGACCUUUCGGUCUCUUGUGUUCCGAGGCCAUGUCUGCACAUGCUAGGCUCCUCAAGUUUAACCCGAGUGUUCGUGUGUGCAACUGUUUUGCACCCGUUGUAUGUGAAUGUUGAGUCUAUCACACCCGAUCAUCACGUGGUGUCUCGAAACGACGAACUGUCGAAACGGUGCACAGUCGAGGAGAACACAAUUGCGUCUUGAAAUUUUAGUGAGAGAUUACCUCAUAAUGCUACCGUCGUUCUAAGCAAGAUAAGGUACAUAAAGGAUUAACAUCACAUGCAAUUCAUAAGUGACAUGAUAUGGCCAUCAUCACGUGCUUCUUGAUCUCCAUCACCAAAGCACCGGCAUGACCUUCUUGUCACCGGCGUCACACCAUGAUCUCCAUCAUCAUGAUCUCCAUCAACGUGUCGCCAUCGGGGUUGUCGUGCUACUCAUGCUAUUACUACUAAAGCUAUGUCCUAGCAAUAUAGUAAACGCAUCUGCAAGCACAAACGUUAGAUUAAAGACAACCGUAUGGCUCCUGCCGGUUGCUGUACCAUCGAUGUGCAAGUCGAUAUUAACUAUUACAACAUGAUCAUCUCAUACAUCCAAUAUAUCACAUCACGUCGUUGGCCAUAUCACAUCACAAGCAUACCCAGCAAAAACAAGUUAGACGUCCUCUAAUUGUUGUGGCAUGUUUUACGUGGUUGCCAUGGGUAUCUAGUAGAAUCGCAUCUUACUUACGCAAAACACCACAACGGAGAUGUAUGAAUUGCUAUUUAACCUCUCUCCAAGGACCUCCUUGGUCAAAUCCGAUUCAACUAAAGUUGGAGAAACCGACACUCGCCAGUCAUCUUUCAGCAACAGGGUUGCUCGCAGCGAUGAAACCAGUCUCUCGUAAGCGUACGAGUAAUGUUGGUCCGAGCCGCUUCGAUCCAACAAUACCGCGGAAUCAAGAAAAGACUAAGGAGGGCAGAAAAUCGCACAUCACCGCCCACAAAAACUUUUGUGUUCUACUCGAGAUAACAUCUACGCAUGAACCUAGCUCAUGAUGCCACUGUUGGGGAACGUCGCAUGGGAAACAAAAAAUUUCCUACGCACACGCAGUACCUAUCAUGGUGAUGUUCAUCUACGAGAGGAGAUUUCUGAUCUACGUACCCUUGUAGAUUGCACAGCAGAAGCGUUAAUAAACACGGCUGAUGUAGUGGAACGUCCUCACGUCCCUCGAUCCGCCCCGCGAACCGUCCCGCGAUCCAUCCCACGAUCCGUCCCGCGAUCCGUCUCACGAACCAUCUCGCGAUCCGUUGCAUGAACCGUCUUGCGAUUCAUCUCACGAUCAGUUCUGAUCUAGUGCCGAACAGACGGCACCUCCGCGUUCAACACACGUACAGCUCGACGAUGAUCUCGGCCUUCUUGAUCCAGCAAGAGAGACGGAGAGAUAGAUGAGUUCUCCGGCAGAGUGACGGCGCUCCGGAGGUUGGUGUUAAUCUAUCUCAGCAGGGCUCCGCCCGAGCUCCGCAGAAAUACGAUCUGGAGGAAAAACCGUGGAGGUAUGUGGUCGGGCUGCCGUGGCAAAGUUGUCUCAAAUUAGCCCUAAUACCUCAGUAUAUAUAGGAGGGAGGGGGAGGGAAGAGGCAGCCUCAAACCCUUAAGGUUUGGCCGAAAUUGGAGGUGGAGGAGUCCUACUCCAAUCCUACUUGGAGUAGGAUACCACCUUCCCACUUGGAAACUCUUUCCACCCUGUGUUUUUCCUUCUCAAACCUUAUGGGCCUUAGUGGGAACUUAUUCCAACCCACUAGGGGCUGGUUUAUCUCUUCCCAUAGCCCAUGAGACCCCUUGGGGCGUGACACCCCUCCCGAUGGUCCCCGGCACCCGUCCCGGCACUCCCGGUACACUACCGAUGAGCCCGAAACUUUUCCGGUGACCAAAAAAGGACUUCCUAUAUAUCAAUCUUUACCUCCGUACCAUUCCGGAGCUCCUCGUGACAUCCUGGCUCUCAUCCGGAACUCCGAACAACUUUCGAUUACCAACCAUAUAACUCAAAUACGCAUAAAACAUCGUCGAACCUUAAGUGUGCAGACCCUGCGGGUUCGAGAACUAUGUAGACAUGACCCGAGAGACUCCUCGGUCAAUCUCCAAUAGCGGGACCUGGAUGACCAUAUUGGAUCCUACAUAUUCUCUGAAGAUCUUAUCUGUUGAACCUCAGUGUCAAGGAUUCAUAUAAUCCCGUAUGUCAUUCCCUUUGUCCUUCGGUAUGUUACUUGCCCGAGAUUCGAUUGUCGGUAUCCACAUACCUAUUUAAAUCUCGUUUACCGGCAAGUCUCUUUACUCGUUCCAUAAUACAAGAUCCCGUGACUUACACUAAGUCACAUUGCUUGCAAGGCUUGUGUGUGAUGUUGUAUUACCGAGUGGGCCCCGAGAUUCCUCUCCGUCACACGGAGUGACAAAUCCCAGUCUUGAUCCAUCCUAACUCAACGGGCACCUUCGGAGAUACCUGUAGAGCAUCUUUAUAGUCACCCAGUUACGUUGUGACGUCUGAUACAGACAAGGCAUUCCUCCGGUGCCAGUGAGUUAUAUGAUCUCAUGCUCAUAAGAACAAAUACUUGACACGCGGAAAACAGUAGCAACAAAAUGACACGACCAACAUGUUACGUUUAUUAGUUUGGGUCUAGUCCAUGACAUGAUCCUCCUAAUGAUGUGAUCCCGUUAUCAAGUAACAACACUUGCCUAUGGCCAGGAAACCUUGACCAUCUUUGAUCAACGAGCUAGUCAACUAGAGGCUUACUAGGCACAGUGUUUUGUCUAUGUAUCCACACAAGUAUUGUGUUUCCAAUCAAUACAAUUAUAGCAUGGAUAAUAAGCGAUGAUCAUGAACAAAGAAAUAUAAUAGUAACUAAUUUAUUGUUGCCUCUAGGGCAUAUUUCCAACACGAACAACAUUAGCUAACCACACAUAUAACUCAACUAUACUAAAACAUCGUCGAACCUUAAGUGUGCAGAUCAUGCGGGUUCGAGAAUUAUGUAGACAUGCCCCGAGGCACUCCUCGGUCAAUAUCCAAUAGCGGGACCUGGAUGCCCAUAUUGGAUCCUACAUAUUCUCUGAAGAUCUUAUUGGUUGAACCUCAGUGUCAAGGAUUCAUAUAAUCCCGUAUGUCAUUCCCUUUGUCCUUCGGUAUGUUACUUGCCCGAGAUUCGAUCGUCGGUAUCCGCAUACCUAUUUCAAUCUCGUUACCGGCAAGUCUCUUUACUCAUUCCGUAAUACAAGAUCCUGUGACUUACACUUAGUCACAUUGCUUGCAAGGCUUGUUGUGUGAUGUUGUAUUACCGAGUGGGCCCCGAGAUACCUCUCCAUCACACGGAGUGACAAAUCCCAGUCUUGAUCCAUAUUAACUCAACGGACAUCUUCGGAGAUACCUGUAGAACACCUUUAUAGUCACCCAGUUACGUUGCGACGUUUUAUGCACACAAGGUAUUCCUCCGGUGCCAGUGAGUUAUAUGAUCUCAUGGUCAUAGGAACAAAUACUUGACACGCAGAAAACAGUAGCAAUAAAACGACACGAUCAAUAUGCUACGUUCAUAGUUUGGGUCUUGUACAUCACAUGAUUCUCCUAAUGAUGUGAUCCCGUUAUCAAGUGACAACACUUGUCUAUGGUUAGGAAACCUUGACCAUCUUUGAUCAACGAGCUAGUCAACUAGAGGCUUACUAGGUACAGUGUUUUGUCUAUGUAUCCACACAUGUAUUUGAGUUUCCAAUCAAUACAAUUAUAGCAUGGAUAAUAAACGAUUAUCACAAACAAAUAAAUAUAAUAAUAACUAAUUUAUUAUUGCCUCUAGGGCAUAUUUCCAACAGUCUCCCACUUGCACUAGAGUCAAUAAUCUAGUUCACAUCAUCAUGUGAUUUUAACGAAUCCAACACCCAUAUAGUUCUGGGGUCUGAUCACGACUUGCUCGUGAGAGAGGUUUUAGUCAACGGUUCUGAAACUUUCAGAUGAGUGUGUGCUUUACAAAUCUUUAUGUCAUCUUAUAGAUGCUGCUACCACGUGCUAUUCGGAAAUACUCCAAAUAUCUACUCUACUAUACGAAUCCGUUUUACUACUCAUCGUUAUUCGGAUUAGUGUCAAAGCUUGCAUCGACGUAACCCUUUACGACGAACUCUUUAACCACCUCCAUAACCGAGAAAUUCCUUAGUCCAUUAGAUACUAAGGAUGACUUUGACCACUGUUCAGUGAUUCAAUCCUGGAUCACUCUCUGUACCUCUUAAGAGACUUGUGGCAAGGCACACAUCAGGUGCGGUACAUAGCAUGACAUACUGUAGAGUCUACGGCUAAGGCAUAGGGGACGACCUUCGUCCUUUCUCUUUCUUCUGCCGUGGUCGGGCUUUUGAGUCUUACUCAAAUUCACACCUUACAACACAUCCAAGAACUCCUUAUUUGCUGAUCUAUUUUGAACUCCUUCAAAAACUUGUCAAGGCGUGCAUUUCAUUUGAAAGUUCUGUUUAGCAUUUUGUUCUAUCUCCAUAUAUCUUGAUGCUCAAUGUUCAAGUAGCUCUAUCCAGGUCUUCCUUUGAAAAACCCCUUUCAAAUAACCUUUAUGCUUCACAGAAAUUCUACAUUACUUCCGAUCAACAAUAUGUCAACCACAUAUACUUAUCAGAAAUUCUAUAGUGCUCCCACUCACUUCUUUGGAAAUACAAGUUUCUCAUAAACCUUGUACAAACCCAAAAACUGUGAUCAUCUCAUCAAAGCGUAUAUUCCAACUUUGAGAUGCUCUACAACGUAACUGGGUGAUUAUAAAGAUGAUCUACAGGUAUCACCAAAGGUAUCUGUUGAGUUGGCAUGGAUCGCGACUGAGAUUUGUCACUCCGUAUGACGGAAAGGUAUCUUGGGGCACAGUCAGUAAUACAACAUCACAAUAAGCUCACAAGCAAUGUGGCUAAGGAGUUAGUCACGGGAUCUUGUAUUACGGAACGAGUAAGGAGACUUGUCGGUAAUGAGACUGAACUAGGUAUGGAGAUACCGACGAUCGAAUCUCGGGCAAGUAAUAUACCGAUGGACAAAGAGCACUACAUACGGGAUUACCUGAAUCCUUGACAUCACGGUUCGACCGAUAUUGUGACAGCCCGAUGCCGACAUCCAGAAGAUUCCCCUUUUUCUUUCCGUUUUCGUCGUGUGUCUAUUUUCUUUUGUUGCAUCAUCAUCGCAUCAUGCGCAUCAUCAGCAUUGCAUCGGCACCCCGUUGCCGCCAGUUUUCAAAACUUGCAUCCGUUGUUUAGUUGCCGGUUCACGUCGUUGUCCGUUCUGAGUCCGACCACACACGCACGCGCCCGUGGCACCGUCAAAACCAUGUUUUUACAGUGUGCGUAAAACUUUCUCCGAUCGGGUUGAGAUUUGAUGUACGGUCUUAUUUUAAUAUAGCCAGGCCGCCUAUCGAAUUUCGUCGCGAUCGGAGUUCGUCUGGUACCCGAACGGUCGACCGUAGCGGCACCGUAUUCGGUCUAUCGUCGGACGUUUUAUCGGUGUUUUAAAUUACGUUGCCGGGUGCCCGUUUCCCUCUCGUCAUAGCCAACACCCCUCUACACUGCCUAAACCUAACCCACCUAACCCUAGGACGUUUCCGGAGCGUCCGAUCUCAAUCGGAGGGUCCGAAAACGCCCGAAACCCUAAGCCUAGCCCUUUCCUUCUAUAAAUGGACAGCGAAUCCUCCCUCUCCUCGUUUUCAGUGCCCUAACCCUAGCUAGCCAGCCUUCCACCUUCUCCUCGCGCCGCCGGGCCCACGAGCCGCAACCGGCCCGAUCGGGCCAAUCGGGACCGUGCAGCACCAGCCGCCGCUGGCUCCUCCCUGCCUCCCGAGCUCCUCAUCGCUGCCCCCUCGCCUCCAGGGUGCCGAGCCGAGCGCUGUCGUCCCUCGCAGCCUCCGUCGGAGUUCCACCGGAGGAGCCGCCGCCACUGGAGGGCCCCGCCUCGUUCCCGCCGGCAGCCACCGCCCCAACGCGCCCCUUAGUGUGAGCCUUCCUGUCGCGUCGCGCCGCCAUGCGAUGCCGCCUCGAGCUGCGUCGCCCGGAACGGAUCCUUCCCGCCCGGAUCCGCCCAUGGCCGCGGGACCUAGUCUUCCUCGCCUGCCGGCUCUGCCCCUUCGUCGGCGUUCGGCCCAGUCGCUGCCGUCGCUCCUGCGUGUCUCGGGAGGGAGACGAGGGAACCGCCCGCGUUGACCGCGCCGUCCCCGCACCGGACAGGUGGGCCCUGCUCCAGCCGCGACCCCGAACGGGCCUCCUUCGGCCCAGUUCGGCCCCCCUGCCGCGCACCUCCCAUGUCGGCCCAGCUCGCCCCUGAGCCAGGCCACCUUCGGCCAACUCGGCCUCCAGCCGGGCCAAGGCCCCAAGGUGAGCCCCGCUGCGCCCCUUUAUUUUGUUCGCAUGUGUGUAGUAUUAGUAUGUGGCGCCAAUGCUUAGUUUCGGCCCGAUAGCCAGAUCUGGCCCGCGUAGGAUUUUAUUAAUUUUGGCUAUUUAAUUCUUUUUCAGAAAAGGGCAUAUUUUCAAACGUGUGUAGUUUUAAAUCCGUGUGUCGGAUCGGAGAGUAUUAUAUAUGUAAAACGUGUAGUUUCUCGCGUAGAACCCGAUUAUAAGACUUGCAUAAUUAUUUGACGUAGUUUUACGUGCCAAACGCCUAGUUUAGCGUGUUGUCCCAAUAGAGGAACGUCCCGUAUUUAUUUUUCUUGCGGUCCGGAUUGCUCGAGUGCCAUAGGUAAAAUGCCCAUGUUUUAGGGACCAUUUUCCCAUGCAUUUUAGAGCGGUCAUUUGUAUUUUUGCGUGUAGGNNNNNNNNNNNNNNNNNNNNNNNNGUAGGGAAUUGCCUCUAGUUUAUUUUCCCGUAUAUAGGUUAUUUUCCCGCAUUUGUGUGUGGCUUUAUUUGGUGUUGAACCCCACAUAUUUUAUAUGAUUUCGGGGUGAUUUUUCUAUGAAAUUAGUUUUAGCAUUAGAGCAAGUUAGUUCGCGCGAUAUUUUGCCGUGAUGCCCUUUUGUUUAAUUCGAAGGAUUUAUUUCGUGCUUCGUUUGAAGGAGUUGUCAACUAGGAAGUUGUUCUUGAGUGUUUAGACUAGCCCCUGGUAUUUUUAGUUGCAAUAGAAAUGCAUGUUUAGGUGUGUUUUGAUUGCCCUCAAGUUGCUAGAAAUAGUGAUGUUUUGGACGUGCUGAAAUAUUUCUAAGUCUGGGAUCUGUUAUUGUUUUGUUGCUGUCUUAUCUUGCUUGCAUCUUGUGAUCUGUAGCUCUUUUGAGGUUGGUCCAAUGGAGUUAGUUGUAUCCCUUAUGUUUCUCUAGCAUGCUGUAAAUUUUCAUGCCAUUUGGAGUCCUGUAGCUAUAGAUUUUGCUGCUGUCAAUAUUGCUUUAGAUCCAAAACUGCACUUUAAUGAGGUGUUAUUUUCACUAAGUCUGAAAUAGUGUGUGGGAUGCCAUUUUGUAUCUUCUUUUCCUAGUGCUCCUUGCUGCCAUGCUAGUUGUUGUUAGUUGGUUGUAUUAGUGCUUCUUUCCCUCUUUCAUGUCAUGCCUUGCUUGAGUUUAUCGGAGUUGUGUAGCUUGUAGUUGAGGGGUGUAGAAUAUGCUAUGUGGUUGAUUUUGGCAGAUUGUAAUCAUUUCUUAUUUUGCUCGUAGUUGUUGAACCGUAGCUCCGAUUUGAUCGUGUCCUACAUGAAACUUGCUUAGAAUCUCGUGUAGUUUCAUUUUAUCUUGCGGGAUGUAUGUUUUGAAGUGCUCGUGACCGCCGUUGCACACAUAUUGCAUUCAUGCCAUCAUAUCUUGCGGUGCUUGUAUCUUUUGAACCGUAGCUCCGUUGGAGAUGUUCUUUAUGUGUAGAUUGCUUCAAAUAACGCGUAGAAUCACGUGAACCUAUUUGUUUGCUGUUUAACAACGUGAAUCACGUGAAUCACGUGAUACACGGCGCGCCGGCGAAUCGUUCGGCCGGUCAGCGAGGCGGGCAGUGAAUCCCAACCCAAACACUAGAAUGAAUAUGAGCAACACCAUAAUUCUUUGGAAAACGCUUUCAUCCGGCGCGCCGGCGAAUCGUUCGGCCGGUCGCGCGCCUCGCUGGUAGAUGCUUGCAGCAUUUUUUCGUCAAAUUUGCUGCAACCGUGUAUUUUUUUGAUACAAACGUUUUUCAUGUAACUUUUUUUCUCGUGUAAAUUUGUUACAUUUGUCCAGUAAAAAGCUGCAUAUACGUUUGGUUGCAACUUCAGUUCGUCGAAUUUUUCGUUACAAUCGAUGUUUUUACUUUUGCUACAACCGUGUUAAUUUUUGCUAUAAUCGGCAUCAUUUUUUGCUGCAACCCUUCACUAAAAAAGUUGCAUACGCGUUCACGUAGAUAUUUGUUACAACCGGCGUUUGACUUUUGCUACCACGCACCAUCAGAUUCGUUUUUUUGCUACGAUCACGUAGAUUUUUUUUUUGCUACAAAAUUUGUUUUUUGUUGCAACCGUUGAAAAAAUUGCUGCAUCGCGACGAAUUUUGCUGCAUCAGGAGAAAAAAUGUUGCAUGAAGAUCCAAUGGUGCGGACGCGCGGGGUUGGUGGAUCGGGCGGCCCGUCCACGGCCGGCUGAAAGUUUCGGCCGACGCGCCGGCGCAAAUCACUCCCCUAAUUUUUUAACAUAUAUGAGAGUCCCUAAGCACAAACCAAAAACAGGUAAUUAAGAAAAUGUGGACCNNNNNNNNNNNNNNNNNNNNNNNNNNGCUCUUCCUGAUUACGAUUCCUCUAGUGGGUUGAAACAAUUUCGCGAACACUUCAUUAACAUGGGCUAAGAAGGACAACGUUUCAACACAGAUCAUAACGAUAUUGAUUCGCCUUUAAGCAAAGCCUAAAUUAGUCAUUACUAGUAAAAGUGCCCAUGCGUUGCAUCGAGUUAGACUGUCGAUUUUUGAAUCAUGAAUUUUCUAUUUGAAAAGCACCACCCCCCCCCCUCCCUUAUGUCCUCCUCAACAUCUACUUGAACUUCGCACCGCCAUUGGAGUAUAAUGGAUAUUUAAAUAUAUGACAAACUAUUAUAACAACUAAUACCUGUUUCUUUAGGAUUGAAUAAGACCACCUGGAGCAAAAUUCGCAAGACAUUUUUCAAGAGAUGAACUACGGUAGGAGAGCUAGAAUGGGAGUGCUAAAUAGGCAAUACAAACACAAACACAUUGAAGAAAAACUAUCUGAAGCUCAAGUUCAGAAAAUGGAAUUGCAGUAUUGCAAACAACAAAACACAAUCACUAUUUUGUUUUAAAUUGUAGAAAAAAUGCAUGUUUAUGUUCAAAGAUCUCCUGCCAAGAGCACAGAGAUCCAUCCAACAUAAAAACAACAUCUUAUGUGUAGAUUUAAUUGGAAACCUGAUGAUCUCUACUUUUCUGAAAACAGAACGGGAGCAUCGGUGUUUUCUGUACUUGUUCGCUGCCAAAUUAUUCAGUAUAUUGUCAAUUGAUAAUAGGCUAAACAACUGAGCAUAGAGUCUAAGCAAUUACACAUGUAAGUCCAUGAAUCCGAAAGAAUAGUUCAUUCAGAUGCCCUUCCCAAUAUCACUGAAUAACUAACAAGAAAAAAUAAGCUCCUAUAUUCAGCAAUAUAAAGCUGGCAUAGUCAGAGCCAGGGGACAGAAACAAUAUCUAAAACAGCCGAUUACAUUGAGUGAAUAUCAAGGGGAUACAUACAUCUUGUGUGUGCGACGCAGGCGAUAUUGGAUGGCUGGAGGGAUGUUAUUGUUCCUCCGGCGAACUCAACGUUUCUUCCUCCGUCGAACUCGCGGUCGUUCUGAUGAAUAGCUUGCCGAUAUGCCCCGCAUCCAAGUCGCUGAGCCAAACACUGAAGAUCCUGAGGCACUUGUCCUUGUGCAGGCCCGGAACCAUAUCGUACACCUUGGUGAGAUUCAUCUCCCUCUCCAGAUGCCACCCAUUAACAACGGAUGCGUGGAUGAGUCCUCAAUACCUUGAUCACCUAUUAAAUAUUCAAGAUGUGAGCCUGAUCCUCCAAAAAGGUCGGUAGUCCAAUCACAACCAGAACAGCAUACAGAAAAGAAAAUAAAGCAAUGUAUAUGUAGAAUGGAACCAAUCAGCAUGGGGUGCUUGAAUCAACUAACAUGAUGUUAUUCAGUAGUGCAAAUUAUAUUCAUAAAUGAUAAGGUUCAUGCUUGCUAGUUGGGUCAUAUUGCAGGAUGAAACAGCUUCACGGCAUGGUAAUUUACAUAUUAAAUUCAAAUCUAUACCUGAUGUUUAGUAGUAUUAUUAUCGUAACAAACCCCGAAUAUCUACUGUACCUCGCAAUGCAACCGCAUUACUCUAGUAAUCACCAGGUCUAUUGAAAACAAAAUUUCUGUAAAGCAUGCUUCAUUUAUAUGGACAUUCACGAUAUGCAUUUAACAACAUAUCACAGGCAAGAACGAUAUAGCAUAAAUCCAUCAAUGUGUUACCACUACAAGACAUACAUAACUAAACCUCAAGCAACCAAAGGGCUAGCCUUGCUCCAAGGUAUCAGGUAUUAAGACUUGAGUAAGCAUUUCCAAACAUAAAAGUAACUACUAUUUAUGAUAAGAAAACUAAAGACUGGAAUUUACUUAUAGUAGGGUGGAGCCCAGCAUGCGAAGGGUCUACAAUAGCAACAAAGUUCUUGAACUGACAUCCAAUAGCUGCAAGCACAUCAUUAUUAGAUGUUUUGAUGUGCUCCGCACCGUCAGCUGCUUUUGCAUCAACGGACUCAUCAUUGACCAAUGAUGAUGCUUCCUCGCUGUUUUGAUUACGAACAGCCUCAUUGCAUUGCUCAUGUCCACCUUCCAACUCUUUGCUAGAACAAGUGGGAUGAUUAGCUGAUUUGUCUCCCACUGCUGACUUUCACCAUUGUCAUUUUCCUCUGUUAAGCUGUCCAUACUGUUAUCAUUAUUCUCUGCACCAUCAACUAUAUCCUCUCUUUUUUCCUGCAGCAUUAACUUCUGAAUUACUUUCAGAAGCUGCAAUGUGCUGCUGUGGUGAACCAAGAUACUCUGUGAGAAGAGACCCCAUCACAUCUUUAGCCUGUUUAUUCGCAGGAUGAGGAUUUAGAUGAUAUUAUUGUGGUGAGUACAAAGAAUUGGGGAGUCAAAUGUAAAGAUGAUAUCACCUCCCCUUCGUUUGGCUCCUCCUCCCCGAACGGCAGCCGCUGCAAGAGGGGGAUAUGAGGCGGGGAACGGUGGUACAGGGUCCUGCGACCACCGGCAUCUAGAGGAGGAGGAGAUCCGACGGCGGGCUGCUCCGAAUCGGCGGCCACCGCCGAAGCCGCUGCAAGAGGGGGAUAUGAGGCGGGGAACGGUGGUGCAGGGUGCUGCGACCACCGGCGUCUAGAGGAGGAGGAGAUCCGGCGGCGGGCUGCUCCGAAUCGGCGGCCACCGCCGAAGCCGCUGCAAGAGGGGGAUAUGAGGCGGGGAACGGUGGUGCAGGGUGCUGCGACCACCGGCGUCUGCCGGCGGCCGGCGCCGCACCGGAUCAAGCCGCGCACGCACCGCCGGCUCCUGACGGCUGGGAUCGGGAGGCCAGGGAGACACCGUCGGCCUAGAUCGGGAGGCGAGGGAAAGNNNNNNNNNNNNNNNNNNNNNNNNNNGAGGAGAGCCUGUGUAUCUGAAGGACCGCAGGUUGAACAUUGAAAAUAACAGGGGCUUUUUUGCAAAAAUGCCAUGACGGACGACCAGAAACCCAAUUUGCUUUAUUAUUAGGGAGAUAUAUAUAUAUACACUUUCUUGCUUAAGAUACUAUUCCUUGGUUCCUUGGGUGAAAGCAUAAAGGUCCACUGAAUUUUAGUAUGCUGCUGAGUUCCUCGACACACAACCAAAAGAGAUACAGGUCCUGACUCGACCUAUAGCUGUUGCAAGAAAAAAAGCCAGUGCUUCUAUCACCUUCUUUUAGCCAUUUGACCCAACAACGCUGCCUUGUCGUUGCUUCUUCUCUGCCUAACAGGUCAGAUAUACUUUUCAUCAAGUCUUUCUCAGAUCUAGUCGGCCCAGAGAGUGAGUUUAUCAGGCUAUCUCGAGGCAUGUAGGCUAAGGGGCGUGCAGAGCCUGGAAGCCUGCACUGUCGUUUCUUAUUAUAGUUCAUGUGAUCUAAAAGCUGCCUAGAUAAUCAAAUUUCGAAUGUUUAGUGAUUAUAUACAUAGUGGGCAGAACAAAUUCACACACAACAGCAGUCAAAAAGUCGCACACACUGAACAUAUCUACCAAUGAAUAUCUGACAGACAAUGUAUUAUAUUACAUACUUGUGGUGUAGCCAUUGUUGACGAUAUUGGAUGGCUCGAUGGAUAUUUUUCUACCUCCGUCGAUUCUUCUACCUCCGGCGAACUUGUCGCUUCUGCCUCCGUCGAACUUGAAGGCCACAUGAUGCUUAUUUCGUCCAACUCCAGGAUUUGAUGUAUUUUUUUCUGGUCCAAGUACGCAACCUGAUGGAGAUUACAGCUCGGAAUCGUUGCUUCUUAUAGGAGAGAAGACCAAUCCUCGUCAGGUAGCACCGAGUUGUAGCAGGACACGGUCACAGACACAAACAGAGUCCAAAUCAGACAUGGCAGAGCCGGCCCUUCCCUCACUCGGGCGCGACCUACCCACACACUUCGGCUGCGUGCUCGACGCGGUGCCUCCCCUGCUGGACCUCCUGACCGGCAGCAGAGCACCGUCUUGCCAUCUGCAUCCGUCACGGAGAGCCCGCGCGCGGAGAGCUGGACGCGGCGUGAGGACGCCAUCGGCGCGUCGCAGUUGGCGGACCAGACAGGCGUGCCGGUUGGCGCGUGCACUCCGACUGCGUGCUCGGCGGGGUGCCUCUACCCGCGUCGCGGUUGGCGGUCCAGACCGGCGUGCCGGUCGACGCGUGCAGCACGGCGCGCGGAGAGAGCUGGACGCGGCGUGAGGACGCCAUCGGCGCGUCGCGGUUGGCGGACCAGACCGGCGUGCCGGUCAGCGCGUCCAGCACGGCGAGGUAGAAACUGGCUAUAGCUGAUGGGGCCGGGUUGUGCACGGCCGCCCGAAAGGCGCCGUUGUUGGACUCGAGGAAGGCGCCGCGGGUGUCGAUGCGGUUGGCGGACCAGACCGGCGUGCCGGUCGGCGCGUGCACUCCGGCUGCGUGCUCGGCGCGGUGCCUCGACCCGCGUCGCGGUUGGUUCGGGCGCCGUUGUUGGACUCGAGGAAGGCGCCGCGGGUGUCGAUGUACUCGUAGCCAGAGGCGGUGAAGCCUGGGUACACGAGCCCCGCCGCCAGGAGCCCGUGUCCGCCGCGCGCGCUGAGAGGAAGAGGAGGAGGAGGAGCGGCACGGGAGGAGGGAAAACGAGCUGCCGAUCGGUGGCGUUGACCCUUGGGGAGCAGGAGGCUGGGUGGCGUGGGGAGGAAGAAGCGGCCUUUUCUUUUGUUUGCUCCUAGAUAGAUUGCGAAGACGACCGGUGAGGGAAAAUAGUCAAACAAAAUCAGGUCAAUCAGAUCAGAAGCACAUGGACUUUUUUAUAAAAAUACCGCGAUGGGUUUUCCGAUGGAAACGAUAGCCUCUUUAUUAUUAGGUAAAGAUAUCUCUUAAUUAGCACAACUUAACCCGGUCAAAUGGUUUUUUCUUUCUUCCUUUUGAGGUUCUAUUUACAUAGCAACCAAAUAAAGCCUAGAUGACACGAGCCGAUUUUUCCCCUCCAAAUUGAAUCACUUUUCGUUGUUUUUAUGUCCGCUUCUCAAAAACCAUUCGCUUCAAAGCCCCGUCCACAAAAAUAAAAAUGAAAAUGAACUUAGCCACGUCCUAUCUCGCACGAAUCUCAAAGCCAUAUCAGCGGGUAACAAACCCGCAAAGUCCCGUCGCACCCACACACGACAGCGAGAAAGGGGAAUUUUUCCAGCUAGGGUUUUAGGCAGCGCGGGUCGGACAGAGGCGAUGGGUGCGGCGGUCGACGAGACGGCGGCGGCGGCGGCUGUGGCGGCGGAGGGCGGCCCCGCUGCCCCCGCGGCGGAUGCCGACUCCAAGGACCUGCAGCAGCAGAGCAAGGCCCUCGACAAGCUCACCGACCACGUCGAGGACCGCCAGCUCGACUCCUCCCGCGUCCAAUCCGUAAGUCCUGCUCGACCCCCCAACCCCAUGCUCUUGCGGGCGAGGAUUCGCAAAUUCCGCCUCGUCUUUAGUGAGGAUUAGGUGUGGAUUUGUCAUCCACUGGCUCGUUGGUUAGCAAUCGGAGCGACGAGCUGGAGGAUCUGGCCGACAUUGGUGGAGCCGUGGAUGCACGUCGAAUCAGCGUCCUGUGUUAGUUUCGUGCUGCCCCCUCUGGUUUUCUCUGUAGGGGUCACAAGCUUCAGCUUAAUCCUCCACACAGGACUAGUCUGUUCCUGGAUUCGUGUUUAAACUGUAAUCAUUGCUCCCUUUGUUGUUUCCAGUCAGAAUCGUUUCAAGUGUCAUCAGAGGCCUGGCCCAUUAAUUAUUAAUUCGAGCAUACUGUACGUUCCAUGUUUGUUGGGCGUAAGGUUCAAACAGUGAAUGCUUUUGUUAGAUACAGUAUCUCUAUUCCGUAAUCAAGACAUCAGACGGUGGCAUGCAGUACACACAACCUACAUUUGGUAGCAGCUCCUCAUAAUCUGUCCAUCCACCAUAAACUCUCUAUGUACUUCUGCUUGUGUGUCUCUUAUAGACUAACAUUUCAUUAGAUUUUGAUGUGUUGCUAAUCAAUUGCAGGUUUGCACUGCUUAACUGCAAUAAUAUCCAGAGGUCCAGUGACCUGAUUAGUAUUUCUGGUAUUUCCAUGUCAUAUGAAUAGCUCGCAAUUUUGAAACUGUGUUUUUCGGCACCCACCUUUUCUAUAAUUUUGGAAAAUUAUUGAAUAAGUUAUCAGUAUGGCCCCUGAAAAGUGCCGCGUGAGCAGAUAUACAGUUCACCUUCGAGUCUGAUCCAUAACCGUUUUUAAUCAAAUGAUUUUGAAGGGGCUAUAUAAAUCGCUUUGACAGAGACACCUACUAGCAGUUGAGUGAGACCUCGAUAUAGUAACUCCAUGCUAAAAUAUGGAUAUCAGGAAACUAGAAAUCCAGAAGUAGGAUGUAGAAGGUAGAUUUGUAGACAAGUGUGUAUGUUUAAUUGAGAUGUUUUUGGGAGUACUUUGGUGAUGCUGAUAUAUCUUUCUUUCUUUUACAGGCCAUGGCAGCUCUUGCUUCAUCUAAAGAGGCUGACUGGAAUGCCAUGAGACUGAGGUUGGUGUGGAAAAUAUUCAUGGCUAUUAUUUUGUUCUCGAGAAACUUGCAAUACAUCAAUGCACUGUUCUUUUUUAGUUUUUGCUGACUGUAUUACUACCACCUCUUUAGUGAAUGACAGAGGUUACUAGCAACUGCACAUGAAAAUUUUGAAUGUGAUGUUCAGUUUGGAUAACAGCUUUAUCUGCUACAAAUUUUAGCUUCAUUUAUAAGGUCCAUUAAAAGAUAGGUUAGAAUUUUAUGAAGGGAACAAACCAGAGACACAGACAGGUUGCAGUUUUGCUCAAUAUCUUGCCAUAACAUAGGUUUUCAACUUGAUGAAAGAAACUAAGAAACAAACAGGUAAGGCUAAAUAAGUGGACGGAAAAGAAAAGAAAAUCUAGCACGAUGGCAGUGGAACUUAGAUCCUUUCUACUUUGUAAUUUUUGCGCUCGAGUUUGCAAUAUCCCAUGUUCUAUUUUGUUGAGGAUUCCAUAUUUCUGGUUGAUGGUAUGUUUGGAUUAUUACCAAAGUGUACCUUACCAGUUUUUUGUUUUUUACCAUAACCCAAAAAAUUGGUCUAUGUUUGGAUAGUUGCUAACUGUUUGGCACGCCAAUGCUCAUUUGCCAAUUAUACUUGUUUUUUCUAGCCAAUCUUGGUCAACCUAUGGGUAUGCACUAAACUCACCCAUGGCAUUAUCAGCUCCAAUUUGAAACGAAGACAAUGGCCUUGAGAAGUACUCCCCCCGUUUCCACAAUAAGUGUCGUGGUUUUAGUUUAAAUUUGAACUAAAACACGACACUUAGUUUGGAGCGGAGGGAGUUCGUAGUAUCCCCAUUUUUUAAAUAAUUGGGUUUGGCCUUGUUCUCCUGAAAAUGUUGUUCACAGCUCGUGGUAUUGUUAUAACAUAAUGGGUGUUUCUUUUUGCUCUUUCACCAGGGAGAAAGAAUUAUCUGCUGUCAAGAUCAACCCUACUGACGUUGAAAUCAUUGCCAACGAGCUUGAGGUGGCAUCUGAAACCUUCACCAACAGCUAUUUUUUCCAAUGCUCCAAAUGCCCCUUCUAAAACAUUAUCUCUGAAUGUGCAGUUGGACAAGAAGAUUGCGGAGAGGACGCUCCGAGAGCACAAGGGCGACGCGGUUGCUGCAGUCCGAUUCUUGCUUCGUUGAUUCGGAAUCAUGCUGCCAGCGUGCAAAUGUUUAUUUUAUCUGUAAACCAUGCGGAUGGGGCUGUACUUUGUCUUUUGUAUCACAGUGAAACGAUCAUUUUAGUCACCCGUGCAGAACUUAUAUUUACAUUGUGCUGCAGACUGGUUUCUGUUUCCUUCAUAUCCGUAAAAUCUGAAUAGUCAGAAAAUUGAAAAAAUCAUGUUUGAUGGUGCUUAUAUCCAAACCGUUUAUGUACCUUAAUGAGUUGCUUGGUUUAUUUGGAUAUCCAGAUGCCAUUUUCAUGAGAAGAAUGGUCUUUUGUCUGAAGUCAAAUUUUAUAAACUUUGACAAAGUGUAUAUGGAAAAUAAAUAUGGACACACGCACUACCAAAUAUAUACCAUUAGAUUCAUCAUUGAAUAUAUUUUCAUGUCCAUGGCUAGGGCGGCUUGAUCACAUUGCAGCAGGUGGUGACGAUGUUCGCCCGUGGGGUUCCGGGUUGCCAUACGGUGCAUUGUGGUCGUGUUGGAUGCUUGAGCGCAGGUGAAUACCUUGCUGGAUGCUUGAGCGCAGGUGAAUACCUUGCUGGAUGCUUGAGCGCAGUGCUGGAUGCUUGAGCGCAGAUGCUUGAGCGCAGGUGAAUACCUUGCUGGAUGCUUGAGCGCAGGUGAAUACCUACCUGACUACAGAAUAAGAUUAGGGGAUUCAAUAAUCAGGUCUUCUUUGGUUUGGAGGAAUUUUAUAGGAUGGGAUUUCUAUAGAAAAUUUCCUUUAGAAUCAUUUGGUUUGUAGGAAUAGAAUCCUAUUUCUUGGAGGAGUUCUUCAUAUCAUCCACAUUUCAUAGGAAAAUAAACAUUAAGCUGUACUACAAUGAAAAAAAACACAUGAUGUGAACCAAAGGACGUCUCUUUUCAUAUUCCUAUCAGACAAUUUGAGAUGCAUGUCAUCUUAUUUUCUACGAUUUUCCUACCCUAUGAACUAAAGGAGAACUCAAGGAGUAAUCGAUAGUGGAUCUGGAUACCUUCUCUAGCGGUAUAUAUAAAGACGGUUCAUGUCAAUUCAACGAUUCUUGCUGCAAGAAGUCCUCUCUUUUGCAAGGUAUUUCUUAUGGCAUUUUCUAUAAUACCUUUAUUCUGUAGCCGCUCAUGCUUUCUCAUAAGCUUCACGCUCUUUAGCUUCUCUCAAGUGGCAUGAAAGAGUCUGAUCAGACACACCAGCACUUAGGACCGCUCAUUCAUGUAAUGUGAUGACCCCCCCCCCCCCCCCCCCCACAAAGAUGCCCCCCCCCCCCCUCCCCCAAAAAAAGGUAAUGUGAUCACCCAAAUGUAACAUUCUUCAUCUUAUACUUGGUUCUAGCUAAUUAUCGUGGUGGUGUUAAUAUUUUCUCUACUUCUAAAACAAAAACACGGUCACAAUUUUGUUUAGUCUCUUUCACUCUUCAAUUUUGUUUACUUUUUGGUACAGAUAAUAGUAAAUUUUCACCAAAAAGCUUCCCUUUUUGUCUAGCUCUUGACUGUUUCCUUAAUGGCUUGAUCUAUGUGUUGCUUUGUUUUUACUCUACUUGGAACAGAGGAAAGUGCCCUUAUGGAGACUUUAGGCUUUAUGUAUAGUGGAAAGUUGACAACAAUUGAGCCCACUCUUCUGCUUGACAUCUUGAUGUCUGCCGGCAAAUUUGAGGUUCUAUCUUGCAUGAGAUAAUGUAGAGAGUUGCUCGCAAGCUUGGCUAUGAGCCUAUGACCACAGAAUCUGUGCUGCUCUACCUAGGGCAUCCGUGCUCUGUUUCAAUGGCAGCUGAAACUCAAGGUUUGGUAGUGGCAGCCAAGGAAUUCCUUGCAAACAAAUACAAGGAUUAUACUAAGUGGUGGGCAGAAGUACCACUUGAAACGGUACUACCGAUGCCGAGCACGGUACUACCAUUUGGAUGCUACAAGAACGCCUCAACAAGAUAAGAACAUGACGCAAGACCGAAACUGUCAUAACUUUUGGAUACAGGCUUCGAAUUAAGCAUACUCAAACUUGUUUGAUAGAGGACAACAAGAGCUAUCCAGCGGUGGCUAGUUAUAUUAAGAACAAGCAAUGUAGAAUAAAUGCCAAUAGGAUAAGGAAGAUGGCCUUCCCGAAUAUGAUCCGGCAAAUCUCCAACACCAAAAAUGCAAAGAUGAUGCAUACGAAAUUUGGUUUCGGUGAACUUGAGCUUAUCAAGAUGAAGACUGUAAGCUUCAAAACUACAUAGCAAAAAGUCAAACAAGAACCAAGAAAGAUGAUGUUGCCAAUAAUGUAAUGGUUUGAGCUCUCAAUGAACGAUACGAUCAAGCUACUCACGCAAGAGCCCGCUUGAUAGUACGACGAUCAAUCCUAUAACCCGGUCUUCCAACUAACACCACAAUACCGGCAAAAUAUAAAACCUAUCAAGGACAAACCUUUGCCUUGCGCAUUGUACAAUUGAGCAAGAUGAUGAUGAUCUUGUCCUCCUCAAGAUGGACCAUCUUUCUUGAUUGCGUCGGCUCGAUGAAGACUAGUAGAUUGCUUCCCCAUACUCCACUAUGGAUAAACCUCUCUUCGACACAUCUUCACAUGUCAAUUAUCACCAUAAUGGACGGGAAGUUUCAAGCAUGGGUUCUCUGAGUGAUGAUUCACUUAAAUGUGCACACCAUAACCUUGAUGACGGUCAUCACUUGAUAUCAUCCUCCAUGGGUUAUAUGAUAUCUUCCUUUUGAUGUGCGCCCAUGGAAACGUACCUAAUCCCACAAAGAACACUCAGAUAGACCAUGGGUUAAUACACAAAGUGUAAUAGACAAUACUUACCAUACCAUGAGACCACUUGAUCCCACUUGGUACAUCUUCUACGUCUUGUGUGUUCAUCAACCUGAAUCACUCUUUGUACUUAGUCUUGAUCAACAAAUCGUAUAUGACCAAUCUUUGGGUAACUCCUUCAAUAAAACCUUGGUGAACACAUACUUUUCUUUUAAUAACCUUGAAACCAACAAAUGGCUUCACCCAAGCUCUAUGGACAAAACCUUCAAAUAUAACUCAUGUCAACCAUUUGUCAAUAGAGAUUGCCAUCAAUUACCAAAAUCAAACAUGGGGGCACCAUGCUCUUUCAUUUAUGCUGUGAGAUACAUUCAUCGCAAGUUAAUGGUUUUAUAAGACAAAGAAAUUUAGUGUUUGCAUAAUUCCUUAUACCAUGAGAGUAUAGAGUUUAUUCAUGCUUGCUUCAUGAACUUUGGGGUAUGUUAAAUGUCAUUCGUACUAGGGGGGCUAUUACAACGGCUUUCGAGUUCAUGGAAAAGCAUGAUAAGGUACUUGAUAGCUUAAGAUUGUGAUUUGCUCCUCUGAUGAUGGAGAUAUUCUUCGGGCCCUCUUGGUGCUAUGGUAACUAUCAUCGUCUGGCCACACACACCGUGAUUUGUUCACGAGGAUGCCAGAAUGCAAGAACAAGAAAAGAGAACAAAACUGGUAACGAGGAAACUGACAUGGUGAACAAGUUGUUGAUUCAAGGGAAUGCCAUUAAAUCUUUCCUUGAGUAUUUAUAACAUAUCGUGAAGCAACAUGAACAACACUCAGUAAUUAUAUGUUCGCUCGAUUAUUCAUUCGUGUGGGCACAAAGCUCAAUAUGGGUGUUCCGGUCAUGUCUAUACUUCACCGAACCUACAGGGUCACACACUUAAGGUCCUUCUAUCUGCUAAGUAAUAGACAUGGAGUCCGAGAGAUUGUUGCUGAAAAAGUUUCGGAGACGACCGUAGAUUUUCGGAGAGAAAACCGGAAAUAUUUCGGAGACAAACUUCAUAUCACAAAUAUUCCGGACGCAUCCAAAAUUAUUUGUGAACCUUUGGGAGUUUUUUUGGAUUAAACACACGCCGAAAAUAUUUCAUCUAAAGUUGUCAUGAAUAGUGGUAUGAAUAGUGUUAAGACUAGUAUGGUACAAUUCCUUUUGGUGGCUUUUUGGAGAGUCACCUUUUGGGGCUUUGUCCCAAAAGUCGAGAGGAUGACAUGGGGUGGUGGGACCCCCUUUGUGUGGAGGGGGGCACGCAAGGUGGACGGCCAAGAUGGAGCUCCACUUGCCUUCCCCUUUUGCACUUAUGAAGGACAUAACUCAUGGGUAUUUUGGUAUUUUCAAGUGGCCUCUACCCAUUGCCUCAUACUAUAAAUAGAGGUGGAUAGAGAUCUCCAUUUCAGAGAAGCUGUCAUGCAAAUGACAUGCAAUGACCUGGAUUUCUAUAUCUCUCUCCAUGAAAUAGUUUCGUAGCUCAAAGGUUGUCUAGUCUUUGGUAGGGCCUAGUUCUGGAUGGCGAAGCCCUGCCGUAUAGUUGACACCAAAUGUGUGCAACUCGAUAGAGAGGUGGUAGUUUUGAUCUUAGUUCGAGAGAUGUGUUGAGGUUCUGUCCGAGGAUCUGACCGUGUGCCUCCCGGAGGGCUGUCUGAGUGACUGAUCUAGUUUCUGUUCGAGGGCCUCCCAAAGUGUUGUCUAAGGGACCCGUCCGUGGGAAAACAUCCUUGUGGUUGGGAGGUUGUAAAACCAUAGUUGUGGGUAUAUGCAUGAACGAUCUUCGCAAACUCUGCUUCUGGUGUGCUACGGGUUGGUAACGAUCACAUCGAACCUUGUAUGCAUUUUCAUAGUGAUCCUAGCUUGUGCAGAGUCGGAUUUUUUUUGUUUUCUGCUGCAUUUCCCUACNNNNNNNNNNNNNCCCUACAAUGGUAUGCUUUCCAUCCCUUGUUCAUAUGAACAUAUAUCGUCCUCCUAUCCAUAUGAAAUGUAUCUUGUUGAUUUCAUCUCUACAUGUAGGUAUUUCAAGCUUUGCAUACCUUCAAGAUCCAACAUAGGGGCAAAGCCAUUCACCUUGAGCCAUUGUUGGACCAAAAUACAACAGUGUCCAAAGUUUAAGGAGAAAUAUGCGGCCCAAAAUAAGGUGGAAGAUCAAUUCCAAGUUGGAUGUAUCUUCUUAUCCGAGAAUCCACAAAUUCUAGCCCGCAUUUUUGGCAAAAUCUUUUGUCUUCGUUUUCAGCUUUGCUCACUCGAAAAAUCCUAUAAACGCAAAUCCCGCUUUUCAUGGGUCCAAAGAUUUUUCUUUUGCAGAACAGUCCAUCUUUUUCUGGUUUAUCUAUUUUAGAAUGAAAGUAGAGGGCCUUGUGACUUCGCCAAUGACUUCUUCAUAGGUUGGUUUUUGUUAGCCAGGCCUUUAUUUAUUGAGGGGAAGCAAGUCCGAUUUGAAGUUUUUGAUGUUUAUAUUGGUCAAUCAAAGUGUGAUGCUUCGAUGCUCGCCUUGCAAAUGAGAAGAGGGAAGAAAGAGAGAAGAGGAAGCGACAAGAGAAAGAGGAGGCAAUGAAGACCCUUUUGGUAUACAAAAGAAGAAGCUCGAGAUUGAUGAGGCCAAUGCCCGAUCAAGAGCCAAUGAGGUAGAGCUCGCGCUAAUAUCAAAGAAACAGAGAUCAUGGGGCCGACUUGAGCAAAAGGUCCCCGAGCAAAAAUGUUUGGUUUGAGAAAGAAGCACAAGUUAAUGCUCGAGUGAGAUGCGUGAUCAUCUUAUGGGUGUUUACUUUGCAUAAUUAUGCCCGAGAUGCAUAAACCAUGGCUGAGAUGCGAUUAUUUUGGUGAUGUUGUAUGUCAGACUGUUGGGUGCAAUAUUAUGCAACAAUUUCUAGCUUCAUUUUGCUAUCUACUUGUUACUUUGAUGGUGAAAAUAUGUUUGCUGAAAAAACUGGUGGAGAUGGACCAAAUGGAUCGGCCUGCUCGGUGCAAUAUUAUGCAACAAUUUCUAGCUUUAUUUGUCUAUCUAGUUGGUACUUUGAUGACGAAAGUAUGUUUGUUGAAAAAACUGUUGAGACGAACCAAAUGGAUCAGACUGUUGGGUGCACUCCUAAAAAUGCACGGACAAGCUGGCGAUCUAAACAGACACAAAGCGGACACCUUACGUGUUUGUUUAAGGUUGAUGCGUUGGAGUUGCCCUUAGAGCAACUCCAACCGCGUGACUCAUUUUGUUCGUGCGUGUCCAUUUAAAUCACCGCGGACAGAAAACGUCAUUCAACGCGUCAACCGGAUCUCACGCCCGCUUUUUGUCCGCAACAUCCAUUCCAGACUCAAAUUUGGACUGGAUUUGCGUCAACGCGGACACGGGACGGCCACCCACGUUGCCCGCCCUUCUCUUCUCCUUGACCCGACAGUUGGUAGCACAACGGCACCAUUUUCCUCCUACCUGUUCGACAGAAUACCAGCUCCAGAAGAUGAGGCCAACCGCGUGUUCAUGAAGAGCCUCAUCCAUGAAGAUGGUGGCGGCAACAUUCCCUUCGAUCCCAACGAGGCGCAAAGCCAGGAUGGUCGCACCCCUUUCAUGGUCGGGCAUGAUGGCAUUGAGUAUCCAUUUGGUGAAGACAUGGCCAACCCCCUUAUGACGGACCAACUCGGCCGUGAACUCUGUGUGGCCGUGGACAUUUUUUACCUUAGAAAAAUGUUAAGCACGGACAAAAAUAAGUCGAUGACGUUGGACGCACGGUCGAUCCAUCUACAAUGAAGGACAGAAACAUUGACUCAAACAAACAAAAACGAACAAAGUCGGGCGUCUAUUUGGAUAGAGCGUGGUUGAAGUUGUUCUUACUACAAAGUUAAAGUUAUACUUAAAUCAGUGGUAAUUAAUAUGACUUUAAAAGAGUAUCAAUUAGAACUCCUAUACAAUCAGUAUACUACUACAAUUUGGUGUCCUUGAAGAAAUCAAUGUACUACACGAAGGGAACGAAAAAUAUGGAGAUAAGAAUGAUGAGUCAGAGGUGCCGAGGAGCAAGGUGGAGCACGCUGGAGCGGUCGAGCUCGGCGAGCAUCGCCACCCGGUCCAUCUCGUACCCACACACGUCCAUGUCUCCGUCUCCGUCGCCGUCGUCGCCCGACCAGUCCACCGUGCCCACGUCCAUCGUCUCCACGUCCACCGCGUACACCUGCGUCUUGCCGCCACUGUUCCUCGCCGUGAACAGAGCCACGCCGCUCUUCUCGCAGAACCACCUCAGCCUCACCGCCUGCAGGCCCACCAGCUCCGCAUUCAUCGUCCACCGCAACUCCUUCCUCCCCGACACGCCGCCGUUCCUCACCACGUCGGCGUAGACGACCACGUAGGCGCGCACCGUGUCGAGCUUGCAUUCCAGCACGCACAGCCUCCCGUCCGGCAUCAGCCCCAGGAGCCGGUCCACGUCGCCGAGGGAGGCCUUGGCGCGGCGCGGCGGCGACUCGUAGGCCUGGACGGUGUAGGGCGGGCUGGAUGUGUGCAGCGUGGCCGUGUUGACGGCGAUGCCGAGCCCGUACCAGCAGACCGCGCCGCCCCGCACCAGCGCCGCGUGCGCCCUCACGCCCAGCUGCCGGCCCCUCGCGAUCCGGGCGUCGGUCACCUCGACCUCCGGGCCCCAGCUGCCGUCGUCCGAGGAGUAGCGCCGGAGUGCCGUGUAGCUGCGGUGGUUGUAGAGGAGGAGCACCCGGUACGAGGACGGGGACGUGGCCGUGCCGGCCGCGCAUGUGUCGUACAGGUGGAGCCCGUCGUCGGCGGUGAGCAGGGCGCACGCGUACGGGCCCGGGCAGUCCUUGCCGCUCAGGGUCGGGAGCAGGUGGGCGUCGCCGGUCAUGGGGUCGCACACGCACAGGCGCAGCACGCAGGCGCUCUUGGCGCGGCGGAGGUCCAUCACGACGCGGCCGUUCCGGGACGCGACCACCCGCGACGACGAUCCCGGCACGCCGCCGUCGGCGAGCGAGAGAUCGGGCUUGGAGAAAGGCACGAAGCCGUCGCCGCCGCGGGAGCGGCCGCGGCCGCGGCUGCUGUUGUGCAGGAAAACGCCGACGGCGAGGCGGCGGGAGAAGCGGUCGCAGCGCGGGGGGGCGCGGCGGCAGAUGAAGGCGGCGUCGGUGGAGACGAGGCGGCGCCAGCGCCUGCAGACGGCGGCGCAGCGGACGAGGUCCCCGGCGUCGGAGAGGGCGGAGAAGACGAGGAGCAGGGUUUCGUCGCCCAGGGGCAGCGCCUGGUCGCCGUGCUCGGUCCCGUGCCGCUUGAACGGCCUGCGGCGGGCGGUGAGCCACCCUCUGCCUCCGCCUGGGGAGGGAUUCGUCCCUGCGGCGGUUGCCGAGCGUCGGCGGCGGCCGCAGCGGCGGCGCGGCGGCAUGAUGAUCGGUUGGGGAAUUGGGGGAAAUCGAGCAAGGGUUUAGGGGGCCAUGGUUACAGAGAUAAUCGCCCAGAUCCGUAAAAAGGAAAUCGUCAGAUUUCCAUGUCAUGGGCCAGUUGGAUCUCCGUUUCACGUCAGAGAAAAACAAAAGCAAGGAAUCGAUGGGCCUGUCUACCAACGAUGGAGGCCCACUGUAGCGUCCCAGAGGCCAGUGGCUGCUCGGUCCUCACAGCACUCAUUUCCCAGCAAACAGUGGCAGAUAGUCCGUACGGGAGAUAGGAGAAAAGAUGCAGUCACUGGCGAUGGCGCUGACCGGCUGGGGAUCCAGUAGCUUUGGCUUUGUCCGAACCAACCUCAGGCAACUUCGAGCAAGACUAUGUGAGCUACGAGAGAACCCGCAUCGUAUUGCAGCAUCAUACGAGGAAGUUAAAGUUGAAGGCAGAAUUGUGGAGCUGUGGUUCAGGGAAGAAAUUAUGUGGCGCCAAAGAGCCCAAAUCCAAUGGCUGUUAGAAGGGGACCAAAAUACAAAGUUUUUUCAUCAAAAGGCAUCAUCUAGAAGAAAGAAAAACAAUAUUGUGUCCUUAACAAAAGCUGAUGGUUCCAUAUGUAGCGACCCAAGGGAGCUUGAAAACAUAGGAAUAGCUUUUUAUGAGAAUCUAUAUACUUCGGAAGGGGUGAUUGGCAUGGAAGAAGUUUUGUCGCAUAUUCCUUGUAAAGUCACAAGCCCAAUGAAUGAAAUGUUGUCAAGAGAUAUCACCGAAGGAGAAGUGAAGAGAGCCCUGUUUCAAAUGUAUCCUACCAAGGCUCCGGGACCUGACGGUUUCCCAGCCCACUUCUUUCAGAAGUAUUGGCAUUUAUGCGGUGACGAAGUGACAGAGGUUGUAAUUCGGAUUUUGAAGGGAGAGGACUCCCCUGAGGAGAUCAACAGGACAUUCAUUGUUAUUAUCCCCGAGGUACAAAACCCCACCCUACUGUCUCAGUACCGGCCUAUUAGCUUGUGCAAUGUGCUUUUUAAGAUUGCGUCCAAAGUGCUUGCUAACCGGCUGAAGCAGAUCCUCCCUGAAAUAAUAUCUGAAGAGCAAUCGGCAUUUGUGCCUGGUCGUCUCAUCACGGAUAAUGUCAUCACGGCGUAUGAAUGUCUUCACUUUAUAAAAAGCAACAGAAGCAAGAAGAAUGGGCAUUGUGCUGUCAAACUCGACAUGAUGAAAGCGUAUGAUCGGGUUGAAUGGGCUUAUCUACAGGCCAUUAUGAGGAAGCUGGGUUUCUGCGAAAGUUUUGUGCGCCAGGUAAUGAGAGGUGUUACAUCAGUUUCUUUCUCAUUGAUGUUUAACGGGAAGCAGACUAGGGAUUUUAAGCCGACUAGAGGAAUUCGUCAAGGGGAUCCCAUCUCACCCUAUUUGUUCCUCCUAGCGGCUGAGGGUUUAUCAUGUUUGCUAAAUCAAGCGAGUAAUGCGGGGACUUUCGAAGGUAUCCAUAUUGCUCCUACUGCACCAAAAGUUAACCAUCUUCUUUUUGCCGAUGACUCUUUGCUCUUCUGCAAGAAUACAGCUCACAACGCUGAGAAACUGAGGGAAAUCCUAAAUAGGUACUGUCAAGCGUCGGGGCAGCGAGUUAACUAUGAUAAAUCAUCAGUUUAUUUUGGUAAAGGAUGCCCAGGGUCCCAGAGAGAAACUAUAAAAGGAAUUCUACAGAUCCAGAAGGAAACUAUAUGUGAGAGAUAUCUGGGACUUCCAUCGGAUGUGGGACAAGCUAAAAAUGGCGUGUUCUCAUACUUAAAGGACAGUGUUUGGAAGAACAUUCAGGGAUGGAUGGAGAAGUGUUUAGCAGGGAGCGGUAAAGGAAGACAGACGAUGAUGGUGAUAAGUCACUAUUAAGAAAAGCUCGACUUGUCGCAAAGAUGUUUCCGACAAGAUCAAACAGUUGACUAUGAUGAGACUUUCUCACUCGUAGCGAUGCUAAAAGUCUGUUAGAAUUAUGUUACUAGUUGAUGCAUUAUUUAUGAAAUAUUGCACAUAGGAUGUCAAAACAUUGUUUCCUCGACGGUUUUCUUGAGCAAACAUUGUAUGUGAUACAACCAGGAGGUUUUGUCGAUCCUAAAGAUACUAGCAAGUAUGCAAGCUCCAGCGAUCCUUCAAUGGACUAGUGCAAGCAUCUCGGAGUUGGAAUAUACACUUUGAUGAGAUGAUCAAAGAUUUUGGGUUUGUACAAGGUUUAUGAGAAACUUGUAUUUCCAAAGAAGUGAGUGGGAGCACUAUAGAAUUUUUGAUAAGUAUAUGUGAUUGACAUAUUGUGGAUCAGAAGUAAUGUAGAAUUUCUGUAAAGCAUACAAGGUUGUUUGAAAGGAGUUUUCAAAGGAAUACCUGCAUUGCGCUACUUGAACGUUGAGCAUCAAAGAUCUAUGGAGAUAGAUCGAAAGCGCUUGAUAGAAGUUUCAACAAGAUGCUGUUGGAAUUAUGCCCUAGAGGCAAUAAUAAAUAUAGUUAUUAUUAUAAAUCCUGUAUCAAGAUAAUCGUUUAUUAUCCAUGCUAUAAUUGUAUUGAAUGAAGACUUAUAUACAUGUGUGGAUACAUAGACAAAACACUGUCCCUAGCAAGCCUCUAGUUGGCUAGCCAGUUGAUCAAAGAUAGUCAGGGUCUUCUGAUUAUGUACAAGGUGUUGUUGCUUGAUAACUGGAUCACGUCAUUAGAAGAAUCACAUGAUGGACUAGACCGAAACUAAUAGACGUAGCAUGUUGAUCGUGUCAUUUUGUUGCUACUGUUUUCUGCGUGUCAAAGUAUUUGUUCCUAUGACCAUGAGAUCAUAUAACUCACUGACACCGGAGGAAUGCUUUGUGUGUAUCAAACGUCGCAACGUAACUGGGUGACUAUAAAGAUGCUCUACAGGUAUCUCCGAAGGUGUUCGUUGAGUUAGUAUGGAUCGAGACUGGGAUUUGUCACUCCGUGUGACGGAGAGGUAUCUCGAGGCCCACUCGGUAAUACAACAUCACACACAAGCCUUGCAAGCAAUGUGACUUGGUGUAAGUUGCGGGAUCUUGUAUCACGGAACGAGUAAAGAGACUUGCCGGUAAACGAGAUUGAAAUAGGUAUGCGGAUUCUGACGAUCGAAUCUCGGGCAAGUAACAUACCGAAGGACAAAGGGAAUGACAUACGGGAUUACAUGAAUCCUUGGCACUGAGGUUCAAACGAUAAGAUCUUCAUAGAAUAUGUGGGAUCCAAUAUGGGCAUCCAGGUCCCGCUAUUGGGUAUUGACCGAGGAGUCACUCGGGUCAUGUCUACAUAGUUCUCGAACCCGCAGGGUCUGGACACUUAAGGUUCGACAUUGUUUUAUGCGUAUUUGAGUUAUAUGGUUGGUUACUGAAUGUUGUUCGGAGUCCCGGAUGAGAUCACAGACGUCACGAGGGUUUCCGGAAUGGUCCGGAAACGAAGAUUGAUAUAUAGGAUGACCUCAUUUGAUUACCGAAAGGUUUUCGGUGUUAUCGGGAUUAUACCGGGAAUGACGAAUGGGUUCCGGGUGUUCACCGGGGGGGGCAACCCACCCCGGGGAAGCCCAUAGGCCUUGGAGGUGGCGCACCAGCCCUUGGUGGGCUGGUGGGACAGCCCAAGAGGGCCCUAUGCGCCAAGGAUAGAAAAUCAAAGAGAAAAAAAAGGAGGUGGGAAAGGAGAGAAGGACUCCACUUUCCAAUUCUAGUUGGACUAGGAUUGGAGGAGGACUCCUCCUCCCUUGGUGGCGCAGCCCUUGGGGCUCCUUGAGCCUCAAGGAAAGCCUCCCCUCCCUCCUCCUAUAUAUAUGGAGCAAUUAGGGCUGAUUUGACACAACUUUUCCAAGGCAGUCCGACCACAUACCUCCACGGUUUUACCUCUAGAUCGCGUUUCUGCGGAGCUCGGGCGGAGCCCUGUCGAGAUAAGAUCAUCACCAACCUCCGGAGCGCCGUCACGCUGCCGGAGAACUCAUCUACCUCUCCGUCGCUCUUGCUGGAUCAAGAAGGCCGAGAUCAUCGUCGAGCUGUACGUGUGUUGAACGCGGAGGUGCCGUCCGUUCGGCACUAGAUCGUGGGACGGAUCGCGGGACGGUUCGUGGGACGGUUCGCGGGGCGGAUCGAGGGACGUGAGGACGUUUCACUACAUCAACCGCGUUCACUUACGCUUCUGUUGUGCGAUCUACAAGGGUACGUAGAUCGGAAAUCCCCUCUCGUAGAUGAACAUCACCAUGAUAGGUCUUCGUGCGCGUAGGAAAAUUUUCGUUUCCCAUGCGACGUUCACCAACAGAUGGAUGCCUUGACAAGUUUUUGAAGGAGUUCGAAAUAGAUCAGCAAAGAAGGAGUUCUUGGUUGCGUUGUAAGGUGUGAAUUUAAGUAAGACUCAACACCCGACCCCGGCAGAAUAAAGAGAAUAGACGAAGGUCGUCUUCUAUGCCUUGGCCGUAGAACCGAAAGUAUGCCAUGUUGGGUACCGCACCUGAUGUGUGCCUUGACUCAAAGUCUGUUGAGAGGUACAGAGAGUGACCCAUGAUUGAAUCACUAGCAGCGGUCAAAAUUUAUCCUUAGUAACUGGUGGACUAAGGAAUUUUUCUCGAUUAUGGAGGUGGUUAAAAAGUUUGUCGUAAAGGGUUACGUCGAUGCAAGCUUUGACACUAAUCCGAAUAACUAUGAGUAGUGAAACGGAUUCGUAUAGUAGAGUAGAUAUUUGGAGUAUUUCCAAAUAGCACAUAGUAGCAGCAUCUAUAAGAUGACAUAAAGAUUUGUAAAGAACACACGGAUCUGAAAGUUUCAGAACCGUUGACUAAAACCUCUCUCACGAGCAAGACGUGAUCAAACCCCGUAACUAUAUGGGUGUUGGAUUCAUUGGAAUCACAUGGUGAUGUGAACUAGGUUAUUGACUCUAGUGCAAGUGGGAGACUGUUGAAAAUAUGCCCUAGAGGCAAUAAUAAAUUAGUUAUUAUUAUAUUUCUUUGUUCACGAUAAUCGUUUAUUAUCCAUGCUAUAAUUGUAUUGAUUGGAAACACAGUGCAUGUGUGGAUACAUAGACAAAACACUGUGCCUAGUAAGCCUCUAGUUGACUAGCUUGUUGAUCAAAGAUGGUCAAGGUUUCCUGACCAUAGGCAAGUGUUGUCACUUGAUAACGGGAUCACAUCAUUAGGAGAAUCAUGUGAUGGACUAGACCCAAACUAAUAGACGUAGCAUGUUGAUCGUGUCAUUUUGUUGCUACUGUUUUCUGCGUGUCAAGUAUUUGUUCCUAUGACCAUGAGAUCAUAUAACUCACUGACACCGGAGGAAUGCUUUGUGUGUAUCAAACGUCGCAACGUAACUGGGUGACUAUAAAGAUGCUCUACAGGUAUCUCCGAAGGUGUUCGUUGAGUUAGUAUGGAUCAAGACUGGGAUUUGUCACUCCGUAUGACGGAGAGGUAUCUCGGGGCCCACUCGGUAAUACAACAUCACACACAAGCCUUGCAAGCAAUGUAACUUAGUGUAAGUUGCGGGAUCUUGUAUUACGGAACGAGUAAAGAGACUUGCCGGUAAACGAGGUUGAAAUAGGUAUACGGAUACUGACGAUCGAAUCUCGGGCAAGUAACAUACCGAAGGACAAAGGGAAUGACAUACGGGAUUAUAUGAAUCCUUGGCACUGAGGUUCAAACGAUAAGAUCUUCGUAGAAUAUGUAGGAUCCAAUAUGGGCAUCCAGGUCCCGCUAUUGGAUAUUGACCGAGGAGUCUCUCGGGUUAUGUCUACAUAGUUCUCGAACCCGCAGGGUCUGCACACUUAAGGUUCAACGUUGUUUUAUGCGUAUUUGAGUUAUAUGGUUGGUUACCGAAUGUUGUUCGGAGUCCCGGAUGAGAUCACGGACGUCACGAGGGUUUCCGGAAUGGUCCGGAAACGAAGAUUGAUAUAUAGGAUGACCUCAUUUGGUUACCGGAAGGUUUUCGUGCAUUACCGGAAAAGUUUCGGGCUCAUGGGUAGUGUACUGGGAGUGCCGGGAGGGGUGCCGGGGACCAUCAGGAGGGGUGUCACGCCCCAAGGGGUCUCAUGGGCUAUGGGAAGAGAUAAACCAGCCCCUAGUGGGCUGGAAUAAGUUCCCACUAAGGCCCAUAAGGUUUGAGAAGGAAAAAACACAAGGUGGAAAGAGUUUCCAAGUGGGAAGGUGGAAUCCUACUCCAAGUAGGAUUGGAGUAGGACUCCUCCACCUCCAAUUUCGGCCAAACCUUUAGGUUUUGAGGCUGCCUCCUCCCCUCCCUCCCUCCUAUAUAUAGUGGGGUUUUAGGGCUGAUUUGAGACAACUUUUUGCCACGGCAGCCCGACCACAUACCUCCACGGUUUUACCUCUAGAUCGCGUUUCUGGGGAGCUCGGGCGGAGCCCUGCUGAGAUUAGAUCACCACCAACCUCCGGAGAGCCGUCACGAUGUCGGAGAACUCAUCUACCUCUCCGUCUCUCUUGCUGGAUCAAGAAGGCCGAGAUCAUCGUCGAGAUGUACGUGUGCUGAACGCGGAGGUGCCGUCCGUUCGGCACUAGAUCGGAGCGGAUCGUGGGACGGAUCGCGGGACGGUUCGUGGGACGGUUCGUGGGGCGGAUCGAGGGACGUGAGGACGUUCCACUACAUCAACCGCGUUCACUUACGCUUCUGCUGUGCGAUCUACAAGGGUACGUAGAUCGGAAAUCCCCUCUCGUAGAUGGACAUCACCAUGAUAGGUCUUCGUGCGCGUAGGAAAAUUUUUGUUUCCCGUGCGACGUUCCCCAACAGGCGGCAUAUGACGACUGAGGUAUCUUGCCCGAUAUGUCAUGCCGCUAUCGAUACGUGGAGACAUGCCCUACUCGAUUGUAAUAUGGCAAAGAGCGUCUGGUCUCUACGGGACGACGAGGAUGACUCCCUGUUGCUUGUGUAUGGGGAUGAGACGGAUGAUCCUAGGCUUUGGCUGCAUGGUCUCUGUAAUGCUCUCAGUGGUGACCGUUUUGUUACUGUCAUAACUACGCUUUGGGCGAUAUGGUGGGCUAGACGUCGGGCGAUCCAUGAGCAGGAAUUCCAAAGCCCUCUCUCCACACAUCUCUUCAUUCAGCGUUAUCUAUCCGAGCUGCGAGGACUGCCAGCAAAGAAUCACCAGCAUGGGAGGCCGGCGAGAACACUAAGGCCGCGAUGGAUUCCACCGGCGACGGGGGAGACGAAAAUGAACGUGGAUGGUUGUUGCGAAGUCAUCAAAUACUGGGGCUGUUGGAGUCAUCUGUCGUAGCGAUCAGGGAGGUUUUCUUGGUGCUUCCGCGGUGGUUAUUCCUGGCAUGAUCGGUCCGGAGGUGCUUGAGGCUCAUGCAUGCAGAGAAGCCAUUGCAUUAGCGAAAGAUAUGAUGGUUUCAAGAGUACGCAUUGCAUCUGACUGUCUGAGAGUCGUUGAUGAGCUGAAGGAACAAGUACACCGGGGCGCGCAUUGCAUGAUCCUAAAUGAUAUUCAGGGAAGGAUGUCUAGUUUUAGUAGUUGUGUUUUUAUUCAUGAAUAUAGUAAAAGUAAUAGUGAGGCACAUAACCUUGCACGGAUGGCCACUACGCCGUCAUGUGUGGUUUGAUCGCCCUCCUGACAACCUGUGUAUCCCUCAAAACAUUAUGAUAUGAAUAAAGUGGUUGUCUUUAAAAAAAAGCAAACAGUGGCAGAUAUUAAGAAGGAUGCAGGAGGGCCAAACGGUUCCAUAGUUCAUGAAAUUUCACUAAAAGUUUCCCUUUUUCAUUGUAAAUUUUUUUUAAGGCCGUGCUGUCAAUAUUGAAGCACAUAAUUUUGUCAAGUAUUCACUAGGUUUGGGUCCGGACCGCCACAUAUGGCUGGGUCAACCCCAUGAUCCACAUUGUCACAUUGUAUCCCACUGUCUGUGGUUUUUGAUGAAUAAAGUUGACCUUACCCCUAAAAAAAAGCACUCAUCUCCAGUUCUUCUUCUUAAAAAAACACUCAUCUCCAUUGCAAGUUUUUCUUAAAAAAAAAUCUCCCUUGCAAGUACCUCUCAGAAAAACUCCAUUGCACGUUUUUUUAAUGCAAUACAAACGUAAGCCUACCACCCGCUCCUCUUGUACCUAUCAGACCGUCACGUCGCUCCAUUCCCUCUGGUCAUUUUCAGCUUCGGUUCCCCCACUCGCAUCUCCCAGUUGCCUCAUCAUACCCCAGUUUCGAGCUGAGUUUGACAAAGACACAGCUAAAAAUCCGGAUCCCAGUCGGCCUAAAACACAUGAGCAAUGCAUUUUUUUCCUACAAAAAUCAUGCAUCGACUUGUACAGAACGUGUGUUCGAAAGUGCUAACCAGGGAACCGGGCUUGGAAGCCGACGACGUCCCACCCACCGUAAAAACUGUCUGAGGACAUGAAAAAAGAAAUGCGUGCUAACGCAGCGAGAUAUAACCGGUGGGAAAAGUCUCGGGUGACACCAAACCUUACAUGCUCCCAUGUCCUCCUAACAAAAAAGAAAAAGAACAAUUUUGAACGUUCUAGAAAGGAAAAGGAAACCCUGAAUGCUCAGAGCACACAUGUAUUCGAUCCUUCAAAAAUUCAGAUCCAAAAUCUAAAUACACAUUGAGAAGCAUAAAAGACAAAUCCAUCAUGAUGUCAAUGUAAACCAAGGACGGAAACAUAAAUGACCUAUCCAUACCUGGAUUUCUCCUUUUUGUUUCUUCAUACGUAUUUCGAUUAUACGUAUGCUGUAAGCCUGUAAGGGCUGGUAUAAUAGGAUAUUUCCUCAUAUCCGGUGAAACCCAUGUAACAUCGACACCAUGCAAACGACAGAUGUUGGGUCUUCCCUGGCGGCGCUUCAACUGCUCCAAUCGGCGUAUGGUUCUGGUGCUUUGUUAAGUGGGUCGUUGGGUGGCACGUCAUCGCUGACGCACCGCUUGAGAAACGGAAUAUACUCGCGCAUAUGCAGCUCCGUUUUGCCGGCCCUGCCCUGUCGGUGCUGGCUUUGAAGAUUUCUUUUAACACCAGCAGCCAUUGUCGUUGCCCACCUUGCCGCAACGAUCUUUCACCCGGGCAACAACUGCCCGGCACUGCGCUCCCUAGCUAUGUCCAUCUCCUUCCCAAAAAUGAACGAAUUAUCAGCCAAUUUCGCUGCAGAGGUAAGAUCUGAAAGUGUUGAUACACACCAUUAACAUCAGCAGCAUUUCCUUGCCAUGUACUAGUAGCAAUUGUAAAAAAAAAACAUCAACAAGCAUUUGAGCUUCACCUGAUAGACUGCCAUACGAUACUACUCAGCUACAGAGCACCAAAUAGACAGGACAGUGUGGCCGGGCAAGAACCCAAGGGACUGCAAAUCAUCAUAACAGAGAGGAAAACAGCUUAUGAAUGAACCAACAACACAACAGUGGCUAGAACUCACAAACACAAUUGCUAGAGACAACAAUCAAAUAUACAGUCAAAUACAGUAAACGAAAGCAAGAUGUAGCACAAAAGCAAAGCACGGGACAGUAAAAAAAGAUCCACAAUCUGAUGACAGAUAUAUAUAUGAUCUAAAGUUUAACAUCUGUUACAUCACCACAAUCAUCAUCAAAACAUAGUCUCAGGUAGCACCACAUACAAACAGCAAGAUACACAUCGGGAGAAAAUAAUGCGGCUCCCUUCACAGCAAGGGCAAGUAGCAAAACAUUACCCAAAAUUUAGAGCUUGUCCUCGAAAUCGGAUAGGGGAGUCAUCUGCUCCUUGAGACCCUUCCUCUUGCGGAUCUCCGUCACAAGAGUCGCAGACUGGGUGCCGGGGUCCAAAGGAUCAGAAGCCAUGAUGUCCCAGUGAUCAAACACACACUGGGGGAAGGCCUGGCCGGACGUCGCAGCCCUGAGGGUGCUCGAGAACCCGAAGGACUCGAUGACAGGCAGGUAGGCCUUGAUGUUGUAGAGUGGGGUACCUUGCCUCUGCAUCUCCUCAAACACGUGUCCUCUCUUCUGAUUCAGCACACCAUAGAUACCACCAAGCGCAUUCUCCGGCGCCUGGAUCUCAACCAGGUACACAGGCUCCAGCAGCCUUGGCUUGGCAGUGAGCUGAGAAGCGUAAAUGACCCUCCUCGCCGUUGGGAUGACCUGACCACCACCCCUGUGAAUAGCAUCAGUGUGGAGAACCACAUCGCAGACCUCGUAGCAAAUGCCACGCAUGUUCUCCUCACAUAGUGCUCCUUCCUUUGACGCCCACUGGAACCCAGCCACAACAGAGUCCUUGAUUUCAUUCAGGUACUGCACUCCCUUACACAUGUCAACAACCAUGUUCGGGCCAGUCGUCUCAGGUCCAAAGCACCAAAUCUUCUUGGCGAGAUCCUUGUCCCAACCAAACUCCUCAGAUAGGAUCUUGGAGCGGACCUUGGGAUCAUCACGUGGGCCAAUGCGGCCAUCAUCGAUAGCCUCAGCCAAUCCCUCCUCCAAUGGGCGAGCUUCCAUGUAAAGACGGUUGUGCUUGUUGGGGGACUUGCUCAUAACUGUACGGCAGGACUUCUCAAGAACAGUCUCACGGAAGGAGACGACAGGAGGGGAAACAAUAAUUUCAGCACCACCCAUGAAGUCAUCCUGCAGAUCCUUCAAGCAAAUUUCAAGGUGAAGCUCUCCAGCUCCAGCAAUGAUAUGCUCACCAGACUCUUCAAUGGUACAGAGAACCAUAGGAUCAGACUUUGCCAGACGCUUCAAACCCUCCACAAGCUUAGGAAGAUCAGAAGCCGUCUUGCACUGGACAGCAACACGCACAACAGGGGACACGGAGAACUUCAUUGCCCUGAUUGGGCAGGCAUCAACUUCCUUCUCGUUUGUCAGGGUUGCAUUCUUCGUGAUGAACUGAUCCAAACCAACCAAAGCAACAGUGUUACCACAGGGAACAUCCUCAACAGACUCUUGCUUCUUUCCCAUCCAGAUAACAGUCCGCUGGACACUCUUCACAUAUAGAUCCUUCUUCUGGCCAGGAACAAAGUUGGGACCCAUGAUACGGACCUUCAUGCCAGUUGCGACCCUCCCGGCAAAGACACGUCCAAAGGCAAAGAAUCUACCCUUGUCAGAUGCUGGAAUCAUCUUGGAGACAUACAGCAUAAGAGGACCAUCAGGGUCACAGUUUCUGAUAGCAUUUGCAUAUAUGUCAUCAAGGGGACCCUCGUAUAAGUUCUCCACACGGUACCUCUGUGCCUUUGAAGGAGAGGGGAGGUGAAAGAUCAUCAUCUCAAGCAGAGCACGGCUGGCAGGCAGCCAAGUUUGCAUCACACGCUUCAUGAGAGCCUUUCCCAUCAAGUCCUUCUCAUCAUUCUUCAUGGUCACACCAAGCUUCUUCAACAUAGGCCACAACUUAUCCUUCUGAUCAUUCAUGCAGGUGGCUAUGAUUUGCUUGAUUGGCUCGUAGCAGAACUGAACGAAUCCUCUCUUGCAGGUAGCUGUCCCAGUGUUCUUGGAGGUCCAUUUCUUUGUGGCUGGGUCAAAGAAGUUCUCACCCCACAGCCUCUCCAUCAUCUUCACCUCAUCAACUCCAAACUUGGAGGCAUACAUCUUAGCAAAGUUUGUAAGGGUGAAAGCCCACCCAUGCAAACCAGCAGAGAAUGCAACAGUCCCCUUCUCUGGGUACACUUGGACAUCACCAAGGAGCACAUCUUCAUAUGUUGCCAUGAUGACAUUGGCAUUUUCAAUGACACGGGAGAAAGUCUGGUAUGCUUCCUCGCCUUCCACUUGAAGCUCAAGGAAGCAUCUGUCCAUCUUGUUCACAGUAAGAACAGGCCUAAUCCUCUCACCAAGAGCUUGGCGCAGCACAGUUUCGGUCUGGACACAGACACCCUCAAUACAGUCAACAACAACCAAGGCACCAUCAGUGAUACGAAGAGCAGCUGUGACUUCCGAAGAAAAGUCAACGUGGCCAGGUGAAUCAAUAAGGUUGAUCAGGUAUUCAUCCCCAUCCCUGUCACCCUUGUACAUCUCAAGUGAUUCAGGAGUCAUCUGAUAGAAAAGAGAGAUACCCGUGGAUUUGAUUGUAAUACCACGCUCUGCCUCAUCUGCACGGGUAUCAGUCAUGCGAACAUCCCCAGCAACUUCCUGGGCGAUAAUCCCAGCAGCUGCCACAAGGGAAUCCGUAAGCGUAGACUUGCCUGCAAAUAUGUAAAUAAUAUGUGAGAACAGUGCACAAGCAUCUGGUUUGACAGUUGAACACAGCCACAACCUAUAUGAAUAGAAAAUUGAACAUGUUAAUUUAUACUCCCUCUGUAAACUAAUAUAAGAGCAUUUAGAUCACUACUUUAGUGAUCUAAACGCUCUUAUAUUAGUUUACAGAGGGAGUACAAGGCAGAAGUAGGACACAUCAGUACAGUACUUUCAAACAAUCAAGAAACAAAAGAAGGUACAGAUAAGCUGAAGAGGGUUUUUAGCAGCAUGGUUAAGCAAAAUCUAGUGGGACAUUGCAAACAAAACAUAAAGACACCAAUAUUGAAGUAACUAAGUACAAUCGUGUAAAUUUCAGAUCCUAUUAAGUUUAAUACAUUCAGGGACAAUGUGAGCAUAACUGGGGAGAUUUUGAGCCCUGGGAUGUUAUGUCAAUAGUAACAUUUAAGCUUGGUGAAGCAGAAAUCAAUAAUGCUCCACUUGUUAAGCUUACCCAUUCAAAUAGUUUCAGUAUUCAGAAUUAAUGGAUUAAAAUUAAGAGCCCCAACAGUAACAUUGAUUAACAAAUAUUCUACUGUAUGAAACCCAAUAAUUGGAGACAACUGUCUGUUCAGGCACAUACCGUGGUCGACAUGAGCAAUAACAGACAUGUUACGAAUAUUAUUUUUCUUGUCCAUAAUUCCGCGGAGCUCCUCCGCGGUAAACUUCACCAUCUUGGCUGAUUUUGAAUGUCAAGCUGGGAAUAUAGUUCCUAUUCAAAGAAUAGCAAACUAUCAGAAUGGAACUGAAAUCAAGUAAUUAAAACCACAAUUGCAUAAUCAGAAGGCUCUUACUACUGUUGGGCACACAUUAGUUUCAAGUACAGUACCAAAAAUACGUUUACCAGCACUUCCACAACCAGACACACUAAAUUAAAUAUACAUUAAGUACAGUACCAAAAAUACGUUUACCAACACUUCCACAACCAAACACACUAAAUUAAAUAUACAUUACAGUCAACCAAGCAUAUUAAACUAACUUAUGGUAACUGAAGACCAUGUUCUGAAAACUUAAUUGUCCAAGGUGCAUUGAAAAGGAAGCCAGAAAGCAACAAUGGCAAUCAAUUUUUAGAGCACUCAAUACGACAGUAUGUGAAAGAAAGCACAUAACGAUAAGAUAAGAUAAGAUAAGAAAGAAAAGCAGUCUAUUAUGUGAGGUGUGCACAAGUAUAAAGCACAAACAGGUAAUGGAUUUCACUAGCUAAACCUUCAAGUACUUACAGAUAUGCAUAAUUUAUGUGGAUCACAGAAAAACUUCUGAAGAACCAAUCAUAUGUGAAUGGCAAAACAAAUAAGAUUUGAAACAGAAUCAUAGUUUUAUGCAAAGUUGAUUUGUAACAGAAGGUAGUUUUAUGCACACAUGCUGACUGUAUUAUCAUGUAGUAACUACCACUGUAAACACUAGAAACGAUGCAAGCAUAGAACGUCAUAAUAUUGGGCUCUGAAAUAGGUGCACCCAACCAUGCUUGGGGAGCACUGAGAAGAACACCAGAAGAUAGUCAUGUAUGAUCAAUUUAUCCAAAUGAGCAGAUCAGGGAGAAAUUCGUGCAUAAUACAUCAACUAUGAUGUAAGUACAUAAAAACUACCAGACCCCGAAACAGAAGUCUCGCACAAUUUAAAUUCAAUUAACCAUGCGAAGCAAAGAUAUGUAUGACCAUUUUAUCCGCCCUGAACAUGAACAGAGAGCAAAACCGAACCGACCAGGCUAGGACAGGGAGGCAAGCGAGCGAGCAAAAACCCUACAGCGCGAGCGUUCUAAGAACCCCGUUGAUGAACAGCGCAGCAAAAAUGGCGAAAAAUGCUGACAGAACCACAGAUAAAACAGAUCGCCGUCAACCACGGCGGAGCGAGAGAUCCACGCUAAACACGACGGGGCAAACGCCCGUAGCUACCCGCAGACGCAUCGGAAGCGUCGACCUUAUCUAGUGACGUCAGCAGAAAGUCGUCUCCAGGAACAAGCGAGCGGGGCGGACUAGGCAGCAGCAGAUCUAGCGCAUCUACGAGCAGCGAAAACGCAUAAGAAUAGCCCCAGCGAGCACGAAUCAAGCGAAGGGAGCUGGGGCGCAUCGAGCUAGCGAGGAGGCUAGAGCCAGUGAAAUCGAUCGAGUAAGCCAGUAGCUGGCAAGCGCGGACGCGCCCGCCGACGGAGCGACCGGAGAAGCAGCGGGCGGGGGGGAGAGGGAGGCCAGGAGGGGAGGUCGGGCUCACCUUGGGGUCUGGCCUCCGUCUCCCGAGGCGAGAGAUGAGAGGUGGGGAAGCGGCGGCGCUCCCGAUCCGUGAGAAUGGAAAGGGUUCAAGGAAGUGAGCACCUAGGUCGGACGCCUUUGCUUGCCGUUGUGUAUAUAUAUGUCUGGUGCCGUGCGGGCCAAGAUGCGGGAGGAGCGGGAGGGGAGGGGCCGGCCACGCGAAAUGCGGCCCGGGAGUGAAGCUGGCUGGCCUGUCUGUCCGCUGUGGCCUGUGGAGUCGGGCCGAAAUGGAUGGCGAGCUGAGCUCAGAAAAGAAAAGGAGAUUUUUUUUUUUGGAAGAUGUUUUAAAUUUGAUUUUUCGUCUACGUAAACCGCGCCGUGCUCCAACCACGUGUCCCUCUGUGGACACACAUAGGGCUUCAUCUCUGAGUGCGAAGUUUGUGUGACCGCGCACCUCGGUGCUCUGAAUCCGGGACGUCCAGCAGCGCAUUGGGAUGGUAAGUUGUCUGCUGGCUGUCCCCUGCUAGCUCGUGUUAGGUUGAGGACCUAGGAAUCAUAGACGUAUUGGUUUGGCACACAUCUUUCGUAAUACAUGUGUCUUUGAAACAUGUCCUAUCGCCGCUUUGCCUUAUUGUUAACUGUGAGGGGGGGUGCGGACCCAUUUGCUAUCCCCAUUAGCUCUUCUUCUUCAACCUGAAGCAAAUCUCAUUGUUUCUUCUUUGUUGACCAGGUGUUAUAAUCUUUUUCUGUAAAGCAAAAAUAGAAGCAAAUCUCAUUGUUUCCAAUCUUUAUGAUCAGUGAAGCAAAAAAAAGAAACAGCUACCGUGAUCGUUGCAGCACAUAAACUCAUAAUAAAUUCCACCUCAAAGCUAGAACAUUCCAAACAGUCUCAAACAACCUGCCAUAAACAUUCCAACAGUUCACAAACAACCUGCAGGUAGCGCAAAAGUGACAGCAACAUCUAGAUCAUGGAGGGUGACUAAAUGGGGCCUAGAGCCUUCAGGAGGGCUGCAUGCUCUGCCCUGGUCUUGAUGUCUGCAGCACUCGUUGCUAAACCGCGUGCAUGCGACAUGAGGUGUUCAUAAACCCCAUCCUUGGGCUUUGGCUUUGUGGUGCAGUAUGGACAUCUGAACAUUCCUCUCUUGUAGUACGCCGCCUUCCCCUUCUUCCUGAUCUUCUGAGCUUCCUUCUCAAUGAAGGACUCUUUGUUGCCGUCCUCGACGUCAUCUCCAGAUUUAUACUACACACACAAAAUUAACCGUUAUAGGGCCAGAACACACACUUCCGAUUCAGAAUGAUGCAAUGAACAAACAUCAGAUAAUUCCCAAAAAUUAACCAUUAUAGAGCCAGAACACACACUUCUGAUUCAGGAUGAUGCAAUGAACAAACAUCAGAUAAUUCCCAUUUACCAAUUUUUAAUGAACAACACAAAGAAAAAAGCCAUGUACAGAAAUCUAACUAAACAAACAACAUUAAAACACUCUCUACAUCAAAUUCAUUAAAAGAGCCCAUCAACAUGCAUUCAUAUAAUGCUUACGCUGAACUAAAAAAUAGUUUGGAUUACCUCGUACGGGUCGUCGUCGUCGUAGUCAGAGUCAUACGGGCUCUUGAACCCAGUCUUGGCGAGCUUCCUCUUCAUGCCUGCAGCUUCCCUUUCAUACAAUAUAAAUAAUUCGAUUAGCACAAACUAUGUAACACAGUAUUCAAAAAAGGUCAAGCCAUUUUCAACAAUGUGCUUCUAAUUACAUUCAUAGUGCUGCUCAGUGACGAAGCCACACUAUGGCUGUGUAGUCAAUUGACUACACAGCUUUUGAUCAAAACCUUAUAAAUUCAGAAAUACUAUAAUAUUUGGAGAGGAAUUAUAGUUGACAUCACAGGUUUAUUAUCCUGGCAUCGCCAUUGGUGCUGCUGCAUCGGCCACCCUAUUCAUGAACAUAAAUAGCCUGAUUUAUACAAAAAAAAAUUUAAAAAAUUACACAAUUGGGCUGCUGAGCCUCUGGCGUGCCCCGGUGAGGGGAUAACCACAACAAAACUAUUAACUGACGGUAAAUAGUUUGUUGUUUAGCAUAUGAUUAAAUAUUAAUUACAUUUUUCCUAAAAAAGAAAGAGAAUCAGUUACAUUGUUUAGCAAAAAUGCGCCUGGUAAUUGUGUUACGUUGUUUAGCAAAUGCGCCUGGUAAUUGUGUUGACUGAUUCACUAUAUGUGGUGUCCCAGAUCUGACAUGUUGUCUCAAGAGGACCACGGACUGGAUUAAACUAUUUGAGCUUCGCAAGUACUCUAUGAAAAUAAAAUCUAAAGCACAUGCAAGAAUCAGAGAUCCCAAUUCAAAACCUAACUCUUAUUAAAUCCGUACUAAUAAUCCUUACUAAUAAAUCUAGGAGAAAAUUAGGAAUGGGUGUUGGUAUAUAUCAAGCACAUGACCUGGGUGAAAUCUUUACUAAUAAGAGAAAGAUUUCGUUGAUUCAAGCCAGCAAAAAUGCAAAAGUUCGUCAACACAUGCAAAAGCAGAGUGUGUUCAAGCACUAAUCAACUAUAAAAAACAAGAAAACCUCAUCUAAAAAAUCCACCUCAUCGUCGUGAGCCUGCACAGCACCGCUCGAGAUCGUGUCCUCCUGCUUCGGCACCUCGUUCUCAAGAUCCGAAGCGGCAACAGCGGUUGCGGUCGUGCCCUCCUGCUUCGGCAACUCCUUCUCAAGAUCCGCAGCGACGACAACUGUUGCGGUCGUGUCCUCCUACUUCGGCAUCUCCUUCUCAACAUCCGCAACGGCGGCAGCGCGUCGAGCGCCCUCCAUUGGGUGUGGGAGAUGGGAGCAACGGGGAGAUGGUGCGACGAGAGAGAGCGAGGAGACGAAGUGGGAGGAGUGAGAGACGAGGCGACGAGGGAGACGAUGCACCCGGAGGCAGUUCCCUGUUUAAACGAUGUGAAAGUUCCUGCAACCGUCCGCCACGUGCUAUCCCACGACCGCCACUUCGUCCGGGACAUCUUACAAAAAAAAUGGCAAAAAACCCUGAUGGCGUAGACGAGGCGACGAUGGACGGCGAGGGAGUAAAUGACAUGUAUGUUGAAUGGGCUAAGAAACAAAUAAAAAAAUGCUUCCGAUUUGACCUCAGCAUGCUGUCACAUGGUUCUACAGUGAUCGAGCACGUCGUGUCUUGCGUUGGAAGCUAACCCUGACAUUUGUUCGAACAUCACGCGCCGUGACCUGCUCGUCCACUACCCCGUCGAUGGUACACCCCUGUUGACUUGCGCAAUACACGGCGUGCUGCUGUCGAUAUGGGGGACAGCUCCCAUUAUACGGUGAGGCGCGCGGAUCCCUAGCGAGUGUGGAUGGACGGGAUGUAGAGCACCGAGGUGCUCGGCCUCAUAUGCGAAUUUUCGUCCAUCUCUUCCCUUCUUAUCUCUUUCAGGGCCAUAUCUUUCUUGGCGGCUUGCUCUCUUUGUUGUAUCUCAUUCCCUCAACCGACGAAGCAUUCGGCAGUACCGCCGCAAUCCGUUGUCGUCGUCGACGCUGCAUCCAAUACCCGUCGUAGCCGACGACACUACACGCAGCACCCCCUGAUGCAUCACGGCUUUUUCGCCGUGGCCAUGGCCGCCCCGCUAUGUUGCAGCUUCCGCCAUGGCCGCAGCACCCGCCGCCGACAAUGUUGCAUCAGAGCAUCCGCCAUUGUUGGGGAACGUCGCAUGAGAAACAAAAAUUUUCCUACGCGCACGAAGACCUAUCAUGGUGAUGUCCAUCUACGAGAGGGGAUGAGUGAUCUACGUACCCUUGUAGACCGUACAGCAGAAGCGUUAGAGAACGCGGUUGAUGUAGUGGAACGUCCUCACGUCCCUCGAUCCGCCCCGCGAACAAUCCCGCGAUCAGUCCCACGAUCUAGUACCGAACGGACGGCACCUCCGCAUUCAGCACACGUACAGCUCGACGAUGAUCUCGGCCUUCUUGAUCCAGCAAGAGAGACGGAGAGGUAGAAGAGUUCUCCGGCAGCGUGGCGGCGCUCCGGAGGUUGGUGAUGACCUUGUCUCAGCAGGGCUCCGCCCGAGCUCCGCACAAACGCGAUCUAGAGGAAAAACCGUGGAGGUAUGUGGUCGGGCUGCCGUGGAAAAGUCGUCUCAAAUCAGCCCUAAAACCUCCGUAUAUAUAGGUGGGAGGGAGGGGGCCUUGCCUUGGGGCUCAAGGAGCCCCAAGGGGGUCGGCCGAGUCCAAGGGGGAGGACUCUCCCCCCCCCCAAACCGAGUUGGACUAGGUUUGGUGGGAGGGAGUCCCCCUUCCUUCCCACCUCCUCCUUUUUUUCUCUCUUGAUUUUCUUCUCCUUGGCGCAUAGGGCACUUGUGGUCUGUCCCACCAGCCCACUAAGGGCUGGUGUGUCUCCCCCAAUGCCUAUGGGCUUCCCCGGGGUGGGUUUCCCCCCCCCCCCCGGGGAACCCCCGCAACCCAUUCGUCCUUCCCGGUCAAUUCCCGGGAAUGUUUUGUCUAUGUAUCCACACAAGUAUUGUGUUUCCAAUCAAUACAAUUAUAGCAUGGAUAAUAAGCGAUGAUCAUGAACAAAGAAAUAUAAUAGUAACUAAUUUAUUGUUGCCUCUAGGGCAUAUUUCCAACACGAACAACAUUAGCUAACCACACAUAUAACUCAACUAUACUAAAACAUCGUCGAACCUUAAGUGUGCAGAUCAUGCGGGUUCGAGAAUUAUGUAGACAUGCCCCGAGGCACUCCUCGGUCAAUAUCCAAUAGCGGGACCUGGAUGCCCAUAUUGGAUCCUACAUAUUCUACGAAGAUCUUAUCGUUUGAACCUCAGUGCCAAGGAUUCGUAUAAUCCCGUAUGUCAUUCCCUUUGUCCUUCGGUAUAUUACUUGCCCGAGAUUCGAUUGUCAGUAUCCGCAUACCUAUUUCAAUCUUGUUUACCGGCAAGUCUCUUUACUCGUUCCGUAAUACAAGAUCCCGCAACUUACACUAAGUUACGUUGCUUGCAAGGCUUGUGUGUGAUGUUGUAUUACCGAGUGGGCCCCGAGAUACCUCUCCGUCACACGGAGUGACAAAUCCCAGUCUUGAUCCAUAUUAACUCAACGGACAUCUUCGGAGAUACCUGUAGAACACCUUUAUAGUCACCCAGUUACGUUGCGACGUUUUAUGCACACAAGGUAUUGAGUUACGUUGCGACGUUUGAUACACACAAAGCAUUCCUCCGGUGUUAGUGAGUUAUAUGAUCUCAUGGUCAUAGGAAUAAAUACUUGACACACGCAGAAAACAGUAGCAACAAAAUGACACGAUCAACAUGCUACGUCUAUUAGUUUGGGUCUAGUCCAUCACGUGAUUCUCCCAAUGACGUGAUCCAGUUAUCAAGCAACAACACCUUGUUCAUAAUCAGAAGACACUGAGUAUCAUCGAUCAACUGGCUAGCCAACUAGAGGCAUGCUAGGGACGGUGUUUUGUCUAUGUAUCCACACAUGUAAAUGAGUCUUCAUUCAAUACAAUUAUAGCAUGGAUAAAAAACUAUUAUCUUGAUACAGGAAUUAUAAUAAUAACUAUAUUUAUUAUUGCCUCUAGGGCAUAAUUCCAACAGUCUCCCACUUGCACUAGAGUCAAUAAUCUAGCCCUCACAUCAUCAUGUGAAUUACAUUGUAAUAAAUCUAACACCCAUACAGUUCUGGUGUCAAUCAUGUUUUGGCCGUGGAAGAGGUUUAGUCAGCGGGUCUGCCAUAUUUAGAUCCGUGUGCACUUUGCAUAUAUUUACGUCCUCUUCCUCGACGUAGUCGCGGAUGAGGUUGAAGCGUCGUUUGAUGUGUCUGGUCUUCUUGUGAAACCGUGGUUCCUUUGCUAAGGCAAUGGCACCAGUGUUGUCACAGAACAAGGUUAUUGGAUUCAGUGCGCUUGGCACCACUCCAAGAUCCGUCAUGAACUGCUUCAUCCAGACACCCUCCUUAGCCGCCUCCGAGGCAGCCAUGUACUCCGCUUCACAUGUAGAAUCUGCUACGACGCUUUGCUUGGAACUGCACCAGCUUACUGCACCCCCAUUAAGAAUAAAUACGUAUCCGGUUUGCGACUUAGAGUCGUCCGGAUCUGUGUCAAAGCUUGCAUCGACGUAACCUUUUACGGCGAGCUCUUCGUCACCUCCAUACACGAGAAACAUCUCCUUAGUCCUUUUCAGGUACUUCAGGAUAUUCUUGACCGCUGUCCAGUGAUCCACUCCUGGAUUACUCUGGAACCUACCUGCCAUACUUAUGGCCAGGCUAACAUCCGGUCUAGUGCACAGCAUUGCAUACAUGAUAGAACCUAUGGCUGAAGCAUAGGGGACGGAGCGCAUAUGCUCUCUAUCUUCAUCAGUUGCUGGGCACUGAGUCUUACUCAAUCUCGUACCUUGUAAAACUGGCAAGAACCCUUUCUUGGACUGUUCCAUUUUGAACCUCUUCAAAACUUUAUCAAGGUAUGUGCUUUGUGAAAGUCCUAUCAGGCGUUUUGAUCUAUCCCUAUAGAUCUUAAUGCCUAGAAUGUAAGCAGCUUCCCCUAGGUCCUUCAUAGAGAAACUUUUAUUCAAGUAACCUUUUAUGCUCUCCAAAAGCUCUAUGUUGUUUCCAAUCAGUAAUAUGUCAUCCACAUAUAAUAUUAGAAACGCCACAGAGCUCCCACUCACUUUCUUGUAAAUACAAGAUUCUCCAACCACUUGUAUAAACCCAAAUGCUUUGAUCACCUCAUCAAAGCGUUUGUUCCAACUCCGAGAUGCUUGCACCAGUCCAUAAAUGGAUCGCUGGAGCUUGCACACCUUGUUAGCACUCUUAGGAUCGACAAAACCUUCGGGUUGCAUCAUAUACAACUCUUCCUUAAGGAAACCGUGAAGGAACGCCGUUUUGACAUCCAUCUGCCAGAUUUCAUAAUCGAAAAAUGCAGCUAUUGCUAACAUGAUUCUGACGGACUUAAGCAUCGCUACGGGUGAGAAAGUCUCAUCGUAGUCAACUCCUGGAACUUGUGAAAAACCCUUUGCCACAAGUCGAGCUUUAUAAACGGUCACAUUACCGUCAGCGUCCGUCUUCUUCUUAAAGAUCCAUUUGUUCUGAAUAGCCUUGCGGCCCUCAGGUAGUAUCUCCAAAGUCCACACUUUGUUCUCAUACAUGGAUCCUAUCUCGGACUUCAUGGUUUCUAGCCAUUUGUUGGAAUCUGGGCCCACCAUUGCUUCUUCAUAAUUUGCAGGUUCAUUGUUGUCUAACAACAUGAUUGAUAAGACGGGAUUACCGUACCACUCUGGAGCAGCACGUGAUCUCGUCGACCUGCGUGGUUCAACAGAAACUUGAACUGGAGUUUCAUGAUCACCAUCAUUAACUUCCUCCUCAACCGGCGUCGCAACGACAGAGGUUUCCCCUUGCCCUGCGCCACCAUCCAGAGGGAUGAGAGGUUCGACAACCUCGUCAAGUUCUAUCUUCCUCCCACUCAAUUCUCUCUCGAGAAACUCCUUCUCGAGAAAAGCUCCGUUCUUAGCAACAACCACUUUGCCCUCGGAUUUGAGAUAGAAGGUGUACCCAACUGUCUCUUUUGGGUAACCUAUGAAGACGCACUUUUCCGCUUUGGGUUCCAGCUUUUCAGGCUGAAGCUUUUUGACAUAAGCAUCACAUCCCCAAACUUUAAGAAACGACAACUUUGGCCUUUUGCCAUACCACAGUUCGUAUGGUGUCGUCUCAACGGAUUUUGAUGGUGCCCUAUUUAAAGUGAAUGCAGCUGUUUCUAAUGCAUAACCCCAAAAUGAUAACGGUAAAUCAGUAAGAGACAUCAUAGAUCGCACCAUCUCUAACAAAGUACGAUUACGACGUUCGGACACACCAUUACGCUGUGGUGUUCCAGGCGGUGUCAACUGUGAAACAAUUCCACAUUUUCUCAAGUGAUCACCAAACUCGAAACUCAGAUAUUCACCCCCACGAUCAGACCGUAGGAACUUGAUCUUCUUGUUACGAUGAUUUUCCACUUCACUCUGAAAUUGCUUGAACUUUUCAAAUGUUUCAGACUUGUGCUUCAUCAAGUAGACAUAACCAUACCUACUCAAAUCGUCAGUGAAGGUGAGAAAAUAACGAUAUCCGCCGCGUGCCUCCACGCUCAUUGGACCACACACAUCGGUAUGUAUGAUUUCCAAUAAGUCACUUGCACGCUCCAUUGUUCCGGAGAACGGAGUCUUAGUCAUCUUGCCCAUGAGGCAUGGUUCGCACGUGUCAAGUGAAUCGAAGUCAAGUGACUCCAAAAGUCCAUCAGCAUGGAGUUUCUUCAUGCGCUUUACACCAAUAUGACCCAAGCGGCAGUGCCACAAAAAUAUGGCGCUAUCAUUGUUUACUCUAACUCUUUUGGUCUCAAUGUUAUGUAUAUGCGUAUCGCUAUCAAGAUUCAAUAUGAACAAUCCUCUCACAUUCGGUGCAUGACCAUAAAAGAUGUUACUCAUAGAAAUAGAACAACCAUUAUUCUCUGACUUGAAAGAGUAACCGUCUCGCAAUAAACAAGAUCCAGAUAUAAUGUUCAUGGUCAACGCAGGCACUAAAUAACAAUGAUUUAAGUUCAUCACUAAUCCCGACGGUAGCUGAAGUAACACUGUGCCGACGGCGAUUGCAUCAACCCUGGAACCAUUUCCUACGCGCAUCGUCACUUCAUCUUUCGCCAGCCUUCGUCUAUUCCGCAGUUCCUGAUUUUUCCUUGCCCGCCUUCUUAUGUGCCAGAUACUUGGGGCAAUUGCACUUCCAGUGACCCAUACCCUUGCAAUAGUAGCACUCCGUUUCAGGCUUAGGUCCAGCCUUGGGUUUCUUCGGCGGAUUGGCAACAGGCUUGCCGCUCUUCUUCGAAUUGCCCUUCUUGCCUUUGCCGUUUCUCUUCAAACUAGUGGUCUUAUUCACCAUCGACACUUGAUGCUCUUUACGGAGUUCAGACUCUGCGACUUUCAACAUCGCAAACAACUCGCCGGGAGACUUGUUCAUCCCUUGCAUGUUGUAGUUCAACACAAAACCUUUGUAGCUUGGCGACAGUGAUUGAAGGAUUCUGUCAGUGAUAGCUUCUUGCGGGACUUCAAUCCCCAGCUCAGCUAGACGGUUUGAGUACCCAGACAUUUUGAGCACAUGUUCACUCACAGACGAGUUUUCCUCCAUCUUGCAAGCAUAGAAUUUAUCGGAGGUCUCAUACCUCUCGAUCCGGGCGUUCUUCUGAAAGAUAAACUCCAACUCCUGGAACAUCUCAAAUGCUCCAUGACGCUCAAAGCGACGUUGAAGUCCCGGUUCUAAGCCAUACAAGACUGCACAUUGAACUAUUGAGUAGUCCUCCUUACGUGCUAACCAAGCGUUCUUAACAUCCUGAUCAGCCGUAGCGGGUGGUUCAUCUCCUAGCGCAGCACUAAGGACAUAAUCCUUCUUCCCAGCUUGUAAGAUUAGCUUAAGAUUACGAGCCCAGUCUACAAAGUUGCUUCCAUCAUCUUUCAACUUAGCUUUCUCUAGGAACGUAUUAAAAUUGAGGACGACUGUCGCGUGAGCCAUGAUCUACAACACAAAUAUAUUCAAAGUGGACUUAGACUAUGUUUAAGAUAAUUAGAGUUUAACUUAAUCAAAUUAUAUGCUAAACUCCCACUCAAAAAGUACAUCUCUCUAGUCAUUUGAGUGGUUCAUGAUCCACUUACACUAUCCCAAGUCCGAUCAUCACGUGAGUUGAGUAUAGUUUCAGUGGUAAGCAUCCCUAUGCUAAUCAUAUCAUCUAUAUGAUUCAUGAUCGACCUUUCGGUCUCAUGUGUUCCGAGGCCAUGUCUGCACAUGCUAGGCUCGUCAAGCUUAACCCGAGUGUUCCGCGUGCGCAACUGUUUUGCACCCGUUAUAUGUGAACGUUGAGUCUAUCACACCCGAUCAUCACGUGGUGUCUCAAAACGACGAACUGUAGCAACGGUGCACAGUCGGGGAGAACACAAUUUCGUCUUGAAAUUUUAGUGAGAGAUCACCUCAUAAAGCUACCGUCUUUCUAAGCAAAACAAGGUGCAUAAAAGGAUUAACAUCACAUGCAAUUCAUAAGUGACAUGAUAUGGCCAUCAUCACGAGCUUCUUGAUCUCCAUCACCAAAGCACCGGCACGAUCUUGUUGUCACCGGCGCCACACCAUGAUCUACCAUCAACGUGUUGCCAUCGGGGUUGUCGUGCUACUCAUGCUAUUACUACUAAAGCUACAUCCUAGCAAAAUAGUAAACGCAUCUGCAAGCACAAACGUUAGUUUAAAGACAACCCUAUGGUUCCUGCCGGUUGCCGUACCAUCGACGUGCAAGUCGAUAUUAACUAUUACAAUAUGAUCAUCUCAUACAUCCAAUAUAUCACAUCAUAUAGUUGGCCAUAUCACAUCACAAGCAUACCCUGCAAAAACAAGUUAGACGUCCUCUAAUUUUGUUGUUGCAUGUUUUACGUGGUGACCAUGGGUAUCUAGUAGGAUCGCAUCUUACUUAUGCAAACACCACAAUGGAGAUAUAUGAGUUGCUAUUUAACCUCAUCCAAGGACCUCCUCGGUCAAAUACGAUUCAACUAAAGUUGGAGAAACUGACACCCGCCAGUCAUCUUUGAGCAACGGAGUUACUCGUAGCGAUGAAACCAGUCUCUCGUAAGCGUACGAGUAAUGUCGGUCCGAGCCGCUUCGAUCCAACAAUACCGCGGAAUCAAGAAAAGACUAAGGAGGGCAGAAAAACGCACAUCACCGCCCACAAAAACUUUUGUGUUCUACUCGAGAAGACAUCUACGCAUGAACCUAGCUCAUGAUGCCACUGUUGGGGAACGUCGCAAGGGAAACAAAAAUUUUCCUACGCGCACGAAGACCUAUCAUGGUGAUGUCCAUCUACGAGAGGGGAUGAGUGAUCUACGUACCCUUGUAGACCGUACAACAGAAGCGUUAGAGAACGCGGUUGAUGUAGUGGAACGUCCUCGCGUCCCUCGAUCCGCCCCGCGAACAAUCCCGCGAUCAGUCCCACGAUCUAGUACCGAACGGACGGCACCUCCGCGUUCAGCACACGUACAGCUCGACAAUGAUCUCGGCCUUCUUGAUCCAGCAAGAGAGACGGAGAGGUAGAAGAGUUCUCCGGCAGCGUGACGGCGCUCCGGAGGUUGGUGAUGACCUUGUCUCAGCAGGGCUCCGCCCGAGCUCCGCACAAACGCGAUCUAGAGGAAAAACCGUGGAGGUAUGUGGUCGGGCUGCCGUGGAAAAGUCGUCUCAAAUCAGCCCUAAAACCUCCGUAUAUAUAGGUGGGAGGGAGGGGGCCUUGCCUUGGGGCUCAAGGAGCCCCAAGGGGGUCGGCCGAGUCCAAGGGGGAGGAUUCUCCCCCCCCAAACCGAGGUUGACUAGCUUUGGUGGGAGGGAGUCCCCCUUCCUUACCACCUCCUCCUUUUUUCUUCUUUCUCUCUUGAUUUUCUUCUCCUUGGCGCAUAGGGCACUUGUGGGCUGUCCCACCAGCCCACUAAGGGCUGGUGUGUCUCCCCCAAUGCAUAUGGGCUUCCCCGGGGUGGGUUGCCCCCCCCCCCCCCCGGGNNNNNNNNNNNNNNNNNNNNNNNNNNNNNNNNNNNNNNNNNNNNNNNNNNNNNNNNNNNNNNNNNNNNNNNNNNNNNNNNNNNNNNNNNNNNNNNNNNNNNNNNNNNNNNNNNNNNNNNNNNNNNNNNNNNNNNNNNNNNNNNNNNNNNNNNNNNNNNNNNNNNNNNNNNNNNNNNNNNNNNNNNNNNNNNNNNNNNNNNNNNNNNNNNNNNNNNNNNNNNNNNNNNNNNNNNNNNNNNNNNNNNNNNNNNNNNNNNNNNNNNNNNNNNNNNNNNNNNNNNNNNNNNNNNNNNNNNNNNNNNNNNNNNNNNNNNNNNNNNNNNNNNNNNNNNNNNNNNNNNNNNNNNNNNNNNNNNNNNNNNNNNNNNNNNNNNNNNNNNNNNNNNNNNNNNNNNNNNNNNNNNNNNNNNNNNNNNNNNNNNNNNNNNNNNNNNNNNNNNNNNNNNNNNNNNNNNNNNNNNNNNNNNNNNNNNNNNNNNNNNNNNNNNNNNNNNNNNNNNNNNNNNNNNNNNNNNNNNNNNNNNNNNNNNNNNNNNNNNNNNNNNNNNNNNNNNNNNNNNNNNNNNNNNNNNNNNNNNNNNNNNNNNNNNNNNNNNNNNNNNNNNNNNNNNNNNNNNNNUGAUGUUGUAUUACCGAGUGGGCCCCGAGAUACCUCUCCGUCACACGGAGUGACAAAUCCCAGUCUUGAUCCAUACUAACUCAACUAACACCUUCGGAGAUACCUGUAGAGCAUCUUUAUAGUCACCCAGUUACGUUGCGGCGUUUGAUACACACAAAGCAUUCCUCCGGUGUAAGUGAGUUAUAUGAUCUUAUGGUCAUAGGAAUAAAUACUUGACACGCAGAAAACAGUAGCAACAAAAUGACACGAUCAACAUGCUACGUCUAUUAGUUUGGGUCUAGUCCAUCACGUGAUUCUCCCAAUGACGUGAUCCAGUUAUCAAGCAACAACACCUUGUUCAUAAUCAGAAGACACUGACUAUCAUCGAUCAACUGGCUAGCCAACUAGAGGCAUGCUAGGGACGGUGUUUUGUCUAUGUAUCCACACAUGUAAAUGAGUCUUCAUUCAAUACAAUUAUAGCAUGGAUAAAAAACUAUUAUCUUGAUACAGGAAUUAUAAUAAUAACUAUAUUUAUUAUUGCCUCUAGGGCAUAAUUCCAACAGCCAUGGCCGCCACAUUGCGUCACAUCAUUCGCCAUGGCCGCCGCACUGCAUCGCAACACCAUCGCCGGCAACACUGCAUCGCAGCAUCCCCCACGGGCACCGACGUUGCAUCUCAGCUUCCGCCAUGGCCGCCCCGCUGCAUCGCAGCACCAUCGCCGACAAUGCUGCAUCGCAACAUCCGUCAUGGCCGCCGGCGCUGCAUCUUAACUUCCACCGUCGUCACCAUGCACUGCAUCGCAGCUUCUGCAGUGGCCACCAUGCUGUGUCGCAGCACCUGUCACCGUUGUUGGAGUUGUGUAGAAGGUCGUCGAUGUCGGGAUGAGGCCCGUCGAGUCUGACUAGUGCUGCAACGGAGCUCCGUCAGGGCUGCAAUCAAGCCCGCUGAAGCUGCAAUGAAACACACCGGAGCUGCAAUGAAGCGCGAUGGAGCUACAGUGAAGCAUUGUGGGGUCGUUGAAGUUUCAUAGGAGCUGCAAUGGAGUGUCGUUGGCGUCGCUGGUGCUUCGCGCGACACGCGGUGCUGCCAUGGAAGUUGUUGUGCUGAUUUUUUUUGCUGGAGAUGCCACGGGGUGCAGGAUGGAGGAACGGGGAGGAAGAAGACGGCUUCGUUUGCUGCCAUUAAAGGGCCAUCAUCUGUCACAUCGUACGGCUAGCCAAACGGAUGAUUUCUGAGAAAUCAUCCGACUCAUCCAUAAGAACCACCUUUUUCUGAUGAAGAAAAGGAAAGGAGUUACCAAUGACGAAGGCGCCAAGGACACUAUCGACCCGCAACACAUUUUAACGAGUGGCAAUGGGGCAAAGAGCAUCUCUAGAAGACUCAUUAAAACGCGAAACUCAAAACCGCGGUUUCAUUUCACGGAAAACGUGUUUAAAGGUCGAUUUGAGCUGCGGCCUAACAAACCCUUUAAACUUAAAUUGUAAAAUCAAAUAUUCGUUUGUUCUUUUUCCCACAUCUUCUUUUUCUCUCGCUCGUGUUAAUAACCAGCUAAAUUCGCUCUUAGAAAAUCGACAAAGAAUGCUCAAAGCGACCAAAUAUAAAGUCGUAGACGUCCGGAAAAGCUAACUAGCUAACGUCGUCGUUGAAAUCCAUCGAGAAGCUAGCUAGAUAGCUAGCCCCGAUCACGGAAUCAAUCGAGGAGAGCUAAAGCUCUUGUCGACGACGCUGAAUCUGGCCAAGACGGGCAGGGCGGCCGUCAAGACGACCGAGGCGUCGGCGGGCAGCGGCCAGGACGAACGGGUGCUGACCGAUGACUAGCGGGGAUGGACGGGGCGACGGUCGGGAGCAAAUCAAGAAUGUUUGGAUGGCAAUUGGACUUCCGUCAACGAGCUUUUUCAUAUACGGAGCACUUACGGAUUGGCUCCGAAAUCCUUAUUUUUUAAGGAUUCGAUGAGGAUUUUUACCAUACCCCACCUCUUUUAAAAAAUUUACAAGUCGGAGUCAUUUACGAGAUCGGAUCGAGUAUCUUUUUUACGCGAACUCAUAUUUUAACUGUUAGAGAUGUUCUAACCUUUCUUUUAGUAAGGCUGCUAGGAAUUUAUGGUUCAUAUAGUCAUAGGCUCAAUUUUUUGCCGAAUCUGGACACAUCCGUAUUGGCCAUUUUGUUAGCCGCACUUAACCUAAUUUUAGUUAGACUAUUCAUAAUGAAAGUAACAUAGAUAGUAAUAUAGAUGACAUAUAAACAAAAAAUAUGAUGUGACAGCUAAUUAAUAAGCAGAGAGAGAAAUUAAAUAACUUAACAUGUUACUUAUACUAAAAGUAACAUAACGGAUACCAAGUCAAGAUGAGUCUAUAAACUAAUAAAUGAAAUGUUUAAUGUUACUAUCCUAUGUUACUAUCCACUAUGAAAGUAUUAACAUAUGUAUGUUAAUACUCUAUGUUAGUCUUCAUUAUGAGUAGUCUUAUGGCAAAGCUGGUCAUGAAGACAAAUCAUUAGAUGCCAUGCCUAUGUUUCAACAAAGAUUAAAAGGUUGAAGCUUACUCGCAAGUGUCAUAAUUACAUAGAGUAAGCAGACAAAUCAAUCAUAUGCCUAAAUUUACCAUGAACAAAUGCACAACUCAAUAUUGCUAUAACCCCUGGAAUUAAAGAAGUUACUGGGCAUGAGAUUCAUGCCUACAAAGGUUCAAUCUGUAAUAUUCCAAAGAGAUGCCAUGUUCGGAUACUCUCAGCACUGACAGAUGCUUCUACAACAGAAUAUUCUCAGGAAGUUCGUCUAAUGUACUACUUCUCCGUCCCAAGAUAUUUCUAAUAAUUCAAGGGACAACUAAUUCCAGGCUGAGAGAGUAUAUACCCAUCAUUGCUGCGUGUCUAAAAAUUUUAGGUAAGAACUGGAGAAUUACGAAUUGUAUUAACAAACUCAUACAAACUGCAGCAUAACCAAGUACAGUAAGUUUGAGCAUAUAGAUUCAAAGAUACAACUGCCAGAAGUUAGAACACAUUUUGAUGGCCGUAAAACCUGGACGAGUUCGUCAAUGAAGGCAAAAUGAUGACAAGACCAGGCAGAAGAACAGCAAGUAGAACUAUCAAGAUAAUGAGAAAGCAAUAAAGCAAACACAGGAUCUAUAUUUCAGUGUUCUACAGCAAUAAAGAACCAGGGAGAGCUCUAGAUCAAAGGCAAUAGCAAACACAAAAAACACAUAUACUCCCUCUGUACCGAAAUACUUGUAGUUGUAGGUAGGCUACCGAAAUACUUAUAGUUGUAGUAGGCUAACUCACUACAAGUAUUUCAAUACAGAGGGAGUAUAAUCUAAUUUAAAAUCAACAGAGAUAAAAAAAAUGCCAGUAUCACAACAGAUAUAUAAUCUAAGUUUUAACAUCGAGAGACAUCAAAACAAAGUGCCAGUACCACGACAGAUAGGACAUUGCAAUAGCAAUACAGCGACGGACUCAAUAGACAGAAAAUAGCGCAGCUCUCUUAGCAGCAUAAAGCAAACUAGACCAUGUAACAGAAUCAGAAGUUCAGAGCUUGUCCUCGAAAUCAGAUAGAGGGGUCAUCUGUUCCUUGAGACCCUUGCGCUUGCGGAUCUCCGUGACAAGGGUGGCAGACUGGGAGCCGGCCUCCAGAGGAUCAGAAGACAUGAUGUCCCAGUGGUCAAACACACACUGGGGGAAAGCCUGGCCAGAUGUAGCUGCCCUGAGGGUACUUGAGAACCCGAAGGACUCGAUGACCGGGAGGUAAGCCUUGAUGUUGUACAGCGGGGUACCAGGCCUCUGCAUCUCCUCAAACACAUGCCCUCUCUUCUGAUUCAAAACACCAUAGAUACCACCAAGUGCAUUCUCGGGGGCCUGGAUCUCAACCAGGUACACAGGCUCCAGCAGCCUUGGCUUAGCAGUGAGCUGAGAAGCGUAAAUGACCCUCCUGGCUGUUGGGAUGACCUGGCCACCACCCCUGUGAAUAGCAUCAGUGUGCAGAACAACAUCACAGACCUCAAAGCAAAUGCCACGCAUGUUCUCCUCAGCCAAUGCACCUUCCUUUGAUGCCCAUUGGAACCCAGCCACAACAGAAUCCUUGAUUUCAUUGAGAUACUGCACUCCCUUACACAUGUCAACAACCAUGUUCGGGCCAGUCGUUUCAGGUCCAAAGCACCAAAUCUUCUUGGCAAGAUCCUUGUCCCAGCCAAACUCCUCAGAGAGGAUCUUGGAGCGCACCUUGGGAUCAUCACGUGGGCCAAUGCGGCCAUCAUCAAUAGCCUCAGCCAAUCCCUCCUCCAAUGGGCGAGCUUCCAUGUAAAGACGGUUAUGCUUGUUAGGGGACUUGCUCAUGACAGUGCGGCAGGACUUCUCAAGAACAGUCUCACGGAAGGAGACGACAGGAGGGGAAACAAUAAUUUCAGCACCACCCAUGAAGUCCUCCUGCAGAUCCUUCAAACAGAUUUCAAGGUGAAGCUCUCCAGCUCCAGCAAUAAUAUGCUCACCAGACUCUUCAAUGCUACAGAGAACCAUAGGAUCAGACUUCGCCAGCCGCUUCAAACCCUCAACAAGCUUAGGAAGAUCAGAUGCCACCUUGCACUGAACAGCAACACGCACAACAGGGGACACAGAGAACUUCAUGGCCCUGAUUGGGCAGGCAUCAACUUCCUUCUCAUUUGUUAGGGUUGCAUUCUUUGUGAUGAACUGAUCCAAACCAACCAAAGCAACAGUGUUACCACAGGGAACAUCCUCAACAGACUCUUGCUUCUUUCCCAUCCAGAUAACAGUCCGCUGGACACUCUUCACAUAUAGAUCCUUCUUCUGGCCAGGAACAAAGUUGGGACCCAUGAUACGGACCUUCAUGCCAGUUGCGACCCUCCCGGCAAAGACACGUCCAAAGGCAAAGAAUCUACCCUUGUCAGAUGCUGGAAUCAUCUUGGAGACAUACAGCAUAAGAGGACCAUCAGGGUCAACAUAAGAGGACCAUCUGGGUCACAGUUUCUGAUAGCGUUUGCAUAUACAUCAUCAAGGGGACCCUCAUAUAAGUUCUCCACACGAUACCUCUGUGCCUUUGAAGGAGAGGGGAGGUGAAAUAUCAUCAUCUCAAGCAGAGCACGACUGGCAGGCAGCCAAGUUUGCAUCACACGCUUCAUGAGAGCCUUNNNNNNNNNNNNNNNNNNNNNNNNNNNNNNNNNNNNNNNNNNNNNNNNNNNNNNNNNNNNNNNNNNNNNNNNNNNNNNNNNNNNNNNNNNNNNNNNNNNNCCAACCCCCGACGCCAGUGAUCCUCGACCCCCGACAACACUAACCCCCGACCACCGACACAACUAACCCCCGACCGUCGACGCCACCGACACCCGACACCACCGACCAUCGACGCCACCGACACCCGACACCACCGACCAUCGCCGCCACUAAGCCGACGGGGUCAUAAUUUUGUAAAUUAUGAGUUAGGUCACAUAUUUUCCGAUUAUGUUAAUUAUAAAAACAUCAUAUUUGUGUUGAUCGGGUGAAUUUCAAUGUGCAGUUGUUCGACGACCUCCACGUGCGUUGGACGAGCUCCGCCCUUGCGUUUGUUGAUGAGCACAAAUGACUUCUCCUCCUACCCCCUUAAUUUGCUCUGUCCCGGUCUUCGUGCCAAUGAAACUUGCUAACUAUAGGUUUCUUCAAUCAUGAGUAUGCGUGACCAGUAUGCGUCUCCCGUUCGAAAGGGCGACAUCUAUAAAUAUGCAUUUCUUUGCAUAUUUAUAACCGCCAUCCUUUCGAAUUGUCCAACAUUAUCCAUGGACAGCCCGAGUAUGUGUAGAUUGGGUUUGUUUUCCCGUAUGCUGUGCUCCGGAUCCAAUGCGGAAUUUCGUCAGUGCCUCCCCUGUUGUUCUCCGGGUACACAUCCUCUCUGCUUAUUGCCGAGACGUGUAUCAGGAGAACAGCGGGGAGUUGAUGCCGAAAUUCUGCGUCGCAUCUGGAGCAGAGCAUGGGAAAACGAACCCAGUCUACACAUACUCGGGUGGGAUUAGGACAUAUCUUUACCUAUUAGCGUGUAAGUUGCAUGGACGUAAUAAAACUGACAAACUUGAUUAGCGUAUGAAUAUAGAUGAUGAAUUAUAUAUUUAUUUCUUGUGCCCCCAUAGGUAGCUAGGCAACAUGAGUGAUCGUGCUUGGAUGUACACUGGUCACCCUAGUCAGAAAUACAUGACCCAUGAAUGGUUAACAAAAACCAGGGGGUUUGUGAGAGCCGCAUUUGCAAAUGGCCAGCAUAAAACAUGGUGCCCCUGUCCCAACUGCGACAACUGGAAAAAGCAGACAGAGUUUGAAAUGGGUAAACACCUGCAGAAGUGGGGUUUUACGCCUAAUUAUAUGGUGUGGACUUUUCAUGGUGAGUCUGACCAACGUGCCAGAGCUGAGGUGAUUCAUCGUCGCACCGACGAGCAUGGUACCGGGAUUGAAGACAUGGUGCAAGACUUUGAGGAUGCUCGUGAUUCGGACGAUGAGAUGGAGGAAUCUGCAAAGGCCUUCUAUGAAAUGUUGGAGUCUUCAAAACGCCCUCUCCACGAGCAGACGGAGCUUUGUCAGCCGGAUGCCAUCGCACAAGUAAUGGCUCUGAAGGCUCAAUUCAACCUAGGCAGAGAAUGCUACGACGCGGUGAUGACGAUAUUUGGACGCUUUCUACCCAAAGGCCAUGUACUGCCUGCAAACCUGUACCAGUCAGAGAAAAUCCUCCGUGUACUUAAGAUGCCCUAUGAGAAGAUACAUGCCUAUGAGAAUGGAUGUGCCUUAUUUAGGCUUGAGUAUGCGGCCUUGAACUAUUGCCCCAUUUGCAAUUCUUCCAGGUAUAUUGUGGUAGACAACGGCAUGGGUGAGAAGAAUCAGACCAAAAUCCCCAUUAGUGUUCUUCGAUAUCUGCCAAUCGUACCAAGACUUCAACGUCUUUUCAUGGUCGAAGAGACGGCCAGACAGAUGACAUGGCACAAAUUGGGCAAAAGAACCGAACUAGAGGCGGAUGGGAACAAGAUGCUGGUACACACUUCAGAUGGUUUUGCGUGGAGGCACUUCGAUGCAUUACAUAAGGAUAAAUCGGAAGAUCCAAGGCAACCUAGAGUUGCCAUCAGCAUGGAUGGGUUAAAUGUGUAUGGUAUGACGGCAGCACAAUACAGUUGUUGGCCUGUAUUUGUCAUUCCACUAAAUUUGCCACCCGGAGAGAUUAUGAAAAGAAAGAACAUAUUCCUGACGUUGAUAAUUACAUAUUAUUAAGGCUUUGUAGUUAGUUUCCUUGAUUUGGUUCUUACGCGCUCAAAUUUCUCUUUAUUAACUUAGGUGCCCCCGAGAUGGUGUGUGGAUAAGAUGGAUUGUUGGGAGGCCUUGGUGGAUCAGUGGUGCUCCGAAACGUGGGAGGUGUUGGGGAACGUCGCAAGGGAAACAAAAAAUUUCCUACGCGCACGAAGACCUAUCAUGGUGAUGNNNNNNNNNNNNNNNNNNNNNNNNNNNNNNNNNNNNNNNNNNNNNNNNNNNNNNNNNNNNNNNNNNNNNNNNNNNNNNNNNNNNNNNNNNNNNNNNNNNNCAUCUGUCCAUCUUGUUCACAGUAAGAACAGGCCUAAUCCUCUCACCUAGAGCUUGGCGCAGCACAGUUUCAGUCUGCACACACACACCCUCAAUACAGUCGACAACCACCAAAGCACCAUCAGUGAUACGAAGAGCAGCUGUGACUUCCGAAGAAAAGUCAACGUGGCCAGGUGAAUCGAUAAGGUUGAUCAGGUACUCAUCACCAUCCCUGUCGCCCUUGUACAUCUCGAGUGAUUCAGGAGUCAUCUGAUAGAAAAGAGAGAUACCCGUGGAUUUGAUUGUAAUACCACGUUCUGCCUCGUCUGCACGCGUAUU